rnacentral:lncRNA from 1 species
UCACAUUACAGUUGUAGUAGUGCAUGCUACCUCUUGAGCAUUGCGUUAGUUUUCCCUUGAAGAGGAAAGGGUGAUGCAGUAAAGCAGCGUCAGUAUUUCCCUCAGUUUUUGAGAAGCAAGGUAUCAAUCCAGUAGGAGGCCACGCACGAGUCCCUCGCACCUACACAAACAAAUAAAAUCCUCGCAACCAACGCAAUAAAGGGGUUGUCAAUCCCUUCACGGUCACUUACGAAAGUGAGAUCUGAUAGAUUUGAUAAGAUAAUAUUUUUGGUAUUUUUAUGAUAAAGAUGCAACGUAAAGAAAGCAAAAUAAAAACAGCGCUAGAAAUAGCUUGUUGACGGGAGAUUAAAUAUGAUGGAAAAUAGACCGGGGGGCCGUAGGUUUCACUAGUGGCUUCUCUCGAGAGCAUAAGUAUUUCGGUGGGUAGACAAAUUACUGUUGAGCAAUUGACAGAAUUGAGCAUAGUUAUGAGAAUAUCAAGGUAUGAUCAUGUAUAUAGGCAUCACGUCCGAGGCAAGUAGCCCGACUCCUGCCUGCAUCUACUACUAUUACUCCACACAUCGACCGCUAUCCAGCAUGCAUCUAGAGUAUUAAGUUCAAAAGAACAGAGUAACGCUUUAAGUAAGAUGACAUGAUGUAGAGGGAUAAACUCAUGCAGUAUGAUAUAAACCCCAUCUUGUUAUGCUCGAUGGCAACAAUACAAUACGUGCCUUGCUGCCCCUACUGUCACUGGGAAAGGACACCGCAAGAUUGAACCCAAAGCUAAGCACUUCUCCCAUCGCAAGAAAGAUCAAUCUAGUAGGCCAAACCAAACUGAUAAUUUGAAGAGACUUGCAAAGAUAACCAAUCAUACAUAAAAGAAUUCAGACAAGAUUCAAAUAUUGUUCAUAGAUAAACUUGAUCAUAAACCCACAAUUCAUCGGUCUCAACAAACACACCGCAAAAGAAGAUUACAUCGAAUAGAUCUCCACAAGAGAGGGGGAGAACAUUGUAUUGAGAUCCAAAAAGAGAGAAGAAGCCAUCUAGCUAAUAACUAUGGACCCGAAGGUCUGAGGUAAACUACUCACACAUCAUCGGAGAGGCUAUGGUGUUGAUGUAGAAGCCCUCCAUGAUCGAUGCCCCCUCCGGCGGAGCUCCGGAAAAGGCCCCAAGAUGGGAUCUCAUGGGUACAGAAGGUUGCGGCGAUGGAAUUAGGUUUUUGGCUCCGUAUCUGGUAGUUUUGGGGGUACGUAGGUAUAUAUAGGAGGAAGAAGUACGUCGGUGGAGCAACGUGGGCCCCACGAGGGCGCGCCCCCUACCUCAUGCCUUCCUGGUAGAUUUCUUGACGUAGGGUCCAAGUCCUCUAGAUCACGUUCGUUCCCAAAAUCACGUUUCCGAAGGUUUCAUUCCGUUUGGACUCCGUUUGAUAUUCUUUUUCUGUGAAACUCUGAACUAGGCAAAAAACAGCAAUUCUGGGGUGGGCCUCCGGUUAAUAGGUUAGUCCCAAAAAUAAUAUAAAAGUGUAUAAUAAAGCCCAUUAAUGUCUAAAACAGAAUAUAAUAACGUUGGAGACGUAUCAAGCAUCUCCAAGCUUAAUUCCUGCUCGUCCUCGAGUAGGUAAAUGAUAAAAACAGAAUUUUUAAUGUGGAAUGCUACUUGGCAUAAUUUGAAUGUAAUUCUCUUAAUUGUGGUAUGAAUAUUUAGACCCGAAAGAUUCAAGACAAAAGUUUAAUAUUGACAUAAAAAUAAUAAUACUUCAAGCAUACUAACUAAGCAAUUAUGUCUUCUCAAAAUAACAUGGCCAAAGAAAGUUAUCCCUACAAAAUCAUAUAGUCUAGCUAUGCUCUAUCUUCACCACACAAAGUAUUUAAAUUAUGCACAACCCCGAUGACAAGCCAAGCAAUUGUUUCAUACUUUUGAUGUUCUCAAACUUUUUCAAUCUUCACGCAAUACAUGAGCAUGAGCCAUGGACAUAGCACUAUAUGUGGAAUAGAAUGGUGGUUGUGGAGAAGACAAAAAAGGAGAAGAUAGUCUCACAUCAACUAGGCGUAUCAACGGGCUAUGGAGAUGCCCAUUAAUAGAUAUCAAUGUGAGUGAGUAGGAAUUGCCAUGCAACAGAUGCACUAGAGCUAUAAGUAUAUGAAAGCUCAACAAAAGGAACUAAGUGGGUGUGCAUCCAACUCACUUGCUCAUGAAGACCUAGGGCAUUUUGAGGAAGCCCAUCAUUGGAAUAUACAAGCCAAGUUCUAUAAUGAAAAUUUCCCACUAGUACAUGAAAGUGAUAUCAUAGGAGACUCUCUAUCAUGAAGAUCAUGGUGCUACUUUGAAGAACAAGUGUGGUAAAACGAUAGUAACAUUGUCCCUUCUCUCUUUUUCUCUCUUUUUUAUUUGGGUCUUUUAUCCUUUUUUUAUGGCCUCUUUUUUUUUAGUCCGAAGACUCAUCACGACUUGUGGGGGAAUCAUAGUCUCCAUCAUCCUUUCCUCACUUGGGACAAUGCUCUAAAAAAAUGAUGAUCAUCACACUUUUAUUUACUUACAACUCAACAAUUACAACUCAAUACUUAGAACAAAAUAUGACUCUAUGUGAAUGCCUCCGACGGUAUAUCGUGAUAUGCAAUGAAUCAAGAGUGACAUGUAUGAAAGAAUUAUGAACGGUGGCUUUGCCACAAAUACAAUGUCAACUACAUGGUCAUGGAAAGCAAUAUGACAAUGAUGGAGUGUGUCAUAAUAAACUGAACGGUGGUAAGUUGCAUGGCAAUAUAUCUCGGAAUGGCUAUGGAAAUGCCACGGUAGGUAGGUAUGGUGGCUGUUUUGAGGAAGGUAUAUGGUGGGUGUAUGAUACCGGCGAAAAGUGCGCGGUAUUAGAGAGGCUAGCAAUGGUGGAAGGAAGAAAGUGCGUAUAAUCCAUGGACUCAACAUUAGCCAUAAAGAACUCAUAUACUUAUUGCAAAAAUCUACAAGUUAUCGAAGCAAAGUAUUACCCGCAUCAUUCUAGGGGGAUAGAUUGGUAGGAAAAGACAAUCACUCGUCCCCGACCGCCACUCAUAAGGAAGACAAUCAAUAAAUAAAUCAUGCUCCGACUUCAUCACAUAACGGUUCACCAUACGUGCAUGCUAAGGGAAUCACAAACUUUAACACAAGUAUUUCACAAAUUCAAAACUACUCAACUAGCAUGACUCUAAUAUCACCAUCUCCAUAUCUCAAAACAAUUAUCAAGUAUCAAACUUCUCAUAGUAUUCAACACACUCAUAAGAUUUUUUUACUAAUCUUGAGUGCCUAUCAUAAUUAAAGCAAAUUACCACGCUGUUUUGUAGGACUAUCAAAAUAAUCUAAGUGAAUCAUGAGAGAACAAUAGUUUCUAUAAAACAAAACCACCACCGUGCUCUAAAAGAUAUACGUGAAGCACUAGAGCAAAAACUAUAUAGCUCAAAGGAUAUAAGUGAAGCACAUAGAGUAUUCUAACAAUUUCUGAAUCAUGUGUGUCUCUCUCAAAAGGUGUGUACUGCAAGGAUUAUUGUGGCAAACUAACAAAUAAAGACUUCAAAUAAUACAAGACGCUCCAAGCAAAACACAUAUCAUGUGGUGAAUAAAAAUAUAGCUCCAAGUAAAGUUACCGAUGGAAGUAGACGAAAGAGGGGAUGCCUUCCGGGGCAUCCCCAAGCUUUGGGUUUUAGGUGUCCUUAGAUUAUCUUGGUGUGCCAUGGGCAUCCCCAAGCAUAGGCUCUUGCCACUCCUUGUUUCAUAAUCCAUCAAAUCUUUCACCCAAAACUUGAAAACUUCACAACACAAAACUCAGCAGAAAAUCUCGUGAGCUCCGUUAGCAAAAAACAAAACACCACUUCAAGGUACUGUAAUGAACUCAUUCUUUAUUUAUGUUGGUGUUAAACCUACUGUAUUCCAACUUCUGUAUGGUUUAUAAACUAUUUUACUAGCCAUAGAUUCAUCAAAAUAAGCAAACAACACACGAAAAACAGAAUCUGUCAAAAACAGAACAGUCUGUAGUAAUCUGUAACUAACGCAAUUUUCUGGGACUCCAAAAAUUGACCCAAAAUAGGAAGACCUAGACAAUUUUUUUAUUGAUCAGCAGCAAUUGGAAUUAAUAUUUUAUCACGUCCUGGUGAUUUUUAACAAUUAUUUUCGUGAACAGAAAGUUUCUGGAAUUUUCAGCAAGAUCAAAUAACUAUCAUCCAAGAAGAUCCUAUAGGUUAAACUUGGCACAAACACUAAUUAAAACAUAAAAACACAUGUAACCAGAGGCUAGAUCAAAUAUUUAUUCCUAAACAAAAGAAAAAAUCAUAAAAACUAAAAAUAAAAUUGGGUUGCCUACCAACAAGCGCUAUCGUUUAACGCCCCUAGCUAGGCAUAAUAGCAAUGAUAGAUCUAGGUAUUGCCAUCUUUGGUAGGCAAUCCAUAAGUGGCUCUCAUAAUAGAUUCAUAAGGUAAUUUUAUUUUCUUUCUAGGGAAGUGUUCCAUGCCUUUCCUUAAUGGAAAUUGGAAUCUAAUAUUCCCUUCCUUCGUAUCAAUAAUUGCACCAAUCGUUCUAAGGAAAGGUCUACCAAGAAUAAUAGGACAUGAAGGAUUGCAAUCUAUAUCAAGAACAAUAAAAUAUAUGGGCACAUAAUUCCUAUUUGCAACAAUAAGAACAUCAUCAAUUCUUCCCAUAGAUUUCUUAAUGGUGGAAUCCGCAAGGUGCAAGUUUAAAGAGCAAUCAUCAAAAUCACGGAAACCUAGCAAAUCGCACAAAAUCUUUGCAAUCGUGGAAACACUAGCACCCAAAUCACACAAAGCAUAGCAUUCAUGAUCUUUAAUUUUAAUUUUAAUAGUAGGUUCCCACUCAUCAUAAAGUUUUCUAGGGAUAGAAACUUCCAACUCAAGUUUUUCUUCAUAAGAUUGCAUCAAAGCAUCAACGAUAUGUUUAGUAAGGCUUUAUUUUGACUAUAAGCAUGUGGAGAAUUUAGCACGGAUUGCAACAAGGAAAUACAAUCUAUCAAAGAGCAAUUAUCAUAAUUAAAUUCCUAGAAAUCCAAAAUAGUGGGUUCAUUAAUAUCUAGAGUUUUGAUUUCUUCAAUCCCACUUUUACCAUUUUUUGCAUCAAGAUCUAAAAACUCCGAAUUUUUGGAACGCCUUCUAGGUAGAGGUGGAUCAUAUUCAGUCCCAUCAUUAUCAAGAUUCAUAUUGCAAAACAAAGAUUUAAUAGGGGACACAUCAAUAACUUUUAGAUCUUCAUCUUUAUUUUCAUAGAAACUAGAAGAACACGCUUUCACAAAACAAUCUUUCUUAGCACGCAUCCUAGCGGUUCUUUCUUUGCACUCAUCAAUGGAAAUUCUCAUGGCCUUGAGAGACUCAUUGAUAUCAUGCUUAGGAGAAAUUGUAUCAGCGUUCCUAGCCAAUUCAUCAAAUUUAAGCAAUUUUUCUUCAAGCAAAGCAUUGAAAUUGUUUUGCGAAUUCAUAAAUUCUUUAACACUAGUCUCAAAUUCAGAAGGCAUCUUAUUAAAAUUUCCAUAAUAAUUGUUGUAGGAAUUACCAUAAUUAUUAGAGGAAUUACUAGGAUACGACCUUGGAUUAAAGUUUCCUCUAUACGCGUUGUUACCAAAAUUAUUCCGACCAACAAAAUUCACAUCCAUAGAUUCAUUAUUAUUCUCAAUCAAAGUAGACAAAGGCAUAUCAUUAGGAUCAGAAGAAACACUUUUAUUAGCAAAUAAUUUCAUAAGUUCAUCCAUCUUUCCACUCAAAACAUUAAUUUCUUCUAUCGCAUGCACUUUUUUAUUAGUGGAUUUUUCGGUGUGCCAUUGAGAAUAAUUAACUAUAAUAUUAUCUAGGAGUUUAGUAGCUUCUCCUAAAGUGAUUUCCAUAAAAGUGCCUCCCGCGGCCGAAUCUAAAAGAUUUCUAGAAGAAAAAUUCAAUCCGGCAUAAAAUUUUUGUAUAAUCAUCCACAAAUUCAAACCAUGAGUAGGGCAAUUACGUAUCAUUAAUUUCAUCCUCUCGCAAGCUUGUGCAACAUGUUCAUGAUCAAGUUGCUUAAAAUUCAUAAUAUCAUUUCUAAGAGAGAUGAUCUUAGCGGGAGGAAAAUACUUAGAGAUAAAAGCAUCUUUGCACUUAUUUCAAGAAUCACUACUAUUUUUAGGCAAAGACAAAAACCAAGCUUUAGCACGAUCUCUAAGCGAAAAAGGAAAUAGCUUCAAUUUAACAAUAUCUUUGUCCACAUCUUUCUUCUUUUGCAUAUCACACAAAUCAACGAAGUUGCCAUGUCUAGGAAUGCUUGAAGCUUCAAAGAUUUCCUAUAAUACAACAUGCCUCUAACUAUUCACAAUAAGAAAAACAUGUAAAUGCGGAAUCAACCAAAUGAUGGUAAAUUGUAGUUGAUUUUGGCCAAGCAAACGUGAGAUGAAAGAAACAUACAUGAGUGAACAUCACGAUUGGAUGUUUUAUUCAAAUUUAACAGGUUAAACUCACCAAAUCCAUCUGGAUAUUUAGUAUUAAACUUUAACAGAUGGUCAGUUGUAGCUAGAUUCACACCACUGAAGCAAAAUUCCAUCUGCCACGGUUACAUCACACCAUCUUUUCAUCGUUACUAUUUAAAUUCCAAAUGCCUGCAACUCAUUUUUUUGUUAUGAUGUAUGCAUGAUUUUUAACUCAAGAGGAAGAGGGGAAACUAAAUCCAAGAAAAGAACACCAAGGAAGCAUCCAAAAUAGAGAAAGGAAAAAUCCAAAAUAGAGGCAGAAUCGAAGGGAAGAAACCCCAUAAAAAAUAGGAGAUCAAACGGUGAAAAAAAUCUAAGAGUCAAACAAUUCCAGGUAAGACCAAAUCGACGGCAAAAUAGCACAAGAGGGACUCACAUUAACAGGUAUACCAGGUAUACCAAUUCAGAAAGAAGUGUAAAGCGAACAGUGCAAUGGACCACUAGUAUAAAUUGGAUGUACACAAACAUGGGACUUAAACAGGAACUGCGAGAUGCAGGGUUCACGUGCAAACCCAAAAAACGGAAAACUGAAACCCACAACAAGAUUUUAUCUUCAUGUUUGUGUAUUAGUUGCUUCUUCCGAAUCCCCACCUAUCAAGCGUUUUCUCUGAAUAAACAAACAGAAUAGUAUUCUCUGAAUUAUACUGUACAACGGUAUUUAACAAAGCGACUGGAAUUAACAAUAUUAUGAGCUAUUGGCUUUUUAGUCAGGUAAAUAUCAUUCUUAAGACUACGGAAAACAGCAGGCGGCGAAGAAAACAUCUAUUGAUGAGAACUAUACACAUACUUAAGAAGGAAGUGACAUCUAUGGUAGCAGAACAUAUAUCAAGCUGUUGCAGCUACAUUAGCAGUUUAGCACAGUUCCUCCAUAAUACACAGGCUAGUGUAAUUUCACAAAUACAAUAAGCUAACAAUAUAUAUUUGGUAGAUGGAAAUGGCUGGAUCAUGACCAAUAUACCAUUACACAUCCGAUGAUGCAAAUAAAGAAACGAGGCCCAACAAUAGUGGAAAAUAAACCACAAUAGAACAUGUAUUUGGCGAAACCUCCAUACUGCAAUAUCAAACAUGAAUUGAAAUUAACAAUCUAGCAAAAAAACAUGACAGAUGCAGUCUUGGUCAUUUUUCCUUUUGUGACAUCCCCUAAAAAAGUAAAAACAAUGUUGUUCGUAUUUUACCAGAGAUACACUGAGCUGGGACAAUUCGGUCUGAAAUAAAAUAUGAUGGCUUCGGAGGAUUCGGAAGGCAAGAAAUUUGCUUUCUUCCAACAUAUAUGGUCUGCUGAACUAAACUUCGUUUCAACGGGCUUUGGCAAAAAUUUGUAACUGCAAACAUCAACUUGUGUGCCCGUCCUACGUCAAACUUUAACCCUGACGGAUUAAAUAUUUUAGGUUAGGCUGAGAUCAGUGUACUUUAUGAGUGUUAAGUGUACUUUCUAAAUAGCAGAGAAACCAUAACAUCUAAGCACAACCCAGCAACUUGUACAAGCUAACAUCAAAUCUGAAAGAGGAAAUGUCGAGAACAGGUGAAGGUACCAUGAUCCACGACUGAGCAAAGUUAUCUAUAAUCCUCGGUGAAUAUCAUAAAUUAGGAUCAACUACGCUGAAGAACAAACGGGAAAGGAACCUAGAAAGAUCUUCUGCCGGUAGAAUAUAACUGAUACACUAUCCUCAUUCUCGAGAUCAAGGUCGUUUCUUGAAUUGCAGUUUCCUCACUGUAGUAUGGGGUCAUUACACUGCGAAGAACAAAGUGUCAUAUGAAUCAUUUAGAGCCCAAUAUUUUUCACUGAAACUCUUAUGAUCACAUAACGAAUUUAAACAUAAGGUUUAUUAGAUAUUUGUUGUUGUGAACAGAUAAUAUAUUUCUGGUGUUGACAAUGUUUUGAUUAUGGAUGCACUUCAAGAUGGGUGGCACAGAUUCUGUUGUACAGGCCUCCACCUGGAAUUUCAUCACUUGUUAUUUUUGUUUUAGAAUGUCUAGGUGCAUUUUUCCUUUAAGGUGGAAACAGAUGUACUUGUAUAAGCAACAAGAAUACAAAGCGCCACUGCCAUACAUUGUGGAAGUUCAGUGCUUCUGUUUACAAAAUCUGCUUCCCAAAACAGAAGGAUUUAUAAUUUUUUAUUACAAUCAAGCGGACAUGAGCUGAUGAGUACAGAUGUAGACAUGUACUGAGAGCAGCACCCUUUCAAAAGUGGAUCAUUUACAAGUUGGAUAGUUUGAUGGUCUGAAAUUAGUGGUCGUGUUUCAGAAUUGUUAUCGAAUAGUAGGGGAUAUAUAUUAACUUCUGAAAUUAGUGGCUGUUUGUCAGAACUGUUAUCGAAUAACAGAGCACAUAUAUUAACUUCAAUAAGUGGAGUAAUAUUUUUGGAUUCGCUGUGAGGAAAGAUUACCAAAACAAAACAGAAGUGAGUGCGAGGACCCAGAUCAAGGCGCUCUUGAGCCUCUUCCCGACCGACCUAGAUGCAGGAGCAGAACACGGCGGAUCUAAUCAGCCAACGAAUAAAGCUGAGGCAGGUAGAGGAAGUAAGGGAGGAAGAAGACUGACUUUUCCUGGUCGCCCUCGUAGUAGAACCUGUGUUUUGAUUUUCGGCCGAAAAAAGUGGAUUUCGGCCAUCUCGGCCUGGGGCGAAAAGUGUAUUUAGGCCGAAAUUGUUCAAAUUUAGCAAAUUUUGGUCAAAUUUAAGUCAAAUUGCAGUCAAAAUUUGGUCAAAUUUCAGCCGAAAUUUUUGAAAAUGGCCGAAAUUCGGCCAUCUCAGCCUAGGGAGAAAAAAAAGCUCAAACCGAAAAUCAAAACACAGAGUAGAACAUGGCGAACAGGAUGACGAGGAAGACGAGGACAGCGUCGAGGAUGUAGACGACGAGCCAGAGCGUGUUCAUGGGCAGGAUCAAGCAUGGGCAGGAUAAGGGCGCAGGCCCCGUUGUAGGCGGCGUGCUUGCAGGCCUGGCGGUUGGCGACGUCGGCGGGGAGCAUGAGGAUGGCGAGGACGGCGACGGUGAUGCCGAGCACGACGACGAGCUUGAGGAAGUAGGCCUGGUUGGCAUCAUCCGGCUGCUGGUAGUUGACGAGCAGGUAGACGCUGACGAGGAGCACCAGGAUGCUGACCACCGCCGCCACGAUCACUAGCGCCACGUUAAAAACCCCAUCUCCUCGGGGCUCCGGUCCCGGUUCCGGCCCGCCGCCUCGCCCCCAUUGGUCGGUCAGAUCUCUCUGUCCCUAGAGGCGGGGGGACACAGGCUAGGGUUUGGGCGUGGGCGGGGAAUAGGCUGCUAUGGUGCCGGCAGCGGGGCGUGUAGGAGAGAAGGAUUAGGAGGAAUAAUUCACCACACUUUGCUUAAGCUCUCGGCUGGUUCUUAUGUAUAGAUUACAGGGCCAGCCAGGGAGAUCAUGGGGUGAUCCACUACCUGGGAUCGUGCGCCACGAUCACUACAUGCGUGCGCCACGAUCAUAUACACACACGCUACACCUAGUGUCUACGCAACUACGGUAUAGCAGUACAGUACAGUCUAACACCCCCCCGCAGUCGUGACGUCGUCGGCGGCGACGCAAAGACUGGACCGGAACUCAGAGAAAACAUCCGAUGGCAGGCCUUUGGUCAUGAUGUCCGCGAGUUGUUGGCGCAUGGGGAUGUGAAGAACACGGAAGUGGCCGAGGGCGACGCGCUCCCGCACGAAAUGGAUGUCCAGCUCCACAUGCUUAGUGCGGCGAUGAUGCACCGAAUUGGCUGACAGGUAGACUGCGGACACAUUGUCAUAGUACACCAGUGCCGCCUUGGUCACUGGAGCGGAGAGCUCGCCGAGAAACUGGCGGAGCCAGAUGCAUUCAGCGACCGCGUUGGCAACGCCGUGGUAUUCAGCUUCGGCACUGGAGCGCGAUACGGUCGCCUGGCGCUUGGAGGACCAGGAGAUGAGAGCAUCGCCGAGGAAGACGCAGAAGCCCGACGUGGAGCGUCGGGUGUCGGGGCAGCCGGCCCAGUCCGCGUCGGUGAACGCACGGACGUCGAGCGUGGUCGAGGCGCGAAGAUGAAGCCCGAGUGUGCAGGUGCCCUUCACGUACCGGAGCACGCGCUUGACGAGCGCGAGGUGACAUUCGCGCGGGUCAUGCAUGUGCAAGCAGAUUUGCUGGACGGCGUAGGCGAUCUCUGGGCGCGUGAUGGUGAGGUAGUGCAGGGCCCCGGCGAUGCUCCGAUAGGCUGAGGGGUCGUCGACGCAGGGCCCAUCGGCUGAGGGGAGUUUGCUCUUCGUGUCGAUGGGUGUCGGGGAAGGGUGGCAGGUGUCCAUGCCGGCGCGUUCCAGGAGUUCGUCGGCAUAUUGUUGUUGCGACAGGAAGAAGCCAGCUCGGGUGCGGGUCACGCGGAUGCCGAGGAAGAAGGCGAGCGAGCCCAGGUCCUUCAUGGUGAAUUCGCCUGUGAGGCGUUGGAUGACAUGGUGAAGCACGCGUGACGAGGACGCGGUGAGCACGAUGUCGUCGACGUAGAGGAGGAGGAACGCCAUGUCGUUGCCGUGCCGGAAGGUGAACAGCGACGAGUCCGAACGCGUAGCUGCGAAGCCAAUGGAGCGGACGAAGCCGGCGAAGUGGAGGAACCAGGCACGGGGCGCCUGCUUGAGCCCGUACAAGGACUUGGAGAGGCGGCGAACGUGCUCUGGUUUGUCGGGGUCGACGAAUCCGGCGGGCUGGAGGCAGUAGACUUCCUCCUCCUAGUUGCCGUGGAGGAAGGCGUUGGAGACGUCGAGGUGGUGCACCGGCCAGCCGCGUGACGCGGCCAGAGUGAGCACCGUGUGGAUCGUCGCUGGCUUGACGACGGGGGAGAACAUCUCGCCGUAGUCGACGCCGGCACGCUGAUGAAAGCCCCGCACGACCCAGUGUGCUUUGUAGCGGGCCAGCGCGCCGUCGGCGUCGUUUUUGUGCUUGAAGAUCCACUUCCCUGUGAUCAGGUUGGCGCCCGGGGGGCGGGCACCAGCUCCCACGUGCGAUUGCGCACGAGCGCAUGGCACCGAGCCAGUUCGGGUCGCGAACAGCAGCGCGAAGCGAACGUGGCACCGGCGACACCGAUGAUGAGGUAGAGGCGGUGGCCGCGUCGUAGUAGCGUGGGUUGGGGCGGAAGAUGCCGCGCUGGGCACGCGUGACCAUGGGCACAGGAGGCGCCGGUGCGCGGCGCGCCGCUGGUGGCGCGCUCGGAGACGAGCUGUCGGAGGAGCCGCUGGCGGAGUUGUCGGAGGAGCCGCUGGCGGAGGCGAAGACAGGCGGACCAGGCGCGGAUGGGCACGUCGAGGAUGGAGCCGAGCCGCCAUCGGAAGCGCCCGCAGCGUACCGCGAGCUGACGCGGCGCGCCUCGCUGGUUGGCGAGGAUGAGCGGGGCAGGCCGGUGAUGGAGAUCGGGCGCGCCGGCAGCACGGGUGACAUGCUGCUGUCAGGCACCAGUGGAAGCGCGGGCAGCGCAGGAGGCCGGACGACGAGCGGGAUCUGCAGGGUAGAGGGUAUGACGGGUGGCGUAGGCGACGGGGAAGAGGAUGCGAACGGGAAAACGUGUUCGUGGAAGAGAACGUGGCGAGACGUGAGGACGCGGCGAGAGGUGAGGUCAAAGCAGCGAAAACCACGAUGAUCGGGAGGGUACCCGAGGAAGACGCAGGCGAUAGAACGUGGCUCGAGCUUAUGGCGGGUGGUGGCGGUGACGUUCGGAUAGCAGAGGCAUCCAAAGACGCGGAGCUGCGAGUAAUCUGGGGCGACGCCGAGCAGGAGUUCAUGCGGAGUGCAGGGCGCCGAGGCGCGGUAGGGCCGACGAUUGAGCAGGUAGGUCGAGGUGUUGAGAGCCUCUGCCCAGAAGCGAGCGGGCAUGUGCGCAUGACAGAGAAGCACACGAACGCCGUCGUUGAUCGUGCGGAGAACUCGCUCGUCCUUGCCGUUCUGCUGACUGGUGUAUGGGCAGGUGAGACGGAAGUGUGUGCCGUGGCGAGCAAGCAGAGAGCGCACGGCUGCGCUGUCGAAUUCACGACCAUUGCCCAUUUGCAGUGCAAGUAUGGGUAACUGAAACUGAGUCUGAACAUAGGCAAAGAAAUCAACAAGUAUGGGAAGAACUUCAGACAUGUGUUUCAGAGGGAAAGUCCAGACAUAGUGACUGAAAUCAUCUAGUAUAACUAAGUAAAACUGAUAGCCGGAUAUGCUUACAACGGGAGCGGUCCAUACAUCAAGGUGUAAAAGCUGGAAAGAACUAGCAGUGGUGGAUGUCUGAAACGGGAGCCAGGUGUGUUUGCCAACACGACAGGCAUGACAGACAGGCGGAUCACGGCAGAACUCCAGGGACUGAUCAACAGCAACAGUGCGGAGUGCGGCAGCCCCUGGGUGGCCAUGCGUUGGUGCCGGGUGCAGGCGUGGGGUACGCCGGGGGAGGGCGGGGAGCCUGGGAGGACGGCGUGGGCGGGCCACCAAUGCCGUUGCCACGUCUGCGGCGGCGUCCGCGCCCACGCCCUUGGUUGGUGUUGCUGGGCGGGGGUGUGGGUGGUGUAGGAGAGCCGCCACGCCCGGCGACGAGAGCGUGCGCAGACUGCUGGCGAGUGGUCGACUGCUCUGCUCGGUGUUCCUCAAGCAGGACGAAGGAGCGCACCUGCAGGAACGACGGGAGCGGGACCUGCGAGGUGAUGUGAGGGAUGGCGGAGUGGAACUGCUGGUUCAGACCGCGGAGCAGGUUGAAGACCUGCCGCGAGUCGGUUACCGGCUGCCCGAGGUCGCGGAGUCGAUCCGUGAACGACUUCAUCUUGGUGCAGUACGCCAUGAUCGACAUGUCGCCCUGAACGACAUAGUGGUACUCGGCGUCGAGGUAGACAGCGCGAGCGAGGUGGUUGUCGCGGAAGAUUCCAUCGACCGCAGUCCAGAUGGCCAGAGCAGUGUCGUCCGGCUGCAUGACGACGUCGAGCAGGUCCGGCGAUAUGGUAGUGUAGAACCAGUGGACGACGACGUGAUCAGCCAUGCCCCACUCGGGAUCAUCGUGGCGGUGGAUGGCCAUGGCGUCGACGUGAGUGCGGAGGCCGAACAUGCCGAUGACGGUGUCGAAGUGGCGGCGCCACUGCGUGUAGUUGCCGGCGAGAAGGUCGAGGGUGACCGGGACAUGACGACGGAUGUCCACGGUCUGCAGGAUCGCGGAGGCGACAGGUGCUGUAGGAGGAGGAGGAGGGAUGACGGGCACCGCGGGCGCGACAGGUGCUGGAGCCGGCGGUGCGUUGGCCAGGGGGACAGCGUUGAGGACGCCGUCGGCGCCGUGCUGCGAGGAGCGAGGGGACACGACGGGGUUGUCAUCCAUGGCGGUGGAAGCGGGACUGGCGACCUGCGCGAAGGGAUUGAGCAGGUCGGGGGAGUCUGAUACCAUAUAGGAAAGAAGGAUUAGGAGGAAUAAUUCACCACACUUUGAUUGAGCUCUCGGUUGGGUCUUAUGUACAGAUUACAGGGCCAGGGAGAUCAUGGGGUGAUCCACUACCUGGGAUCGUGCGCCACGAUCACUAUAUGCGUGCGCCACGAUUAUAUACACACAUGCUACAACUAGUGUCUACGCAACUACGGUAUAGCAGUACAAUAAAGUCUAACAGGGCGGCCACCGGCGGGGAGGGCGGGAUCCGUGCGGGGUGGCGGGAUUUGGGCAGGCGGUGGGCUCGGGGGAGGGCGAUGGCAGCGAAGCAGCAAGGAGGGGCUGGAGGAGAUGAAACGAAAGAGGUCGCGUGACACAGCGACAGCGUAGUCCAAUCCCCUCGCUGCUGAUUUAAAAAAAAGGUAAUGAUAACUCCCGAACGUUCGGGAGUUAAGCAUGGCAACCCGAACGGGUUUAGAUGGCAAGUUUAGUUUGCGUGAGAUUAGGGAAACAUGGCAAUUUUCUGACAAAAGAAAUGAAAAAGGACGAAGUUGCCAUCCCCUAUCAACUAAAGUUGCCAUCCCCUAUAAAUUAAAGUUGCCAUGUAAAAACGUUCGGGACGAAAUGCUCAAAAUCCGAACGUUCGGAAGUUACUGGAUUCAAAAAAAUCCCCUUGCUGCCAAUCGCUGGCCCGUUUCUUUUUUCGCCCAAUCGCUAGGUGAUGACGUGGCUAUCGCGGGAAGGCGCCCUUGAUGCGUAGUCGAAUGGUUUUAAUUAAUAGGAAACGAGUGCUUACUCUAGUUACUGAAUCAUGUACACCAAAUAAAGCCAUUUACACGUAGUUAAUGACAAAAAAAGUUGAUGUUUGCUACGCAAAUGUGUAGUACAAAUUAAGAAGUGCAAGAUUAAAAAAAAAUGCUGGUCCUUGAUUCGUUGUUGAUCGUCAGCAUGCCAUCAUCAAUUUGUAGUUAAUUAUCAUACAAAUUGGCUCUUUCAUAGAGUUGGAGGCUAGCUCCUUUGAUCAGCACGCGCUUAAACACAAACAGCACGUAUAUGUUUUGUCUCCGGAGUUCAAUUCUUCAUCGGCCAGCAAAAAUGGCCCGACCGGGUAGAGGAAAAGGCAUGUUUGUUAGUACGCCUGGAGGAAAUGCCUUUGAUUACGGCAUCUUCAACAGCGACCAGUAAAUUUCCUUCCGCGUUCGUUCACGGAUAGGGGAUCAGUCUGCGGAUACGAAUACAGGAAUCAUCCAUCCAACGCUGUCCGCGUAUAUUUCAAACACAUUUUUUUUUUAAAAUAGGAUGAAAUUCAUGCAAACACAAUGGAUUUCAUACAAACCGGACAAAAAUGUUUACAUUUUGGACAUAUUUUUUUACUAAAAACUCUACAGCCGGCGCCGGCGAAUAUCCACCCCGGCGACAUGGAUACCCUUGACUAGUCUACUGCCGGCCGCAGCGGAUCUCCAAUGUCGUCCCCAUAUCCGGCAGCUAUGAGCCCUAGAGGUAUAUGCUUCAGCGCAAAGAGCGGCUCGCCUCCCUACCGCUCAUCGGAGUGGAACAACCAGCUGAUGCUUCUGCCGAUGGAAAGGGUCCCUACGCUACACGGAUUAGAGUUGGUUUUCGGCUGGGAACGGCGGUGGCCUGCCAGAGGGCAAGACACCGACUGUGUAUGCUGGUGUCACCUGGUGUGGCAUUCGUGGGACCCAAGCGGCAGCGCCUCCUCGAUGAUGGCGGCGAGCGCGGACGUGUUUGACACCACCUCGUCGAUGUCCGUGCAGCCGGCUUCUUUCUCUGUAGGAAGGACGCGGUUACGCUUGCGUUGACAUCGGAUGACUCGGUCACAUGCACGGGAGGGGCGGUACGACAUGGCACCGCCAAUGGCAGCCAUGAUGCCCACGCCACCGUGCUCCCUCCCAGUGCCGAUCUAGAGCAACUUGCCACUCCUCUGCUCGUGACCGGUGGGCUUGACGGGCCACCUAGCCAUUUUUUAUGCCAGACAACUCUUCUUCCUGCUCGUCAGAUGUCAUGGAUAAAACUGUUUAAGGAGGAAAAUGAUGAGUGGACGUGUGAUGCGGUUCUUGCCCAACAUCUGACAUUGUUUAAAUAGCGAGGGGAGACGAGAGGAGCCAACCGGCGUACUGUUUAAUGCCAACCGGCUCGCGAACGAACAUGUGGCCGGAGUAAUUAUCCUAGCACACACGCGGGUUUAAUGGUGGAAGGCGGGCAGUCUGCAGGAAUGAGGCGAGGAUGUGUGCUUAGCCGGCGUGCAGCAGGCGGCGCCCUCGGCCGGCGUGCUGCUUCCAUUGCGGAGGCAGUGAGAGGUCGCGUCCGCUCUGCAGCGCAUGAAUGCGGGCAGCUGGCGCAGAGCGGGAACGCGUGCGGGCGAGGGAGGAGGGGGUUUGGGCGGGUGGUCAGAAGAGGUCGUGGGUGUUGUCCGAACGCCUGCAAAGCCCCCCUCCAUGUUUGUCUCCAGUUUGCGGGAGAAAGUACGUCCGGACCGUCUCCAAUGGACCAAUACAGGCCCGCAUUGGAUAGCACAACACGUCCGGACCAUGUGGUCCGGAUGGUUGUGGACAGUUUAAUUGAGGGUCGGCGUUGGAGAUGCCUUAGAGUUUAUGAAUCCAUUGUGUUUUUCUAAUCAUAAAAAAUCACUUACAAUAAGUUAUAAGGAAAGACACGUUUAUAUGUUAGGUUCAGACUCCAGCUUUCGUUUUACAUAUGCUUUAUUCAUCCGACUGAUUCCAAUAGAGUGAGCCUAGCGUUGUUUUUCUGGAAACUCGCGGGAUAAGGAGACAUGCAUACACAUUCUUUCAAGCAAAUCACAUCCAUUUUUUUUAACUCAUUUUUCUUCUUUUAAUAAUAUAAUAGAUCAUUUAUAUUUUUUAUCUGAAACAGUUGACGUGUAAUUUAUAUUGUAAUCUGAGGAUAAUGUUUGGAUUUUACUUUCAAAUAUAUUUGAAAUGGCCAUGAUGGAAUCACAUCCAUUUAUUUUAUUAUUAUUUGAAUUUGAUCCAAAAGAUAAAUAAUGAGUAGAGGUCAUGUCAACUUUUCUGAGAACUUUGCUAAUCAAAAUAUAAAUUGUAUUUAAAAACAUCUAUUUUUUAGCACGCAUGAAAAACAUAACACGUAUCUUUUCACACAUAAUGAACGGUUGUCAUAAGAACUCAUGCCAUGCCACAACCUCCCUCCGACCCUGCCAACAUUGUUGCAGCUGCACUCGCAAGCCUUAGCGUAGAUGAUAAUUUAUACAAUUUGCGUAAAACAAAAUAAGAUCUACAAAUGAAUAGAAGCUAGAACGUACAUUGGCAUGCACACACAUUGCAAGCCAUACUAAGCUGAUAAGUGUUAAUAACUUGUACAACAUAUACAACACUUAAGACAAGUAAAAGCAAUUUGAUGAGUCAUGGUCUAUCAAAGCCACAUUACUAGUCUAAUCCAUCUUAACAGGUCACACAUGAUUAAAAUCUUGUUUGUGUGCAAGUCAAGCUUAUCUAGUUUACAUGUAACAACUUGUAGAACAUUACAAAAUUUAUGUUUGCUAAUAACUUCUAGAACACUACAACACUUGACAUGUAAAAGGAAUUUGAUGAGUCAUGGCCUACUAAAGCAAGUUAUAUUACUAGUCUUAUCUACCAUAACAGGCCACACAAGAUUACAAACCAAGUUCUGUGCCAGCCAUGCUUAUCUAGUUUAUGCGUAACAAUUUGCAGAAAAUUACAAACUUAGUUUCAGAAAAAUAGGCAAUCUAGAUUAGUGUUUGAGCUGUAAAGUGAAUAAAAUGAGUCAUGCGUGUUAUCACACCUUUUUGGUUGUGGAAUGAUAGUGCAACAACAAGGAACUUUAAUGACCAGUUCAAGAAUACACUUGUAAGUAGUGCCACCGAACACAACAUACCAAAUUAUGAUUUUGAGAAGCAUCCAAGCACAUCCACACAAGCAAAUGCCAAUUGUGAAAGAGAUCAUGCCAUGGCAGCUAUAAAUAGGCCCGUAGCAUGACGAUCAUCCUUCCUCAUCCAUCAUUCUCAUAAGUAGAGCGCAUCAUUUAAGCCAAGCAAGCAGUGCUCAAUACAAAUCCACCAUGAAGACCUUUCUCAUCCUUGCCCUCCUUGCUAUUGUAGCAACCACCGCCACAAUUGCAGUUAGAGUUCCAGUGCCACAAUUGCAGCCACAAAAUCCAUCUCAGCAACAACCACAAGAGCAAGUUCCAUUGGUACAACAACAGCAAUUUCCAGGGCAGCAACAACCAUUUCCACCACAACAGCCAUAUCCGCAGCCGCAACCAUUUCCAUCACAACAACCAUAUCUGCAGCUGCAACCAUUUCCGCAGCCGCAACUACCAUAUCCGCAGCCGCAACCAUUUCGACCACAACAACCAUAUCCACAACCGCAACCACAGUAUUCGCAACCACAACAACCAAUUUCACAGCAGCAGCAGCAGCAGCAACAACAACAACAACAACAACAACAGAUCCUUCAACAAAUUUUGCAACAAUAACUGAUUCCAUGCAGGGAUGUUGUAUUGCAACAACACAGCAUAGCGCAUGGAAGCUCACAAGUUUUGCAACAAAGUACUUACCAGCUGGUGCAACAAUUGUGUUGUCAACAGCUGUGGCAGAUCCCCGAGCAGUCGCGGUGCCAAGCCAUCCACAAUGUUGUUCAUGCUAUUAUUCUGCAUCAACAACAACAACAACAACAACAACCGUUGAGCCAGGUCUGCUUCCAACAGCCUCAACAACAAUAUCCAUCAGGCCAGGGCUCCUUCCAGCCAUCUUAGCAAAACCCACAGGCCCAGGGCUCUGUCCAGCCUCAACAACUGCCCCAGUUUGAGGAAAUAAGGAACCUAGCGCUAGAGACGCUACCUGCAAUGUGCAAUGUCUAUAUCCCUCCAUAUUGCACCAUUGCUCCAGUUGGCAUCUUCGGUACUAACUGAGAAUAGAAUAACUCUAGUAGUAGAUAUAUGAUACACCGUUUUCUUAGUCCAUGGUUUGGUCGUUGUAGCGGUGAAAAAAUAAAGUGACAUGCACUAUCAUGUAAGAACCCGAACUAUACUAUUUCAAACAUGGGAAUAAAAGACAAACACAUGUCUUGUCUACAUAUGAUUGUUUGUUUGAGUUCCACUCAUGUGCCCACUCACAAGUUCACCCCUAAUUAUAUAUAUUAUGCAUUAAGUAGAUAUUUAUGUUGCAUUAAUCUAAAGAUAACAAAAUGAGUCUGAAAUUUGAAUUAAAUUGAAGUAUUUCCUUGGACUUUCAAAUGGAGUAUUAUUAAAGUAGUAAGGACUAUCCACAUCCUUGGCUUGCCCUUGAUCAAUUAUUUCCAGAGAAGCAUUCAAUUCAUCAAUCAAUUACAUUGAUUUUUGUGGCUGGUACUUCUCCUCAACAUGAGUAUAUUCAUCGCGGCUACUCCAAAUAGCCAUGAAUGAGGUACCGGUGCUCUGGAGCACUGGUACCUAACUGCUUCUCAUGUGAAGGGGUGCGGGCGCGGGAGAGGUGUUUUUGGUGGGCCAGGGGAGUAAGAAGCGGCCGUGGCAGCGGUCCAGACGCCCACAAAGCCCCGUAGUUUGUUUUUGGUUUACAGGAAAAUGCACAUCCAGACUGGCCUGCGGGCCGAUAUAGGACCGUAUUGGAUGGCAAAACAUGUCCGGAUGGUCGCGAGCGGUUUAAGGGUUAGCUUUUGUAACACCCGGUUAGUUAUGCUAUGGUAAUUCCCUGCUAAUGAUGUCACGUCAGCACGAUUACUGUUGUUAACCUCACAAUGAUUCAAUCCCAUUCAAAUUCAAAUUUAAAAUAAAGGCAAACAUCAAAAGUUUCAAACAUUAAAACUAAAAUCUUCGAGAGGUGAAAAAUAAUGCAUAAGUAAUUAUGGUGGAGAAACCACACUUUUAUAAAAUGUUUAAAUACUCUAAAAAUAAUAAAACAGUGGCUUAAACUAUUAUUUAAAUGCUUUUAAAAUAGUAAAAAUGUUCUAACUAAAUUAAUUGGGUACCAAACUUUUGGUGGCAGUGGUAUAUUUAGUAGAACUAAUUUAGAUGCUAAUAAAACAUAAAAGGAAAGACAAAACAAAUAAAAGUAAAAGGGGGCAACCCUUGGCUGGGCCUCGGCCAAGCUGGGCACUUGGCUAGCUAGGUUGGCCCAACCGCCUCCCUUAACCCCCCACUCCCCAUCGAACCCUAGACCGAUCGCCCCACUUCCCCCCCACCCCCUCGUCAGCCUCCCCACCUCUCGAUCCCAUCUGGAUCGGGGAGGGGAUCGCCUUCAUCGACCCCGUCGCGGUCGCUGGAUCGCCCGCUCGCCCAUCGCCCGCCGGCGUCGCCGGACCUCCUCCCCGUCGCAUGUCUCCGGCUCUCCUCCCCUCUCGCUCCUCUUCCCCGACCCGAUCUAGAUCGGGAAGGGCCAAUGAGCCCAACGCCCCCCUCCAUCGACGCUGUGCUCCAGCACCGCCGCCCGAAGACCUCGCCAUCGCCGGACCUCGCGUCGCCUCCUCGUAUCCCUCCCCGACUCGCCUCCUCAAGCCACGCCGACCCCCUCUCGGCAACGCCGUGAGCCGCACCCGUUUCCCUCCUUCUCUUUCCACCGUGUUCACCGCGCCGCCUGCCGUGCCCCUCGCCGCGCGCACGCCCACCACCGCGCCAGCCCCCGCUCCCGCCCUCUCCUGCACGCUUGUGCGCGCAUGACCCUAGCCGCGCCCACGCCGUGAUCCCCUUGUCCCGCCCGCCUUCGUCCCGCGCUCGCCGCGGCCCCCAUGCUCCCCUGCGCCCUCUUUUGGGGCCGUCGGCUGCCCCUGUCCCGCAGCUCGCUGGCAUGCGUCCCCGCCUGCGCCUCGCCACCGCUCUACUGCUACGCUACUAUUGCGCUGUGGCCGCCGCCGCUUCCCGCUGCUCUGCCAGCGCCAAAGCUCCUGGUUGGCCCUGCCGCUGCUCGCGUUUAACCGCCGGCCUAAGCGGCCUAACCUCCCCCCUCGCUAAUGAACCCCCACCGACCCGCUGACACCGGGACCCACAUCCCCUAAUUAACCAUUUAAUAAAUUAAAACUCUUAAAUUAACAUUAGUGUAUGACAUGUGGGUCCCCUAUUAAUUAAACUGAUUUAAUUAAAAUCUAUUAACUUUGAGUCUAUGACAUAUGGGCCCCACUAAACAUUUGACCAAUCAACGGUCCAGUCAAAUGCUGACCGGACAGUUGACCAGAGGGCCCCGCCAGUCAGCCAAUGUGCUGUUCUGCUGGGUACCUUUCUAAGUACACCUAGCAUUUUGCAUUUACAAUAUUUGUUUUAAAAUAAAUUAGAAUAAUUUCAAAAAAAUAUUAAAACUUUUAAAAUUAAAAUAAAAUAAUCCGUAACUCGGAUGAAAUUACUUUAUACAUGGAAGUUGCUCAAAAAAUGAGACGAAUCCGAAUACACAGUCCGUUCGUCUGCCACGCGUCCCUAGCAUAGCGAACAUGCAACCAUCCCCCUCCGGUUCGACUGUCCGAAAAAUUAUUAUUGCACAUGCCCGCUAAGAGGUUGGCUGUAUAUGACAUGACAACUUCUUAUAGCCGAGCCUUGGCUGUAUUAUUAACCAUGCUCUUAGUGAGGUAGCUAGUAUAUCAUAGACGACUAGCUAGUAUCAGACUAGCCAAAGUGGGAGUAACUUCAGCAGUAACAUCGACUCCAACUCAGCAAACUUCCUUAUGUGGGAGUAAACCGUGCCCAAUGCAAAAUACAAUCCCAGUCGUAAUUUUUUCAGGAAACGUGUGGGAUCCCAAACGAAAAGCACACGUCACUCUUGCGGCAACCGUCGGUGACACCCAAUAAAUCACAAACGGUCUGCAGCAGCUGUAUGUGUGCAAAGGGGCUCCUGAACCGUUUGUGAUAGAACAUUAUCGCAGACGGUAAUUGUUGGCAAACGUGUGCGAUGGAGUCUAGCAUGGCAGACGGGUUACGCAGAAAACUCGUGUGUGAUGGGGCACAAAUCGCACACAGUUCAUAUGUUGGUCCAUGUGCCUUACAUACUAUUUCCCAAAUGGUUUGUUACGACAGACCGUAUCGUUUCAGUGCGUCAUUAGAAACGCUUAAUCACUGAUACCACACGUGCGAAAGAAAUUAGUGCGUGAUGCAUCGCACACGAUUACAUUUUGGAAGGCCUCUGGAUCACUGCUCCAUAUCCCCGACGGUUUCUGGGCCGUGUGGGAAGGACACCCUAUCGCACACACUCACUUGGCGAUGGUUCCAAAUGCUGUCGCAGAAAAGGGUUAAAAACAGUUUGUUUAGGACCGACGCGUACCAGUGUCUAUCUAUCUAUCUAUCUAUCUAUCUAUGUAUCUAUCUAUCUAUCCAUCUAUCUAUCUAUCUAUCUAUCUAUCUAUCUAUCUAUCUAUCUAUCUAUCUCAAUCCACCUAUCUAUCUAUCCAUCUAUCUAUCUCUCCAUCUAUCCAUCUAUCUAUCCAUCUAUCCAUCCAUCUACUAUCCAUCUAUCUAUCCAUCCAUCCAUCUAUCUAUCCAUCCAUCCAUCUAUCUAUCUAUNNNNNNNNNNNNNNNNNNNNNNNNNNNNNNNNNNNNNNNNNNNNNNNNNNNNNNNNNNNNNNNNNNNNNNNNNNNNNNNNNNNNNNNNNNNNNNNNNNNNNNNNNNNNNNNNNNNNNNNNNNNNNNNNNNNNNNNNNNNNNNNNNNNNNNNNNNNNNNNNNNNNNNNNNNNNNNNNNNNNNNNNNNNNNNNNNNNNNNNNNNNNNNNNNNNNNNNNNNNNNNNNNNNNNNNNNNNNNNNNNNNNNNNNNNNNNNNUCUAUGUAUCCAUUUAUCCAUUGAUCCAUCUAUCGAUCCAUCCAUCCAUCCAUCUAUCCAUCAAUCUAUCUAUCCAUGUAUCCAUGUAUCCAUCUAUCCAUCUAUCGAUCUAUCCAUCCAUCUAUCUAUCUAUCUAUCCAUCUAUCCAUCUAUCGAUCUAUCCAUCUAUCUAUCUAUCCAUCCAUCUAUCGAUCUAUCGGUCUAUCCAUCUAUCGAUCUAUCCAUCUCUCCAUCUACCCAACUAUCCAUCUAUCCAUCUAUUCAUCUACCGAUCUAUCUAUCCAUCUAUCUAUCUAGCUAUCUAGCUAUCUAGCUAUCUAUCUAUCUAUCUAUCUAGCUAUCUAGCUAUCUAUCUAUCUAGUUAUCUAGCUAUCUAUCUAUCUACCUACCUACCUACCUACCUACCUACCUAUCUAUCUAUCUAUCUAUCUAUCUAUCUAUCUAUCUAUCUAUCUAUCUAUCUAUCUAUCUAUCUAUCUAUCUAUCUAAAGGAAAUAUGCCCUAGAUGCAAUAAUAAAGUUGUCAUUUAUAGUUCGUUAUAUCAUGAUAAACUAGCGGAGUCACCCGCGCAUUUGCGCGGCUAGAUUGACUACAUAUAUUGUUAUAUUUGGGAUUAUUUUUCUAUGCCAAUUUUAUGGCCUCUUACUCAGAUAUUAUCUAAUUGAAUUUACCACCACCAUAUGUUAUAUCCAUAGAUUAUAAUGAAAAGGCAACUUCCGACGAAACAUGGACAGAUUAUUGAGUGCUCAGAAGACGGACGCAAUAUCAUAUAUAGACUUCUAUACCAAUCUUCAUGGUUCCCAUCUUUGAUCCUCUCCUCGUCCCUUGGUAUCUAUCUUUGCACCCAAUAUGUCUUUGGAGUUCCAAGAAUUGAAUCUUAGCAUGAAUGGCUUCAAUGUGUACCAAAUGUUCUCUUGUUCCUCCCAAAUUAAUUACUGGUUGCAUUCUUAGUUGCUUUGACAUUCUUGGUUAAUGCAAUUUCUUGCCUACCAAUAUAUGCAUCCACACACGAUCAUAUUUAUAUGACCACUUACCUCUGUAUUCUGGUAUUUGUGCUUCAGAAUUUUUCUCUCAUUCAGUUUAUUCAUAGAUUAAAAACGUCGAUCGUUUCUUUAUUGGUUUGCAUUAUCUUGUUUGCCGAACGUAAGCAUCCACACAUGCUCGUCAUGAUAUGAUUGGUCAUCAUUGUAUAUUUGUAUUUGUGUGUUGAUAGCUUAAGGAUUUUCUCGGAUUCACUUCAUAGUUUAAGGAUUUUCUCGCGUUCAAUUUAUUCUACCUUAUUCAUUUUCAUGUUUCUUUAUUGCAUUUAUAUCAAUUCUUACAAUAUAUUUUCCAAGAUAUGAACUCAACUACUAAUUACGUAGUUUUUCAUCAAAAAUUACAUGUAAAAAUGUUACAAAUGCAUAAACAUGAUAAAAAUAUAUAUCAUAUUCCAUUGAGAGAUCGCCCAUUUAAAAAAAACACGUUGACUUACAAAAAGGACAAUUCAAGCUGCAUGUACGUCCGACUCAUGUUUACCUGACAAUGUCGAUGUUGAUUUCAGCAGUAAAUGAGCUGUGUGUGACCUUUGCGCUUUCCGGUAUUCUUCUAACCUGUGUGCUUUAUGAUCAGUUUGUUGUGCUUAGUACUGGACACUUGAGUAUACUAUCAUAUUUGGUACAAAUAAAUCUGAACUACUAUAGUUAUGAUCCACUGUAUAGUUAAUGGUGGUGGUAAUUAAUAUAUGUGGUUAAAUACUUGCGCUCCUUAGGUGGGGAGUUGGAUUUGUAUUUCCCUAAAAUAAAUUUCAGAUUUCGUAAUAGUGGUGAAGCCAGCCGGAAGAACCUCUGCGUCAUUAUUAAUUUUGGUGAUAUUUUUCUUCAUAGUGUAGAAUAAUUUUAGUGCUUAUUCCGCAAAAAAUAUGGCCUCAACUGACCCCAUAGCUUGUAUGUUGCGCCACCACUGUUUCCUAUAUCCUAUUACAUCCGUUGUUUUUAGAUCUUGAUGCAUAACUUUGACAAUAUUUAAUAGAUAUGUGUCUGUAUAAAAAAUUAUAAAUGCUAUGAUAAUUUGAUUAAUUAUGAUGAAUAAAAUGUUAUUGCUCUGACUUGAUCCCUCUAGAAUUUUCCAAAAUUUCACAUUACAGUUGUAGUAGUGCAUGCUACCUCUUGAGCACUGCGUUAGUUUUCCCUUGAAGAGGAAAGGGUGAUGCAGUAAAGUAGCGUCAGUAUUUCCCUCGGUUUUUGAGAACCAAGGUAUCAAUCCAGUAGGAGGCCACGCAUGAGUCCCUCGCACCUACACAAACAAAUAAAAUCCUCGCAACCAACGCAAUAAAGGGGUUGUCAAUCCCUUCACGGUCACUUACGAAAGUGAGAUCUGAUAGAUUUGAUAAGAUAAUAUUUUUGGUAUUUUUAUGAUAAAGAUGCAACGUAAAGAAAGCAAAAUAAAAAAAGCGCCAGAAAUAGCUUGUUGACGGGAGAUUAAAAUAGACCGGGGGGCCAUAGGUUUCACUAGUGGCUUCUCUCGAGAGCAUAAGUAUUUUGGUGGGUAGACAAAUUACUGUUGAGCAAUUGACAGAAUUGAGCAUAGUUAUGGGAAUAUCAAGGUAUGAUCAUGUAUAUAGGCAUCACGUCCGAGGCAAGUAGCCCGACUCCUGCCUGCAUCUACUACUAUUACUCCACACAUCGACUGCUAUCCAGCAUGCAUCUAGAGUAUUAAUUUCAAAAGAACAGAGUAACGCUUUAAGUAAGAUGACAUGAUGUAGAGGGAUAAACUCAUGCAGUAUGAUAUAAACCCCAUCUUGUUAUCCUCGAUGGCAACAAUACAAUACGUGCCUUGCUGCCCCUACUGUCACUGGGAAAGGACACCGCAAGAUUGAACCCAAGCUAAGCACUUCUCCCAUCGCAAGAAAGAUCAAUCUAGUAGGCCAAACCAAACUGAUAAUUCGAAGAGACUUGCAAAGAUAACCAAUCAUACAUAAAAGAAUUCAGACAAGAUUCAAAUAUUGUUCAUAGAUAAACUUGAUCAUAAACCCACAAUUCAUCGGUCUCAACAAACACACCGCAAAAGAAGAUUACAUCGAAUAGAUCUCCACAAGAGAGGCGGAGAACAUUGUAUUGAGAUCCAAAAAGAGAGAGGAAGCCAUCUAGCUAAUAACUAUGGACCCGAAGGUCUGAGGUAAACUACUCACACAUCAUCGGAGAGGCUAUGGUGUUGAUGUAGAAGCCCUCCAUGAUCGAUGCCCCCUCCGGCGGAGCUCCGGAAAAGGCCCCAAGAUGGGAUCUCACGGGUACAGAAGGUUGCGGCGAUGGAAUUAGGUUUUUGGCUCCGUAUCUGGUAGUUUGGGGGUACGUAGGUAUAUAUAGGAGGAAGAAGUACGUCGGUGGAGCAACGUGGGCCCCACGAGGGCGCGCCCCCCUACCUCGUGCCUUCCUGGUAGAUUUCUUGACGUAGGGAACAAGUCCUCUAGAUAACGUUCGUUCCCAAAAUCACGUUUCCGAAGGUUUCAUUCCGUUUGGACUCGGUUUGAUAUUCUUUUUCUGUGAAACUCUGAACUAGGCAAAAAACAGCAAUUCUGGGGUGGGCCUCCGAUUAAUAGGUUAGUCCCAAAAAUAAUAUAAAAGUGUAUAAUAAAGCCCAUUAAUGUCUAAAACAGAAUAUAAUAUAGCAUGGAACAAUAAAAAAUUAUAUAUACGUUGGAGACGUAUCAAGCAUCCCCAAGCUUAAUUCUUGCUCGUCCUCGAGUAGGUAAAUGAUAAAAACAGAAUUUUUAAUGUGGAAUGCUACUUGGCAUAAUUUCAAUGUAAUUCUCUUAAUUGUGGUAUGAAUAUUCAGACCCGAAAGAUUCAAGACAAAAGUUUAAUAUUGACAUAAAAAUAAUAAUACUUCAAGCAUACUAACUAAGCAAUUAUGUCUUCUCAAAAUAACAUGGCCAAAGAAAGUUAUCCCUACAAAAUCAUAUAGUCUAGCUAUGCUCUAUCUUCACCACACAAAGUAUUUAAAUUAUGCACAACCCGGAUGACAAGCCAAGCAAUUGUUUCAUACUUUUGAUGUUCUCAAACUUUUUCAAUCUUCACGCAAUACAUGAGCAUGAGCCAUGGACAUAGCACUAUAUGUGGAAUAGAAUGGUGGUUGUGGAGAAGACAAAAAAGGAGAAGAUAGUCUCACAUCAACUAGGCGUAUCAACGGGCUAUGGAGAUGCCCAUUAAUAGAUAUCAAUGUGAGUGAGUAGGAAUUGCCAUGCAACGGAUGCACUAGAGCUAUAAGUAUAUGAAAGCUCAACAAAAGGAACUAAGUGGGUGUGCAUCCAACUCGCUUGCUCAUGAAGACCUAGGGCAUUUUGAGGAAGCCCAUCAUUGGAAUAUACAAGCCAAGUUCUAUAAUGAAAAUUUGCCACUAGUACAUGAAAGUGAUAUCAUAGGAGACUCUCUAUCAUGAAGAUCAUGGUGCUACUUUGAAGAACAAGUGUGGUAAAAGGAUAGUAACAUUGUCCCUUCUCUCUUUUUCUCUCAUUUUUUUAUUUGGGUCUUUUAUCCUUUUUUAUGGCCUCUUUUUUUUAGUCCGAAGUCUCAUCCCGACUUGUUGGGGAAUCAUAGUCUCCAUCAUCCUUUCCUCACUUGGGACAAUGCUCUAAAAAAUGAUGAUCAUCACACUUUUAUUUACUUACAACUCAACAAUUACAACUCAAUACUUAGAACAAAAUAUGACUCCAUGUGAAUGCCUCCGGCGGUAUACCGUGAUAUGCAAUGAAUCAAGAGUGACAUGUAUGAAAGAAUUAUGAACGGUGGCUUUGCCACGAAUACAAUGUCAACUACAUGAUCAUGGAAAGCAAUAUGACAAUGAUGGAGUGUGUCAUAAUAAACUGAACGGUGGUAAGUUGCAUGGCAAUAUAUCUCGGAAUGGCUAUGGAAAUCCUAUGGUAGGUAGGUAUGGUGGCUGUUUUGAGGAAGGUAUAUGGUGGGUGUAUGAUACCGGCGAAAAGUGCGCGGUAUUAGAGAGGCUAGCAAUGGUGGAAGGAAGAAAGUGCGUAUAAUCCAUGGACUCAACAUUAGCCAUAAAGAACUCAUAUACUUAUUGCAAAAAUCUACAAGUUAUCGAAGCAAAGUAUUACCCGCAUCAUCCUAGGGGGAUAGAUUGGUAUGAAAAGACCAUCGCUCAUCCCAGACCGCCACUCAUAAGGAAGACAAUCAAUAAAUAAAUCAUGCUCCGACUUCAUCACAUAACGGUUCACCAUACGCGCAUGCUAAGGGAAUCACAAACUUUAACACAAAUAUUUCGCAAAUUCAAAACUACUCAACUAGCAUGACUCUAAUAUCACCAUCUCCAUAUCUCAAAACAAUUAUCAAGUAUCAAACUUCUCAUAGUAUUCAACACACUCAUAAGAUUUUUUUACUAAUCUUGAGUGCCUAUCAUAAUUAAAGCAAAUUACCACGCUGUUUUGUAGGACUAUCAAAAUAAUCUAAGUGAAUCAUGAGAGAACAAUAGUUUCUAUAAAACAAAACCACCACCGUGCUCUAAAAGACAUACGUGAAGCACUAGAGCAAAAACUAUAUAGCUCAAAAGAUAUAAGUGAAGCACAUAGAGUAUUCUAACAAUUUCCGAAUCAUGUGUGUCUCUCUCAAAAGGUGUGUACUGCAAGGAUUAUUGUGGCAAACUAACAAAUAAAUACUUCAAAUAAUACAAGACGCUCCAAGAAAAACACAUAUCAUGUGGUGAAUAAAAAUAUAGCUCCAAGUAAAGUUACCGAUGGAAGUAGACGAAAGAGGGGAUGCCUUCCGGGGCAUCCCCAAGCUUUGGCUUUUAGGUGUCCUUAGAUUAACUUGGGGUGCCAUGGGCAUCCCCAAGCUUAGGCUCUUGCCACUCCUUGUUUCAUAAUCCAUCAAAUCUUUCACCCAAAACUUGAAAACUUCACAACACAAAACUCAGCAGAAAAUCUCGUGAGCUCCGUUAGCAAAAGAAAACAAAACACCACUUCAAGGUACUGUAAUGAACUCAUUCUUUAUUUAUAUUGGUGUUAAACCUACUGUAUUCCAACUUCUCUAUGGUUUAUAAACUAUUUUACUAGCCAUAGAUUCAUCAAAAUAAGCAAACAACACACGAAAAACAUAAUCUGUCAAAAACAGAACAGUCUGUAGUAAUCUGUAACUAACGCAAUUUUCUGGGACACCAAAAAUUGACCCAAAAUAGGAAGACCUAGACAAUUUUUUUAUUGAUCAGCAGCAAUUGGGAUCAAUAUUUUAUCACGUCCUGGUGAUUUUUAACAAUUAUUUUCGUGAACAGAAAGUUUCUAGAAUUUUCAGCAAGAUCAAAUAACUAUCAUCCAAGAAGAUCCUAUAGGUUAAACUUGGCACAAACACUAAUUAAAACAUAAAAACACAUGUAACCAGAGGCUAGAUCAAAUAUUUAUUCCUAAACAAAAGAAAAAAUCAUAAAAAACUAAAAAUAAAAUUGGGUUGCCUCCCAACAAGCGCUAUCGUUUAAUGCCCCUAGCUAGGCAUAAUAGCAAUGAUAGAUCUAGGUAUUGCCAUCUUUGGUAGGCAAUCCAUAAGUGGCUCUCAUAAUAGAUUCAUAAGGUAAUUUUAUUUUCUUUCUAGGGAAGUGUUCCAUGCCUUUCCUUAAUGGAAAUUGGAAUCUAAUAUUCCCUUCCUUCGUAUCAAUAAUUGCACCAAUCGUUCUAAGGAACGGUCUACCAAGAAUAAUAGGACAUGAAGGAUUGCAAUCUAUAUCAAGAACAAUAAAAUCUACUGGCACAUAAUUCCUAUUUGCAACAAUAAGAACAUCAUCAAUUCUUCCCAUAGGUUUCUUAAUGGUGGAAUCCGCAAGGUGCAAGUUUAAAGAGCAAUCAUCAAAAUCACGGAAACCUAGCAAAUCGCAUAGAAUCUUUGGAAUCGUGGAAACACUAGCACCCAAAUCACACAAAGCAUAGCAUUCAUGAUCUUUAAUUUUAAUUUUAAUAGUAGGUUCCCACUCAUCAUAAAGUUUUCUAGGGAUAGAAACUUCCAACUCAAGUUUUUCUUCAUAAGAUUGCAUCAAAGCAUCAACGAUAUGUUUAGUAAGGCUUUAUUUUGACUAUAAGCAUGUGGAGAAUUUAGCACGGAUUGCAACAAGGAAAUACAAUCUAUCAAAGAGCAAUUAUCAUAAUUAAAUUCCUUGAAAUCCAAAAUAGUGGGUUCAUUAAUAUCUAGAGUUUUGAUUUCUUCAAUCCCACUUUUACCAUUUUUUGCAUCAAGAUCUAAAAACUCCGAAUUUUUGGAACGCCUUCUAGGUAGAGGUGGAUUAUAUUCAGUCCCAUCAUUAUCAAGAUUCAUAUUGCAAAACAAAGAUUUAAUAGGGGACACAUCAAUAACUUUUAGAUCUUCAUCUUUAUUUUCAUAGAAACUAGAAGAACACGCUUUCACAAAACAAUCUUUCUUAGCACGCAUCCUAGCGGUUCUUUCUUUGCACUCAUCAAUGGAAAUUCUCAUGGCCUUGAGAGACUCAUUGAUAUCAUGCUUAGGAGAAAUUCUAUCAGCGUUCCUAGCCAAUUCAUCAACUUUAAGCAAUUUUUCUUCAAGCAAAGCAUUGAAAUUGUUUUGCGAAUUCAUAAAUUCUUUAACACUAGUCUCAAAUUCAGAAGGCAUCUUAUUAAAAUUUCCAUAAUAAUUGUUGUAGGAAUUACCAUAAUUAUUAGAGGAAUUACUAGGAUACGGCCUUGGAUUAAAGUUUCCUCUAUACGCGUUGUUACCAAAAUUAUUCCGACCAACAAAAUUCACAUCCAUAGAUUCAUUAUUAUUCUCAAUCAAAGUAGACAAAGGCAUAUCAUUAGGAUCAGAAGAAACACUUUUAUUAGCAAAUAAUUUCAUAAGUUCAUCCAUCUUUCCACUCAAAACAUUAAUUUCUUCUAUCAUGCACUUUUUAUUAGUGGUUUUUUCGGUGUGCCAUUGAGAAUAAUUAACCAUAAUAUUAUCUAGGAGUUUAGUAGCUUCUCCUAAAGUGAUUUCCAUAAAAGUGCCUCCCGCGGCCGAAUCUAAAAGAUUUCUAGAAGAAAAAUUCAAUCCGGCAUAAAUUUUUUGUAUAAUCAUCCACAAAUUCAAACCAUGAAUAGGGCAAUUACGUAUCAUUAAUUUCAUCCUCUCGCAAGCUUGUGCAACAUGUUCAUGAUCAAGUUGCUUAAAAUUCAUAAUAUCGUUUCUAAGAGAGAUGAUCUUAGCGGGAGGAAAAUACUUAGAGAUAAAAGCAUCUUUGCACUUAUUUCAAGAAUCACUACUAUUUUUAGGCAAAGACAAAAACCAAGCUUUAGCACGAUCUCUAAGCGAAAAAGGAAAUAGCUUCAAUUUAACAAUAUCAUUGUCCACAUCUUUCUUCUUUUGCAUAUCACACAAAUCAACGAAGUUGCCAUGUCUAGGAAUGCUUGAAGCUUCAAAGAUUUCCUAUAAUACAACAUGCCUCUAACUAUUCACAAUAAGAAAAACAUGUAAAUGCGGAAUCAACCAAAUGUUGGUAAAUUGUAGUUGAUUUUGGCCAAGCAAACGUCAGAUGAAAGAAACAUACAUGAGUGAACAUCACGAUUGGAUGUUUUAUUCAAAUUUAACAGGUUAAACUCACCAAAUCCAUCUGGAUAUUUAGUAUUAAACUUCAACAGAUGGUGAGUUGUAGCUAGAUUCACAACACUGAAGCAAAAUUCCAUCUGCCACGGUUACAUCACACCAUCUUUUCAUCGUUACUAUUUAAAUUCCAAAUGCCUGCAACUCAUUUUUUUGUUACGAUGUAUGCAUGAUUUUUAACUCAAGAGGAAGAGGGGAAACUAAAUCCAAGAAAAGAACACCAAGGAAGCAUCCAAAAUAGAGAAAGGAAAAAUCCAAAAUAGAGGCAGAAUCGAAGGGAAGAAACCCCAUAAAAAAUAGGAGAUCAAACGGUGAAAAAAAUCUAAGAGUCAAACAAUUCCAGGUAAGACCAAAUCGACGACAAAAUAGCACAAGAGGGACUCACAUUAACAGGUAUACCAAUUCAGAAAGAAGUGUAAAGCGAACAGUGCAAUGGACCACUAGUAUAAAUUGGCUGUACACAAACAUGGGACUUAAACAGGAACUGCGAGAUGCAGGGUUCACGUGCAAACCCAAAAAACGGAAAACUGAAACGCACAACAAGAUUUUAUCUUCAUAUAUAUAUAUUAUGAGCUAUUGGCUUUUUAGUCAGGUAAAUAUCAUUCUUAAGACUACGGAAAACAGCAGGCGGCGAAGAAAACAUCUAUUGAUGAGAACUAUACACAUACUUAAGAAGGAAGUGACAUCUAUGGUAGCAGAACAUAUAUCAAGCUGUUGCAGCUACAUUAGCAGUUUAGCACAGUUCCUCCAUAAUACACAGGCUAGUGUAAUUUCACAAAUACAAUAAGCUAACAAUAUAUAUUUGGUAGAUGGAAAUGGCUGGAUCAUGACCAAUAUACCAUUACACAUCCGAUGAUGCAAAUAAACCACAAUAGAACAUGUAUUUGGCGAAACCUCCAUACUGCAAUAUCAAACAUGAAUUGAAAUUAACAAUCUAGCAAAAAAACAUGACAGAUGCAGUCUUGGUCAUUUUUCCUUUUGUGACAUCCCCUAAAAAAAGUAAAAACAAUGUUGUUCGUAUUUUACCAGAGAUACACUGAGCUGGGACAAAUUGGUCUGAAAUAAAAUAUGAUGGCUUCGGAGGAUUCGGAAGGGAAGAAAUUUGCUUUCUUCCAACAUAUAUGGUCUGCUGAACUAAACUUCGUUUCAGCGGGCUUUGCCAAAAAUCUGUAACUGCAAACAUCAACUUGUGUGCCCUUCCUACGUCAAACUUUAAACCUGAGCUCAGUGUACUUUAUGAGUGUUAAGUGUACUUUCUAAAUAGCAGAGAAACCAUAACAUCUAAGCACAACCCAGCAACUUGUACAAGCUAACAUCAAAUCUGAAAGAAGAAAUGUCGAGAACAGGUGAAGGUACCAUGAUCCACGACUGAGCAAAGUUAUCUAUUAUCCUCGGUGAAUAUCAUAAAUUAGGAUCAACUACGCUGAAGAACAAACGGGAAAGGAACCUAGAAAGAUCUUUUGCCGGUAGAAUAUAACUGAUACACUAUCCUCAUUCUCGAGAUCAAGGUCGUUUCUUGAAUUGCAGUUUCCUCACUGUAGUAUGGGGUCAUUACACUGCGAAGAACAAAGUGUCAUAUGAAUCAUUUAGAGCCCAAUCUUUUUCACUGAAACUCUUAUGAUCACAUAACGAAUUUAAACAUAAGGUUUAUUAGAUAUUUGUUGUUGUGAAUAGAUAAUAUAUUUCUGGUGUUGACAAUGUUUUGAUUAUGGAUGCACUUCAAGAUGGGUGGCACAGAUUCUGUUGUACAGGCCUCCACCUGGAAUUUCAUCACUUGUUAUUUUUGUUUUAGAAUGUCUAGGUGCAUUUUUCCUUUAAGGUGGAAACAGAUGUACUUGUAUAAGCAACAAGAAUACAAAGCGCCACUGCCAUACAUUGUGGAAGUUCAGUGCUUCUGUUUACAAAAUCUGCUUCCCAAAACAGAAGGUUUAUAAUUUUUUAUUACAAUCAAGCGGACAUGAGCUGAUGAGUACAGAUGUAGACAUGUACUGAGAGCAGCACCCUUUCAAAAGUGGAUCAUUUACAUGUUGGAUAGUUUGAUGGUCUGAAAUUAAUGGUCGUGUUUCAGAAUUGUUAUCGAAUAGUAGGGGAUAUAUAUUAACUUCUGAAAUUAGUGGCUGUUUGUCAGAACUGUUAUCGAAUAGUAGGGCACAUAUAUUAACUUCAAUAAGUGGACUAAUAUCUUUGGAUUCGCUGUGAGGAAAGAUUACCAAAACAAAACAGAAGUGAGUGCGACGACCCAGAUGAGGGCGCUCUUGAGCCUCUUCCCGACCGACCUAGAUGCAGGAGCAGAACACGGCGGAUCUAAUCAGCCAACCAAUAAAGCCGAGGAAGUAAGGGAGGAAGAAGACUGACUUGUCCUGGUCGCCCUCGUAGUUAGAACAUGGCGAACAGGAUGACGAGGAAGACGAGGACAGCGUCGAGGAUGUAGACGACGAGCCAGAGCAUGUUCAUGGGCAGGAUCAAGCAUGGGCAGGAUAAGGGCGCAGGCCCCGUUGUAGGCGGCGUGCUUGCAGGCCUGGCGGUUGGCGACGUCGGCGGGGAGCAUGAGGAUGGAGAGGACGGCGACGGUGAUGCCGAGCACGAUGACGAGCUUGAGGAAGUAGGCCUGGUUGGCAUCAUCCGGGUGCUGGUAGUUGACGAGCAGGCAGACGCUGACGAGGAGCACCAGGAUGCUGACCACCGCCGCCACGAUCACUAGCGCCACGUUAAAAAACCCAUAUCCUCGGGGCUCCGGUCCCGGUUCCGGCCCGCCGCCUCGCCCCCGUUGGUCGGUCAGAUCUCUCUGUCCCUAGAGGCGGGGGAUACAGGCUAGGGUUUGGGCGUGGGCGGGGAAUAGGCUGCUAUGGUGCCGGCAGCGGGGCGUGGAGGAGAGAAGGAUUAGGAGGAAUAAUUCACCACACUUUGAUUAACCUCUCGGCUGGGUCUUAUGUACAGAUUACAGGGCCAGCCAGGGAGAUCAUGAGGUGAUCCACUACCUGGGAUCGUGCGCCACGAUCACUACAUGCGUGCGCCACGAUCAUAUACACACACGCUACACCUAGUGUCUACGCAACUACGGUAUAGCAGUACGGUACAGUCUAACACCCCCCCCCCCCCGCAGUCGUGACGUCGUCGGCGGCGACGCAAAGACUGGACCGGAACUCAGAGAAAACAUCCGAUGGCAGGCCUUUGGUCAUGAUGUCCGCGAGUUGUUGGCGCGUGGGGAUGUGAAGAACACGGAAGUGGCCGAGGGCGACGCGCGCCCGCACGAAAUGGAUGUCCAGCUCCACAUGCUUAGUGCGGCGAUGAUGCAUCGGAUUGGCUGACAGGUAGACUGCGGACACAUUGUCACAGUACACCAGUGCUGCCUUGGUCACUGGAGCGGAGAGCUCGCCGAGAAGCUGGCGGAGCCAGAUGCAUUCAGCGACCGCGUUGGCGACGCCGCGGUAUUCAGCUUCGGCGCUGGAGCGCGAUACGGUCGCCUGGCGCUUGGAGGACCAGGAGACGAGAGCAUCGCCGAGGAAGACGCAGAAGCUCGACGUGGAGCGUCGGGUGUCGGGGCAGCCGGCCCAGUCCGCGUCGGUGAACGCAAGGACGUCGAGCGUGGUCGAGGCGUGAAGAUGAAGCCCGAGUGCGCAGGUGCCCUUCACGUACCGGAGCACGCGCUUGACGAGCGCGAGGUGGCAUUCGCGCGGGUCAUGCAUGUGCAAGCAGAUUUGCUGGACGGCGUAGGCGAUCUCUGGACGCGUGAUGGUGAGGUACUGCAGGGCCCCGGCGAUGCUCCGAUAGGCCGAGGGGUCGUCGACGCAGGGCCCAUCGGCUGAGAGGAGUUUGCUCUUCGUGUCGAUGAGUGUCGGGGAAGGGCGGCAGGUGUCCAUGCCGGCGCGUUCCAGGAGUUCGUCGGCAUAUUGUUGUUGCGACAGGAAGAAGCCAGCUCGGGUGCGGGUGACGCGGAUGCCGAGGAAGAAGGCGAGCGAGCCCAGGUCCUUCAUGGCGAAUUCGCCUGUGAGGCGCUGGAUGACAUGGUGAAGCACGCGUGACGAGGACGCGGUGAGCACGAUGUCGUGGAUGUAGAUGAGGAGGAACGCCAUGUCGUUGCCGUGCCGGAAGGUGAACAGCGACGAGUCCGAACGCGUAGCUGCGAAGCCAAUGGAGCGGACGAAGCCGGCGAAGCGGAGGAACCAGGCACGGGGCGCCUGCUUGAGCCCGUACAAGGACUUGGAGAGGCGGCAGACGUGCUCUGGUUUGUCGGGGUCGACGAAUCCGGCGGGCUGGAGGCAGUAGACUUCCUCCUCCAAGUUGCCGUGGAGGAAGGCGUUGGAGACGUCGAGGUGGUGCACCGGCCAGCCGCGCGACGCGGCCAUAGUGAGCACAGUGUGGAUCGUCGCUGGCUUGACGACGGGGGAGAACGUCUCGCCGUAGUCGACGCCGGCACGCUGAUGAAAGCCCCGCACGACCCAGCGUGCUUGCUAGCGGGCCAGCGCACCGUCGGCGUCGUUUUUGUGCUUGAAGAUCCACUUCCCUGUGAUCAGGUUGGCGCCGGGGGGGCGGGGCACCAGCUCCCAUGUGCGAUUGCGCACGAGCGCAUCGUACUCAGCACGCAUGGCACCGAGCCAGUUCGGGUCGUGAACAGCAGCGCGAACCGAACGCGGCACCGGCGACACCGAUGAUGAGGUAGAGGCGGUGGCCGCGUCGUAGUAGCGCGGGUUGGGGCGGAAGAUGCCGCGCUGGGCACGCAUGACCAUGGGCACAGGAGGCGCCGGUGCGCGGGGCGCCGUUGGUCGCGCGCUCGGAGACGAGCUGUCGGAGGAGCCACUGGCGGAGUUGUCGGAGGAGCCGCUGGCGGAGGCGAAGACAGGCGGACCUGGCGCGGAUGGGCACGUCGAGGACGGAGCAGAGCCGCCAUCGGAAGCGCCCGCAGCGCACCGCGAGCUAACGCGGCGCGCCCCGCUGGUUGGCGAUGAUGAGCGGGGCAGGCUGGUGAUGGAGAUCGGGCGCGCCGGCAGGACGGGUGACAUGCUGCUGUCAGGCACCGGUGGAAGCGCAGGCAGCGCAGGAGGCCGGACGGCGAGCGGGAUCUGCAGGGUAGAGGGUACGACGGGUGGCGUAGGCGACGGGGAAGAGGAUGCGAACGGGAAAACGUGGUCGUGGAAGAGAACGUGGCGAGACGUGAGGACACAGCGAGAGGUGAGGUCAAAGCAGCGAAAACCACGAUGAUCGGGAGGGUACCCGAGGAAGACGCAGGCGAUAGAACGUGGCUCGAGCUUAUGGCGGGUGGUGGCGGUGACGUUCGGAUAGAUGCGGAGUAAUUUGUGCGACGCCGAGCAGGAGUUCAUGCGGAGUGCAGGGCGCCGAGGCGCGGCAGGGCCGAUGAUUGAGCAGGUAGGUCGAGGUGUUGAGAGCCUCUGCCCAGAAGCGAGCGGGCAUGUGCGCAUGACAGAGAAGCACACGAACGCCGUCGUUGAUCGUGCGGAGAACUCGCUCGUCCUUGCCGUUCUGCUGACUGGUGUAUGGGCAGGUGAGACGGAAGUGUGUGCCGUGGCGAGCAAGCAGAGAGCGCACAGCUGCGCUGUCGAAUUCACGACCAUUGCCCGUUUGCAGUGCAAGUAUGGGUAACUGAAACUGAGUCUGAACAUAGGCAAAGAAAUCAACAAGUAUGGGAAGAACUUCAGACAUGUGUUUCAGAGGGAAAGUCCAGACAUAGUGACUGAAAUCAUCUAGUACAACUAAGUAAAACUGAUAGCCGGAUAUGCUUACAACGGGAGCGGUCCAUACAUCAAGGUGUAAAAGCUGGAAAGGAAAGAAACUAGCAGUGGUGGAUGUCUGAAACGGGAGCCAGGUGUGUUUGCCAACACGACAGGCAUGACAGACAGGCGGAUCACGGCAGAACUCCAGGGACUGAUCGGCAGCAACGGUGCGGAGUGCGGCAGCCCCUGGGUGGCCGAGACGUUGAUGCCACAGGUCGGUCGUGGCGGCGCCGGCGAAGAUGCCCGGGGAAUGGACGGAUGGCCGCACCACGGGAUAGAGAUCGCCGUCGGAGUCACAUCGGAGAAUCACUACCCUGGUUCGUAGGUCCUUGACAGAGAAACCACGAGCGUCAAAUUCAACAGAAACGGGGUAGGAACGACAAAGCUGCCGAACUGAAAGUAGGUUUUUGACGAGAGAUGGAGAGACGAGAACGUUGCGGAGAGGAAUGGGGGAAGUGCUGGUGAUCAGCGCGCCCGUGCCAACGUGGGUGAUGGGCAGGCGGUCACCACUGCCCACGAUGAUAGAUGCAGUAGUAGAGGACGGGCGAGUGGAGAGGAGAUUACCAGGGGAGGACGUCAUGUGCGCCGCGGCGCCGGAGUCGAGGUACCACUCCGGUGCGCUGCCAGAGGAGGAAGGGCUGGCCGAGGCGCUGUGGAGGGCGGCCUGGAGCGAGGCCAUGUCCCAUGGCUGGUGGGUUGCAGUCGACGAGCUGGCGCCGGGGUGCCCGUAGCCUGACAGGACGUCGGAGACGGGUGGAGUGACGCCGUAGCCGGGGAGGGUAGCGCCGUAGCCGUAUGGUGCAGCCGGCGACGGGGCGGCGAACAUGGCCUGCUGGUACGGCGUACCAGGGCGGGGGCCGAGCACUUCAGCUCCAGCCGCGCGCCAAGGCAUCGGCCAAGCCUGGACCAUGCCGGUCCAUGCGUUUGUACCGGGUGCAGGCGUGGGGUACGCUGGGGGAGGGCGGGGAGCCUGGGAGGACGGCGUGGGCGGGCCACCAAUGCCGUUGCCACGUCUGGGGCGGCGUCCGCGCCCACGCCCUUGGUUGGUGUUGCUGGGCGGGGGUGUGGGUGGUGUAGGAGAGCCGCCACGCCCGGCGACGAGAGCGUGCGCAGACUGCUGGCGAGUGGUCGACUGCUCUGCUCGGUGUUCCUCAAGCAGGACGAAGGAGCGCACCUGCAGGAACGACGGGAGCGGGACCUGCGAGGUGAUGUGAGGGAUGGCGGAGUGGAACUGCCGGUUCAGACCGCGGAGCAGGUUGAAGACCUGCCGCGAGUCGGUUACCGGCUGCCCGAGGUGGCGGAGUUGAUCCGUGAACGACUUCAUCUUGGUGCAGUACACCAUGAUCGACAUGUCGCCCUGAACGAUAGCGUGGUACUCGGCGUCGAGGUAGACAGCGCGAGCGAGGUGGUUGUCGCGGAAGAUUCCAUCGACCGCAGUCCAGACGGCCAGAGCAGUGUCGUCCGGCUGCAUGACGGCGUCGAGCAGGUCCGGCGAUAUGGUGGUGUAGAACCAGUGGACGACGACGUGAUCAGCCAUGCCCCACUCGGGAUCAUCGUGGCGGUGGAUGGCCGUGGCGCCGAACAUGCCGAUGACGGUGUCGAAGUGGCGGCGCCACUGCGUGUAGUUGCCGGCGAGAAGGUCGAGGGUGACCGGGACAUGACGACGGAUGUCCACGGUCUGCAGGAUCGCGGAGGCGACAGGUGCUGUAGCAGGAGGAGGAGGGAUGACGGGCACCGCGGGCGCGACAGGUGCUGGAGCCGGCGGUGCCUUGGCCAGGGGGACAGCGUUAAGGACGCCGUCGGCGCCGUGCUGCGAGGAGCGAGGGGACACGAUGGGGUUGUCAUCCAUGGCGGCGGAAGCGGGACUGGCGACCUGCGCGAAGGGAUUGAGCAGGUCGGGGGAAUCUGGUACCAUAGAGGAGAGAAGGAUUAGGAGGAAUAAUUCACCACACUUUGAUUAAGCUCUCGGUUGGGUCUUAUGUAUAGAUUACAGGGCCAGGGAGAUCACGGGGUGAUCCACUACCUGGGAUCGUGCGCCAGGAUCACUAUAUGCGUGCGCCACGAUUAUAUACACACAUGCUACAACUAGUGUCUACGCAACUACGGUAUAGCAGUACAAUACAGUCUAACAGGGCAGCCACCGGCGGGGAGGGCGGGAUCCACGCGGGGUGGCGGGAUUUGGGCAGGCGGUGGGCUCGGGGGAGGGCGGUGGCAGCGAAGCAGCAAGGAGGGGCUGGAGGAGAUGAAACGAAAGAGGUCGCGUGACACAGCGACAGCGUUGUCCAAUCCCCGCGCUGCCGAUUUAAAAAAAAGGUAAUGAUAACUCCCGAACGUUCGGGAGUUAAGCAUGGAAACCCGAACGGGUUUAGAUGGCAAGUUUAGUUUGCGUGAGAUUAGGAAAACAUGGCAAUUUUCUGACAAAAGAAAUGAAAAAGGAUGAAGUUGCCAUCCCUAUCAACUAAAGUUGCCAUCCCCUAUGAACUAAAGUUGCCAUGUAAAAACGUUCGGGACGAAAUGCUCAAAAUCCGAACGUUCGGAAGUUACUGGAUUCAAAAAAAUCCCCUUGCUGCCAAUCGCUGGUCCGUUUCUUUUUUCGCCCAAUCGCUAGGUGAUGACGUGGCUAUCGCGGGAAGGCGCCCUUGAUGCGUAGUCGAAUGGUUUUAAUUAAUAGGAAGCGAGUGCUUACUCUAGUUACUGAAUUAUGUACACCAAAUAAAGCCAUUUACACGUAGUUAAUGACAAAAAAAGUUGAUGUUUGCUACGCAAAUGUGUAGUACAAAUUAAGAAGUGCAAGAUAAAAAAAAAUGCUGGUCCUUGAUUCGUUGUUGAUCGUCAGCAUGCCAUCAUCAAUUUGUAGUUAAUUAUCAUACAAAUUGGCUCUUUCAUAGAGUUGGAGACUAGCUCCUUUGAUCAGCACGCGCUUAAACACAAACAGCACGUAUAUGUUUUGUCUCCGGAGUUCAAUUCUUCAUCGGCCAGUAAAAAUGGCCCGACCAGGUAGAGGAAAAGGCAUGUUUGUUAGUACGCCUGGAGGAAAUGCCUUUGAUUAGGGCAUCUUCAACAGCGACCAGUAAAUUUCCUCCCGCGUUCGUCCACGGAUAGGGGAUCAGUCCGCGGAUACGAAUACAGGAAUCAUCCAUCCAACGCUGUCCGCGUAUAUUUCAAACACAUUUUUUUUAAAAAUAGGAUGAAAUUCAUGCAAACACAAUGGAUUUCAUACAAACCGGACAAAAAUGUUUACAUUUUGGACAUUUUUUUUUACUAAAAACUCUACAGCCGGCGCCGGCGAAUAUCCACUCCGGCGACAUGGAUACCCUUGACUAGUCUACUGCCGGCCGCAGCGGAUCUCCGAUGUCGUCCCCAUGUCCGGCAGCUAUGAGCCCUAGAGGUAUAUGCUUCAGCGCAAAGAGCGGCUCGCCUCCCUACCGCUCAUCGGAGUGGAACAACCAGCUGAUGCUUCUGCCGAUGGAAAGGGUCCCUACGCUACACGGAUUAGAGUUGGUUUUGGGCUGGGAACGGCGGUGGCCUGCCAGAGGGCAAGACACCGACUGUGUAUGCUGGUGUCACCUGGUGUGGCAUUCGUGGGACCCAAGCGGCAGCGCCUCCUCGAUGAUGGCGGCGAGCGCGGACGUGUUGGACACCACCUCGUCGAUGUCCGUGCAGCCCGCUUCUUUCUCUAUAGGAAGGACGCGGUUACGCUCGCGUUGACAUCGGAUGACUCGGUCACAUGCACGGGAGGGGCGGUACGACAUGGCAUCGCCAAUGGCAGCCAUGAUGCCCGCGCCACCGUGCUCCCUCCCAGUGCCGACCUGGAGCAACUUGCCACUCCUCGGCUCGUGACCGGUGGGCUUGACGGGCCACCUAGCCAUUUUUUAUGCCAGACAACUCUUCUUCCUGCUCGUCAGAUGUCAUGGAUAAAACUGUUUAAGGAGGAAAAUGAUGAGUGGACGUGUGAUGCGGUUCUUGCCCAACAUCUGACAUUGUUUAAAUAGUGAGGGGACACGAGAGGAGCCAACCGGCGUUCUGUUUAAUGCCAACCGGCUCGCGAACGAACAUGUGGCCGGAGUAAUUAUCCUGGCACACACGAGGGUUUUAUGGUGGAAGGCGGGCAGUCUGCAGGAAUGAGGCGAGGAUGUGUGCUUAGCCGGCGUGCAGCAGGCGGUGCCCUCGGCCGGCGUGCUGCUUCCAUUGCGGAGGCAGUGAAAGGUCGCGUCCGCUCUGCAGCGCAUGAAUGCGGGCAGCUGGCGCAGAGCGGGAACGCGUGUGGGCGAGGGAGGAGGGGGUUUGGGCGGGUGGUCAGAAGAGGUCGUGGGUGUUGUCCGAACGCCUGCAAAGCCCCCCUCCAUGUUUGUCUCCAGUUUGCGGGAGAAAGUACGUCCGGACCGUCUCCAAUGGACCAAUACAGGCCCGCAUUGGAUGGCACAACACGUCCGGACGAUGUGGUCCGGAUGGUUGUGGACAGUUUAAUUGAGGGUCGGCGUUGGAGAUGCCUUAGAGUUUAUGAAUCCAUUGUGUUUUUCUAAUCAUAAAAAAGCACUUACAAUAAGUUAUAAGGAAAGACACGAUUAUAUGUUAGGUUCAGACUCCAGCUUUCGUUUUACAUAUGCUUUAUUCAUCCGACUGAUUCCAAUAGAGUGAGCCUAGCGUUGUUUUUCUGGAAACUCGCGGGAUAAGGAGACAUGCAUACACAUUCUUUCAAGCAAAUCACAUCCAUUUUUUUUAACUCAUUUUUCUUCUUUUAAUAAUAUAAUAGAUCAUUUAUAUUUUUUAUCUGAAACAGUUGACGUGUAAUUUAUAUUGUAAUCUGAGGAUAAUGUUUGGAUUUUACUUUCAAAUAUAUUUGAAAUGGCCAUGAUGGAAUCACAUCCAUUUAUUUUAUUAUUAUUUGAAUUUGAUCCAAAAGAUAAAUAAUGAGUAGAGGUCAUGUCAACUUUUCUGAGAACUUUGCUAAUCAAAAUAUAAAUUGUAUUUAAAAACAUCUAUUUUUUAGCACGCAUGAAAAACAUAACACGUAUCUUUUCACACAUAAUGAACGGUUGUCAUAAGAACUCAUGCCAUGCCACAACCUCCCUCCGACCCUGCCAACAUUGUUGCAGCUGCACUCGCAAGCCUUAGCGUAGAUGAUAAUUUAUACAAUUUGCGUAAAAACAAAAUAAGAUCUACAAAUGAAUAGAAGCUAGAACGUACAUUGGCAUGCACACACAUUGCAAGCCAUACUAAGCUGAUAAGUGUUAAUAACUUGUAUAACAUAUACAACACUUAACACAAGUAAAAGCAAUUUGAUGAGUCAUGGUCUAUCAAAGCCACAUUACUAGUCUAAUCCAUCUUAACAGGUCACACAUGAUUAAAAUCUUGUUUGUGUGCAAGUCAAGCUUAUCUAGUUUACAUGUAACAACUUGUAGAACAUUACAAAAUUUAUGUUUGCUAAUAACUUCUAGAACACUACAACACUUGACAUGUAAAAGGAAUUUGAUGAGUCAUGGCCUACUAAAGCAAGUUAUAUUACUAGUCUUAUCUACCUUAACAGGCCACACAAGAUUACAAACCAAGUUCUGUGCCAGCCAUGCUUAUCUAGUUUAUGCGUAACAAUUUGCAGAAAAUUACAAACUUAGUUUCAGAAAAAUAGGCAAUCUAGAUUAGUGUUUGAGCUGUAAAGUGAAUAAAAUGAGUCAUGCGUGUUAUCACACCUUUUUGGUUGUGGAAUGAUAGUGCAACAACAAGGAACUUUAAUGACCAGUUCAAGAAUACACUUGUAAGUAGUGCCACCGAACACAACAUACCAAAUUAUGAUUUUGAGAAGCAUCCAAGCACUUCCACACAAGCAAAUGCCAAUUGUGAAAGAGAUCAUGCCAUGGCAGCUAUAAAUAGGCCCGUAGCAUGACGAUCAUCCUUCCUCAUCCAUCAUUCUCAUAAGUAGAGCGCAUCAUUUAAGCCAAGCAAGCAGUGCUCAAUACAAAUCCACCAUGAAGACCUUUCUCAUCCUUGCACUCCUUGCUAUUGUAGCAACCACCGCCACAAUUGCAGUUAGAGUUCCAGUGCCACAAUUGCAGCCACAAAAUCCAUCUCAGCAACAACCACAAGAGCAAGUUCCAUUGGUACAACAACAACAAUUUCCAGGGCAGCAACAACCAUUUCCACCACAACAGCCAUAUCCGCAGCCGCAACCAUUUCCAUCACAACAACCAUAUCUGCAGCUGCAGCCAUUUCCGCAGCCGCAACUACCAUAUCCGCAGCCGCAUCUACCAUAUCCGCAGCCGCAACCAUUUCGACCACAACAACCAUAUCCACAACCGCAACCACAGUAUUCGCAACCACAACAACCAAUUUCGCAGCAGCAGCAACAACAACAACAACAACAACAACAACAGAUCCUUCAACAAAUUUUGCAACAACAACUGAUUCCAUGCAGGGAUGUUGUAUUGCAACAACACAGCAUAGCGCAUGGAAGCUCACAAGUUUUGCAACAAAGUACUUACCAGCUGGUGCAACAAUUGUGUUGUCAGCAGCUGUGGCAGAUCCCCGAGCAGUCGCGGUGCCAAGCCAUCCACAAUGUUGUUCAUGCUAUUAUUCUGCAUCAACAACAACAACAACAACAACAACAACAACAACAACAACCGUUGAGCCAGGUCUCCUUCCAACAGCCUCAACAACAAUAUCCAUCAGGCCAGGGCUCCUUCCAGCCAUCUCAGCAAAACCCACAGGCCCAGGGCUCUGUCCAGCCUCAACAACUGCCCCAGUUUGAGGAAAUAAGGAACCUAGCGCUAGAGACGCUACCUGCAAUGUGCAAUGUCUAUAUCCCUCCAUAUUGCACCAUUGCUCCAGUUGGCUUCUUCGGUACUAACUGAGAAGAGAAGAACUCUAGUAGUAGACAUAUGAUACACCGUUUUCUUAGUCCAUGGUUUGGUCGUUGUAGCGGUGAAAAAAUAAAGUGACAUGCAGUAUCAUGUAAGAACCCGAACUAUACUAGUUCAAACAUGGGAAUAAAAGACAAACACAUGUCUUGUCUACAUAUGAUUGUUUGUUUGAGUUCCACUCAUGUGCCCACUCACAAGUUCACCCCUAAUUAUAUAUAUUAUGCAUUAAGUAGAUAUUUAUGUUGCAUUAAUCUAAAGAUAACAAAAUGAGUCUGAAAUUUGACUUAAAUUGAAGUAUUUCCUUGGACGUUCAAAUGGAGUAUUAUUAAAGUAGUAAGGACUAUCCACAUCCUUGGCUUGCCCUUGAUCAAUUAUUUCCAGAGAAGCAUUCAAUUCAUCAAUCAAUUACAUUGAUUUUUGUGGCUGGUACUUCUCCUCAACAUGAGUAUAUUCAUCGCGGCUACUCCAAAUAGGCAUGAAUGAGGUACCGGUGCUCUGGAGCACUGGUACCUAACUGCUUCUCAUGUGAAGGGGUGCGGGCGCGGGAGAGGUGUUUUUGGUGGGCCAGGGGAGUAAGAAUCGGCCGUGGCAGCGGUCCAGACGCCCACAAAGCCCCGUAGUUUGUUUUUGGUUUACAGGAAAAUGCACAUCCAGACCGGCCUGCGGGCCGAUAUAGGACCGUAUUGGAUGGCAAAACAUGUCCGGAUGGUCGCGAGCGGUUUAAGGGUUAGCUUUUGUAACGCCUGGUUAGUUAUGCUAUGGUAAUUCCCUGCUAAUGAUGUCACGUCAGCACGAUUACUGUUGUUAACCUCACAAUGAUUCAAUCCCAUUCAAAUUCAAAUUUAAAAUAAAGGCAAAAAUCAAAAGUCUCAAACAUUAAAACUAAAAUCUUCGAGAGGUGAAAAAUAAUGCAUAAGUAAUUAUGGUGGAGCAACCACACUUUUAUAAAAUGUUUAAAUACUCUAAAAAUAAUAAAACAGUGGCUUAAACUAUUAUUUAAAUGCUUUUAAAAUAGUAAAAAUGUUCUAACUAAAUUAAUUGGGUACCAAACUUUUGGUGGCAGUGGUAUAUUUAGUAGAACUAAUUUAGAUGCUAAUAAAACAUAAAAGGAAAGACAAAACAAAUAAAAGUAAAAGGGGGCAACCCCUCGCUGGGCCUCGGCCAAGCUGGCCACUGGGCUAGCUAGGUUGGCCCAACCGCCUCCCUUAACCCCCCACUCCCCAUCGAACCCUAGACCGAUCGCCCCACUUCCCCCACACCCCCUCGUCAGCCUCCCCACCUCUCGAUCCCAUCUGGAUCGGGGAGGGGAUCGCCCCCAUCGACCCCGUCGCGGUCGCUGGAUCGCCCGCUCGCCCAUCGCCCGCCGCCGUCGCGAGACCUCCUCCCCGUCGCACGUCUCCGACUCUCCUCCCCUCUCGCUCCUCUUCCCCGACCCGAUCUGGAUCGGGAAGGGCCAAUGAGCCAAACGCCCCCCUCCAUCGACGAUGUGCUCCAGCACCGCCGCCCGAAGACCUCGCCCUCGCCGGACCUCGCGUCGCCUCCUCGUAUCCCUCCCCGACUCGCCUCCUCAAGCCACGCCGACCCCCUUCUCGGCAACGCUGUGAGCUGCCCCCGUUUCCAUCCUUCUCUUUCCACCGUGUUCACCGCGCUGCCUGCCGUGCCCCUCGCUGCGCGCACGCCCACCACCGUGCCAGCCCCUGCUCCGAGCCCUCUCCUGCACGCUUGUGCGCGCAUGACCCUAGCCGCGCCCACGCCGUGAUCCCCUUGUCCCGCCCGCCUUCGUCCCGCGCUCGCCGCGGCCCCCAUGCUCCCAUGCGCCCUCUUUUGGGGGCGUCGGCUGCCCCUGUCCCGCAGCUCGCUGGCAUGCGUCCCCGCCCGCGCCUCGCCACCGCUCUACUGCUACGCUACUAUUGCGCUGUGGCCGCCGCCGCUUCCCGCUGCUCUGCCAGCGCCAAAGCUCCCGGUUGGCCCUGCCGCUGCUCGCGUUUAACCGCCGGCCUAAGCGGCCUAACCUCCCCCCUCGCUAAUGAACCCCCACCGACCCGCUGACACCGGGACCCACAUCCCCUAAUUAACCAUUUAAUAAAUUAAAACUCUUAAAUUAACAUUAGUGUAUGACAUGUGGGUCCCCUAUUAAUUAAACUGAUUUAAUUAAAAUCUAUUAACUUUGAGUCUAUGACAUAUGGGCCCCACUAAACAUUUGACCAGUCAACGGUCCAGUCAAAUGCUGACCGGACAGUUGACCAGAGGGCCCCGCCAGUCAGCCAAUGUGCUGUUCUGCUGGGUACCUUUCUAAGUACACCUAGCAUUUUACAUUUACAAUAUUUGUUUUAAAAUAAAUUAGAAUAAUUUCAAAAAAAUAUUAAAACUUUUAAAAUUAAAAUAAAAUAAUCCAUAACUCGGAUGAAAUUACUUUAUACAUGGAAGUUGCUCAAAAAACGAGACGAAUUCGAAUACACAGUCCGUUCGUCUGCCACGCGUCCCUAGCAUAGCGAACAUGCAACCAUCCCCCUCCGGUUCGACUCUCCGAAAAAUUAUUAUUGCACAUGCCCGCUAAGAGGUUGGCUGUAUAUGACAUGACAACUUCUUAUAGCCGACCCUUGGCUGUAAUAUUAACCAUGCUCUUAGUGAGGUAGCUAGUAUAUCAUAGACGACUAGCUAGUAUCAGACUAGCCAAAGUGGGAGUAACUUCAGCAGUAACAUCGACUCCAACUCAGCAAACUUGCUUAUGUGGGAGUAAACCCUGCCUAAUGCAAAAUACAAUCCCAGUCGUAAUUUUUUCAGGAAACGUGUGGGAUCCCAAACGAAAAGCACACGUCACUCUUGCGGCAACCGUCGGUGACACCCAAUAAAUCACAAACGGUAUGCAGCACUUGUAUGUGUGCAAAGGGGCUCCUGAACCGUUUGUGAUAGAACAUUAUCGCAGACGGUAAUUGUUGGCAAACGUGUGCGAUGGAGUCUAGCAUGGCAGACGGGUUACGCAGAAAACUCGUGUGCGAUGGGGCACAAAUCGCACACUGUUCAUAUGUUGGCCCAUGUGCCUUACAUACUAUUUCCCAAAUGGUUUGUUACGACAGACCGUAUCGUUUCAGUGCGUCAUUAGAAACGCUUAAUCACUGAUACCACACGUGCGAAAGAAUUUAGUGCGUGCUGCAUCGCACACGAUUACAUUUUGGAAGGCCUCUGGAUCACUGCUCCAUAUCCCCGACGGUUUCUGGGCCGUGUGGGAAGGACACCCUAUCACACACACUCACUUGGCGACGGCUCCAAAUGCUGUCGUGGAAAGGGGUUAAAAACAGUUUGUUUAGGACCGACGCGUACCAGUGUCUAUCUAUCUAUCUAUCUAUCUAUCCAUCUAUCUAUCUAUCUAUCUAUCUAUCUAUCUAUCAAUCUAUCUAUCCAUCUAUCCAUCUAUCCAUCUAUCCAUCUAUCCAUCUAUCUAUCUCAAUCCACCUAUCUAUCUAUCCAUCUAUCCAUCUAUCUAUCUCUCCAUCUAUCCAUCUAUCUAUCCAUCUAUCCAUCCAUCUACUAUCCAUCUAUCUAUCCAUCCAUCCAUCUAUCUAUCCAUCCAUCUAUCUAUCUAUCUAUCUAUCUAUCUAUCUAUCUAUCUAUCUAUCUAUCUAUCUGUCUGUCUAUCUAUCUAUCUAUCUGUCUGUCUGUCUAUCUAUCUAUCUAUCCAUCUAUUCAUCUAUCUAUCUAUGUAUCCAUUUAUCCAUUGAUCCAUCUAUCGAUCCAUCGAUCCAUCCAUCUAUCCAUCCAUCUAUCCAUCCAUCUAUCUAUCCAUAUAUCCAUGUAUCCAUGUAUCCAUCUAUCCAUCUAUCGAUCUAUCCAUCUAUCCAUCUAUCCAUCUAUCCAUCUAUCUAUCUAUCCAACCAUCUAUCGAUCUAUCGAUCUAUCGGUCUAUCCAUCUAUCGAUCUAUCCAUCUCUCCAUCUACCAAUCUAUCCAUCUAUUCAUUUACCGAUCUAUCUAUCCAUCUAUCUAUCUAGCUAUCUACCUAUCUAUCUAUCUAUCUAUCUAGCUAUCUAGCUAUCUAUCUAUCUAGUUAUUUAGCUAUCUAUCUGUCUACCUACCUACCUACCUAUCUAUCUAUCUAUCUAUCUAUCUAUCUAUCUAUCUAUCUAAAGGAAAUAUGCCCUAGAUGCAAUAAUAAAGUUGUCAUUUAUAUUUCCUUAUAUCAUGAUAAACUAGCGGAGUCACCCGCGCAUUUGCGCGGCUAGAUUGACUACAUAUAUUGUUAUAUUUGGGAUUAUUUUUCUAUGCCAAUUUUAUGGCCUCUUACUCAGAUAUUAUCUAAUUGAAUUUACCACCACCAUAUGUUAUAUCCAUAGAUUAUAAUUAAAAGGCAACUUCCGACGAAACAUGGACAGAUUAUUGAGUGCUUAGAAGACGGACGCAAUAUCAUAUAUAGACUUCUAUACCAAUCUUCAUGGUUCCCAUCUUUGAUCCUCUCCUCGUCCCUUGGUAUCUAUCUUUGCACCCAAUAUGUCUUUGGAGUUCCAAGAAUUGAAUCUUAGCAUGAAUGGCUUCAAUGUGUACCAAAUGUUCUCUUGUUCCUCCCAAAUUAAUUACUGGUUGCAUUCUUAGUUGCUUUGACAUUCUUGGUUAAUGCAAUGUCUUGCCUACCAAUAUAUGCAUCCACACACGAUAAUAUUUAUAUGACCACUUACCUUUGUAUUCUGGUAUUUGUGCUUCAGAAUUUUUCUCUCAUUCAGUUUAUUCAUAGAUUAAAAACGUCGAUCGUUUCUUUAUUGGUUUGCAUUAUCUUGUUUGCCGAACGUAAGCAUCCACACAUGCUCGUCAUGAUAUGAUUGGUCAUCAUUGUAUAUUUGUAUUUGUGUGUUGAUAGCUUAAGGAUUUUCUCGGAUUCACUUCAUAGUUUAAGGAUUUUCUCGCGUUCAAUUUAUUCUACCUUAUUCAUUUUCAUGUUUCUUUAUUGCAUUUAUAUCAAUUCUUACAAUAUAUUUUCCAAGAUAUGAACUCAACUGCUAAUUACGUAGUUUUUCAUCAAAAAUUACAUGUAAAAAUGUUACAAAUGCAUAAACAUGAUAAAAAUAUAUAUCAUAUUCCAUUGAGAGAUCGCCCAUUUAAAAAAAACACGUUGACUUACAAAAAGGACAAUUCAAGCUGCAUGUACGUCCGACUCAUGUUUACCUGACAAUGUCGAUGUUGAUUUCAGCAGUAAAUGAGCUGUGUGUGACCUUUGCGCUUUCCGGUAUUCUUCUAACCUGUGUGCUUUAUGAUCAGUUUGUUGUGCUUAGUACUGGACACUGGAGUAUACUAUCAUAUUUGGUACAAAUAAAUCUGAACUACUAUAGUUAUGAUCCACUCUAUAGUUAAUGGUGGUGGUAAUUAAUAUAUGUGGUUAAAUACUUGCGCUCCUUAGGUGGGGAGUUGAAUUUGUAUUUCCCUAAAAUAAAUUUCAGAUUUCGUAAUAGUGGUGAAGCCAGCCGGAAGAACCUCUGCGUCAUUAUUAAUUUUGGUGAUAUUUUUCUUCAUAGUGUAGAAUAAUUUUAGUGCUUAUUCCGCAAAAAAUAUGGCCUCAACUGACCCCAUAGCUUGUAUGUUGCGCCACCACUGUUUCCUAUAUCUUUUUACAUCCGUUGUUUUUAGAUCUUGAUGCAUAACUUUGACAAUAUUUAAUAGAUAUGUGUCUGUAUAAAAAAUUAUAAAUGCUAUGAUAAUUUGAUUAAUUAUGAUGAAUAAAAUGUUAUUGCUCUGACUUGAUCCCUCUAGAAUUUUCCAAAAUUUCACAUUACAGUUGUAGUAGUGCAUGCUACCUCUUGAGCACUGCAUUAGUUUUCCCUUGAAGAGGAAAGGGUGAUGCAGUAAAGCAGCGUCAGUAUUUCCCUCGGUUUUUGAGAACCAAGGUAUCAAUCCAGUAGGAGGCCACGCAUGAGUCCCUCGCACCUACACAAACAAAUAAAAUCCUCGCAACCAACGCAAUAAAGGGGUUGUCAAUCCCUUCACGGUCACUUACGAAAGUGAGAUCUGAUAGAUUUGAUAAGAUAAUAUUUUUGGUAUUUUUAUGAUAAAGAUGCAACGUAAAGAAAGCAAAAUAAAAAAAGCGCCAGAAAUAGCUUGUUGACGGGAGAUUAAAAUAGACCGGGGGGCCAUAGGUUUCACUAGUGGCUUCUCUCGAGAGCAUAAGUAUUUCGGUGGGUAGACAAAUUACUGUUGAGCAAGUGACAGAAUUGAGCAUAGUUAUGAGAAUAUCAAGGUAUGAUCAUGUAUAUAGGCAUCACGUCCGAGGCAAGUAGCCCGACUCCUGCCUGCAUCUACUACUAUUACUCCACACAUCGACCGCUAUCCAGCAUGCAUCUAGAGUAUUAAGUUCAAAAAACAGAGUAACGCUUUAAGUAAGAUGACAUGAUGUAGAGGGAUAAACUCAUGCAAUAUGAUAUAAACCCCAUCUUGUUAUCCUCGAUGGCAACAAUACAAUACGUGCCUUGCUGCCCCUACUGUCACUGGGAAAGGACACCGCAAGAUUGAACCCAAGCUAAGCACUUCUCCCAUCGCAAGAAAGAUCAAUCUAGUAGGCCAAACCAAACUGAUAAUUCGAAGAGACUUGCAAAGAUAACCAAUCAUACAUAAAAGAAUUCAGACAAGAUUCAAAUAUUGUUCAUAGAUAAACUUGAUCAUAAACCCACAAUUCAUCGGUCUCAACAAACACACCGCAAAAGAAGAUUACAUCGAAUAGAUCUCCACAAGAGAGGGGGAGAACAUUGUAUUGAGAUCCAAAAAGAGAGAAGAAGCCAUCUAGCUAAUAACUAUGGACCCGAAGGUCUGAGGUAAACUACUCACACAUCAUCGUAGAGGCUAUGGUGUUGAUGUAGAAGCCCUCCGUGAUCGAUGCCCCCUCCGGCGGAGCUCCGGAAAAGGCCCCAAGAUGGGAUCUCACGGGUACAGAAGGUUGCGGUGAUGGAAUUAGGUUUUUGGCUCCGUAUCUGGUAGUUUGGGGGUACGUAGGUAUGUAUAGGAGGAAGAAGUACGUCGGUGGAGCAACGUGGGCCCCACGAGGGCGCGCCCCCCUACCUCGUGCCUUCCUGGUAGAUUUCUUGACGUAGGGAACAAGUCCUCUAGAUAACGUUCGUUCCCAAAAUCACGUUUCCGAAGGUUUCAUUCCGUUUGGACUCCGUUUGAUAUUCUUUUUCUGUGAAACUCUGAACUAGGCAAAAAACAACAAUUCUGGGGUGGGCCUCCGGUUAAUAGGUUAGUCCCAAAAAUAAUAUAAAAGUGUAUAAUAAAGCCCAUUAAUGUCUAAAACAGAAUAUAAUAUAGCAUGGAACAAUAAAAAAUUAUAUAUACGUUGGAGACGUAUCAAGCAUCCCCAAGCUUAAUUCUUGCUCGUCCUCGAGUAGGUAAAUGAUAAAAACAGAAUUUUUAAUGUGGAAUGCUACUUGGCAUAAUUUCAAUGUAAUUCUCUUAAUUGUGGUAUGAAUAUUCAGACCCGAAAGAUUCAAGACAAAAGUUUAAUAUUGACAUAAAAAUAAUAAUACUUCAAGCAUACUAACUAAGCAAUUAUGUCUUCUCAAAAUAAAAUGGCCAAAGAAAGUUAUCCCUACAAAAUCAUAUAGUCUAGCUAUGCUCUAUCUUCACCACACAAAGUAUUUAAAUUAUGCACAACCCGGAUGACAAGCCAAGCAAUUGUUUCAUACUUUUGAUGUUCUCAAACUUUUUCAAUCUUCACGCAAUACAUGAGCAUGAGCCAUGGACAUAGCACUAUAUGUGGAAUAGAAUGGUGGUUGUGGAGAAGACAAAAAAGGAGAAGAUAGUCUCACAUCAACUAGGCGUAUCAACGGGCUAUGGAGAUGCCCAUUAAUAGAUAUCAAUGUGAGUGAGUAGGAAUUGCCAUGCAACGGAUGCACUAGAGCUAUAAGUAUAUGAAAGCUCAACAAAAGGAACUAAGUGGGUGUCCAUCCAACUCGCUUGCUCAUGAAGACCUAGGGCAUUUUGAGGAAGCCCAUCAUUGGAAUAUACAAGCCAAGUUCUAUAAUGAAAAUUUCCCACUAGUACAUGAAAGUGAUAUCAUAGGAGACUCUCUAUCAUGAAGAUCAUGGUGCUACUUUGAAGAACAAGUGUGGUAAAAGGAUAGUAACAUUGUCCCUUCUCUCUUUUUCUCUCUUUUUUUAUUUGGGUCUUUUAUUCUUUUUUUAUGGCCUCUUUUUUUUAGUCCGAAGUCUCAUCCCGACUUGUGGGGGAAUCAUAGUCUCCAUCAUCCUUUCCUCACUUGGGACAAUGCUCUAAAAAAAUGAUGAUCAUCACACUUUUAUUUACUUACAACUCAACAAUUACAACUCAAUACUUAGAACAAAAUAUGACUCUAUGUGAAUGCCUCCGGCGGUAUACCGUGAUAUGCAAUGAAUCAAGAGUGACAUGUAUGAAAGAAUUAUGAACGGUGGCUUUGCCACAAAUACAAUGUCAACUACAUGAUCAUGGAAAGCAAUAUGACAAUGAUGGAGUGUGUCAUAAUAAACUGAACGGUGGUAAGUUGCAUGGCAAUAUAUCUCAGAAUGGCUAUGGAAAUGCCACGGUAGGUAGGUAUGGUGGCUGUUUUGAGGAAGGUAUAUGGUGGGUGUAUGAUACCGGCGAAAAGUGCGCGGUAUUAGAGAGGCUAGCAAUGGUGGAAGGAAGAAAGUGCGUAUAAUCCAUGGACUCAACAUUAGCCAUAAAGAACUCAUAUACUUAUUGCAAAAAUCUACAAGUUAAUGAAAAUCUAGGGGGAUAGAUUGGUAGGAAAAGACCAUCGCUCGUCCCCGACCGCCACUCAUAAGGAAGACAAACAAUAAAUAAAUCAUGCUCCGACUUCAUCACAUAACGGUUCACCAUACGUGCAUGCUAAGGGAAUCACAAACUUUAACACAAGUAUUUCGCAAAUUCAAAACUACUCAACUAGCAUGACUGUAAUAUCACCAUCUCCAUAUCUCAAAACAAUUAUCAAGUAUCAAACUUCUCAUAGUAUUCAACACACUCAUAAGAUUUUUUUUACUAAUCUUGAGUGCCUAUCAUAAUUAAAGCAAAUUACCACGCUGUUUUGUAGGACUAUCAAAAUAAUCUAAGUGAAUCAUGAGAGAACAAUAGUUUCUAUAAAAAAAAACCACCACCGUGCUCUAAAAGAUAUACGUGAAGCACUAGAGCAAAAACUAUAUAGCUCAAAAGAUAUAAGUGAAGCACAUAGAGUAUUCUAACAAUUUCCGAAUCAUGUGUGUCUCUCUCAAAAGGUGUGUACUGCAAGGAUUAUUGUGGCAAACUAACAAAUAAAGACUUCAAAUAAUACAAGACGCUCCAAGAAAAACACAUAUCAUGUGGUGAAUAGAAAUAUAGCUCCAAGUAAAGUUACCGAUGGAAGUAGACGAAAGAGGGGAUGCCUUCCGGGGCAUCCCCAAGCUUUGGCUUUUAGGUGUCCUUAGAUUAUCUUGGGGUGCCAUGGGCAUCCCCAAGCUUAGGCUCUUGCCACUCCUUGUUUCAUAAUCCAUCAAAUCUUUCACCCAAAACUUGAAAACUUCACAACACAAAACUCAGCAGAAAAUCUCGUGAGCUCCGUUAGCAAAAGAAAACAAAACACCACUUCAAGGUACUGUAAUGAACUCAUUAUUUAUUUAUAUUGGUGUUAAACCUAAUGUAUUCCAACUUCUCUAUGGUUUAUAAACUAUUUUACUAGCCAUAGAUUCAUCAAAAUAAGCAAACAACACACGAAAAACAUAAUCUGUCAAACACAGAACAGUCUGUAGUAAUCUGUAACUAACGCAAUUUUCUGGGACUCCAAAAAUUGACCCAAAAUAGGAAGACCUAGACAAUUUUUUUAUUGAUCAGCAGCAAUUGGAAUCAAUAUUUUAGCACGUCCUGGUGAUUUUUAACAAUUAUUUUCAUGAACAGAAAGUUUCUGGAAUUUUCAGCAAGAUCAAAUAACUAUCAUCCUAGAAGAUCCUAUAGGUUAAACAUGGCACAAACACUAAUUAAAACAUAAAAACACAUGUAACCAGAGGCUAGAUCAAAUAUUUAUUCCUAAAAAAAAGAAAAAAGCAAAAAAACUAAAAAUAAAAUUGGGUUGCCUCCCAACAAGCGCUAUCGUUUAACGCCCCUAGCUAGGCAUAAUAGCAAGGAUAGAUCUAGGUAUUGCCAUCUUUGGUAGGCAAUCCAUAAGUGGCUCUCAUAAUAGAUUCAUAAGGUAAUUUUAUUUUCUUUCUAGGGAAGUGUUCCAUGCCUUUCCUUAAUGGAAAUUGGAAUCUAAUAUUCCCUUCCUUCAUAUCAAUAAUUGCACCAAUCGUUCUAAGGAAAGGUCUACCAAGAAUAAUAGGACAUGAAGGAUUGCAAUCUAUAUCAAGAACAAUAAAAUCUACGGGCACAUAAUUCCUAUUUGCAACAAUAAGAACAUCAUCAAUUCUUCCCAUAGGUUUCUUAAUGGUGGAAUCCGCAAGGUGCAAGUUUAAAGAGCAAUCAUCAAAAUCACGGAAACCUAGCAAAUCGCACAAAAUCUUUGGAAUCGUGGAAACACUACCACCCAAAUCACACAAAGCAUAGAAUUCAUGAUCUUUAAUUUUAAUUUUAGUAGUAGGUUCCCACUCAUCAUAAAGUUUUCUAGGGAUAGAAACUUCCAACUCAAGUUUUUCUUCAUAAGAUUGCAUCAAAGCAUCAACGAUAUGUUUAGUAAGGCUUUAUUUUGACUAUAAUCAUGUGGAGAAUUUAGCACGGAUUGCAACAAGGAAAUACAAUCUAUCAAAGAGCAAUUAUCAUAAUUAAAUUCCUUGAAAUCCAAAAUAGUGGGUUCAUUAAUAUCUAGAGUUUUGAUUUCUUCAAUCCCACUUUUACCAAUUUUUGCAUCAAGAUCUAAAAACUCUGAAUUUUUGGAACGCCUUCUAGGUAGAGGUGGAUCAUAUUCAGUCCCAUCAUUAUCAAGAUUCAUAUUGCAAAACAAAGAUUGAAUAGGGGACACAUCAAUAACUUUUAGAUCUUCAUCUUUAUUUUCAUAGAAACUAGAAGAACACGCUUUCACAAAACAAUCUUUCUUAGCACGCAUCCUAGCGGUUCUUUCUUUGCACUCAUCAAUGGAAAUUCUCAUGGCCUUGAGAGACUCAUUGAUAUCAUGCUUAGGAGAAAUUGUAUCAGCGUUCCUAGCCAAUUCAUCAACUUUAAGCAAUUUUUCUUGAAGCAAAGCGUUGAAAUUGUUUUGCGAAUUCAUAAAUUCUUUAACACUAGUCUCAAAUUCAGAAGGCAUCUUAUUAAAAUUUACAUAAUAAUUGUUGUAGGAAUUACCAUAAUUAUUAGAGGAAUUACUAGGAUACGACCUUGGAUUAAAGUUUCCUCUAUACGCGUUGUUACCAAAAUUAUUCCGACCAACAAAAUUCACAUCCAUAGAUUCAUUAUUAUUCUCAAUCAAAGUAGACAAAGGCAUAUCAUUAGGAUCAGAAGAAACACUUUUAUUAGCAAAUAAUUUCAUAAGUUCAUCCAUCUUACACUCAAAACAUUAAUUUCUUCUAUCGCAUGCACUUUUUUAUUAGUGGAUUUUUCGGUGUGCCAUUGAGAAUAAUUAACCAUAAUAUUAUCUAGGAGUUUAGUAGCUUCUCCUAAAGUGAUUUCCAUAAAAGUGCCUCCCGCGGCCGAAUCUAAAAGAUUUCUAGAAGAAAAAUUCAAUCCGGCAUAAAAAUUUUGUAUAAUCAUCCACAAAUUCAAACCAUGAGUAGGGCAAUUACGUAUCAUUAAUUUCAUCCUCUCGCAAGCUUGUGCAACAUGUUCAUGAUCAAGUUGCUUAAAAUUCAUAAUAUCGUUUCUGAGAGAGAUGAUCUUAGUGGGAGGAAAAUACUUAGAGAUAAAAGCAUCUUUGCACUUAUUUCAAGAAUCACUACUAUUUUUAGGCAAAGACGAAAACCAAGCUUUAGCACGAUCUCUAAGCGAAAAAGGAAAUAGUUUCAAUUUAACAAUAUCAUUGUCCACAUCUUUCUUCUUUUGCAUAUCACACAAAUCAACGAAGUUGCCAUGUCUAGGAAUGCUUGAAGCUUCAAAGAUUUCCUAUAAUACAACAUGCCUCUAACUAUUCACAAUAAGAAAAACAUGUAAAUGCGGAAUCAACCAAAUGAUGGUAAAUUGUAGUUGAUUUUGGCCAAGCAAACGUCAGAUGAAAGAAACAUACAUGAGUGAACAUCACUAUUGGAUGUUUUAUUCAAAUUUAAUAGGUUAAACUCACCAAAUCCAUCUGGAUAUUUAGUAUUAAACUUCAACAGAUGGUCAGUUGUAGCUAGAUUCACACCACUGAAGCAAAAUUCCAUCUGCCACGGUUACAUCACACCAUCUUUUCAUCGUUACUAUUUAAAUUCCAAAUGCCUGCAACUCAUUUUUUUUGUUACGAUGUAUGCAUGAUUUUUAACUCAAGAGGAAGAGGGGAAACUAAAUCCAAGAAAAGAACACCAAGGAAGCAUCCAAAAUAGAGAAAGGAAAAAAAUCCAAAAUAGAGGCAGAAUCGAAGGGAAGAAACCCCAUAAAAAAUAGGAGAUCAAACGGUGAAAAAAAUCUAAGAGUCAAACAAUUCUAGGUAAGACCAAAUCGACGGCAAAAUAGCACAAGAGGGACUCACAUUAACAGGUAUACCAGGUAUACCAAUUUAGAAAGAAGUGUAAAGCGAACAGUGCAAUGGACCACUAGUAUAAAUUGGAUGUACACAAACAUGGGACUUAAACAAGAACUGCGAGAUGCAGGGUUCACGUGCAAACCCAAAAAAUGGAAAACUGAAACCCACAACAAGAUUUUAUCUUCAUAUAUAUAUAUAUAUAUAUAUAUAUAUAUAUAUAUAUAUAUAUAUAUAUAUAUAUAUAUAUAUAUAUUCAAGGCUCGCCCUAUCUAUUAGUUGCUUCUUCCGAAUCCCCACCUAUCAAGCGUUUUCUCUGAAUAAACAAACACAAUAGUAUUCUUUGAAUUAUACUGUACAACGGUAAUUAACCAAGCGACUGGAAUUAACAAUAUUAUGAGCUAUUGGCUUUUUAGUCAGGUAAAUAUCAUUCUUAAGACUACGGAAAACAACAGGCGGCGAAGAAAACAUCUAUUUAUGAGAACUAUACACAUACUUAAGAAGGAAGUGACAUCUAUGGUAGCAGAACAUAUAUCAAGCUGUUGCAGCUACAUUAGCAGUUUAGCACAGUUCCUCCAUAAUACACAGGCUAGUGUAAUUUCACAAAUACAAUAAGCUAACAAUAUAUAUUUGGUAGAUGGAAAUGGCUGGAUCAUGAGCAAUAUACCAUUACACAUCCGAUGAUGCAAAUAAAGAAACGAGGCCCAACAAUAGUGGAAAAUAAACCACAAUAGAACAUGUAUUUGGCGAAACCUCCAUACUGCAAUAUCAAACAUGAAUUGAAAUUAACAAUCUAGCAAAAAAACAUGACAGAUGCAGUCUUGGUCAUUUUUCCUUUUGUGACAUCCCCUAAAAAAAGUAAAAACAAUGUUGUUCGUAUUUUACCAGAGAUACACUGAGCUGGGACAAAUCGGUCUGAAAUAAAAUAUGAUGGCUUCGGAGGAUUCGGAAGGCAAGAAAUUUGCUUUCUUCCAACAUAUAUGGUCUGCUGAACUAAACUUCGUUUCAACGGGCUUUGGCAAAAAUCUGUAACUGCAAACAUCAACUUGUGUGCCCUUCCUACGUCAAACUUUAAACUUGACGGAUUAAAUAUUUUAGGUUAGGCUGAGAUCAGUGUACUUUAUGAGUGUUAAGUGUACUUUCUAAAUAGCAGAGAAACCAUAACAUCUAAGCACAACCCAGCAACUUGUACAAGCUAACAUCAAAUCUGAAAGAGGAAAUGUCGAGAACAGGUGAAGGUACCAUGAUCCACGACUGAGCAAAGUUAUCUAUAAUCCUCGGUGAAUAUCAUAAAUUAGGAUCAACUACGCUAAAGAACAAACGGGAAAGGAACCUAGAAAGAUCUUCUGCCGGUAGAAUAUAACUGAUACACUAUCCUCGUUCUCGAGAUCAAGGUCGUUUCUUGAAUUGCAGUUUCCUCACUGUAGUAUGGGGUCAUUACACUGUGAAGAACAAAGUGUCAUAUGAAUCAUUUAGAGCCCAAUCUUUUUCACUGAAACUCUUAUGAUCACAUAACGAAUUUAAACAUAAGGUUUAUUAGAUAUUUGUUGUUGUGAACAGAUAAUAUAUUUCUGGUGUUGACAAUGUUUUGAUUAUGGAUGCACUUCAAGAUGGGUGGCACAGAUUCUGUUGUACAGGCCUCCACCUGGAAUUUCAUCACUUGUUAUUUUUGUUUUAGAAUGUCUAGGUGCAUUUUUCCUUUAAGGUGGAAACAGAUGUACUUGUAUAAGCAACAAGAAUACAAAGCGCCACUGCCAUACAUUGUGGAAGUUCAGUGCUUCUGUUUACAAAAUCUGCUUCCCAAAACAGAAGGAUUUAUAAUUUUUUAUUACAAUCAAGCGGACAUGAGCUGAUGAGUACAGAUGUAGACAUGUACUGAGAGCAGCACCCUUUCAAAAGUGGAUCAUUUACAAGUUGGAUAGUUUGAUGGUCUGAAAUUAGUGGUCGUGUUUCAGAAUUGUUAUCGAAUAGUAGGGGAUAUAUAUUAAAUUCUGAAAUUAGUGGUUGUUUGUCAGAACUGUUAUCGAAUAACAGAGCACAUAUAUUAACUUCAAUAAGUGGAGUAAUAUCUUUGGAUUCGCUGUGAGGAAAGAUUACCAAAACAAAACAGAAGUGAGCACUGGUAGAAAAUGGGCCUUUAGUCCCGGUUCGCAAAGGCCAUUAAUCCCGGCUGUGCAACCGGGACUAAANNNNNNNNNNNNNNNNNNNNNNNNNNNNNNNNNNNNNNNNNNNNNNNNNNNNNNNNNNNNNNNNNNNNNNNNNNNNNNNNNNNNNNNNNNNNNNNNNNNNNNNNNNNNNNNNNNNNNNNNNNNNNNNNNNNNNNNNNNNNNNNNNNNNNNNNNNNNNNNNNNNNNNNNNNNNNNNNNNNNNNNNNNNNNNNNNNNNNNNNNNNNNNNNNNNNNNNNNNNNNNNNNNNNNNNNNNNNNNNNNNNNNNNNNNNNNNNNNNNNNNNNNNNNNNNNNNNNNNNNNNNNNNNNNNNNNNNNNNNNNNNNNNNNNNNNNNNNNNNNNNNNNNNNNNNNNNNNNNNNNNNNNNNNNNNNNNNNNNNNNNNNNNNNNNNNNNNNNNNNNNNNNNNNNNNNNNNNNNNNNNNNNNNNNNNNNNNNNNNNNNNNNNNNNNNNNNNNNNNNNNNNNNNNNNNNNNNNNNNNNNNNNNNNNNNNNNNNNNNNNNNNNNNNNNNNNNNNNNNNNNNNNNNNNNNNNNNNNNNNNNNNNNNNNNNNNNNNNNNNNNNNNNNNNNNNNNNNNNNNNNNNNNNNNNNNNNNNNNNNNNNNNNNNNNNNNNNNNNNNNNNNNNNNNNNNNNNNNNNNNNNNNNNNNNNNNNNNNNNNNNNNNNNNNNNNNNNNNNNNNNNNNNNNNNNNNNNNNNNNNNNNNNNNNNNNNNNNNNNNNNNNNNNNNNNNNNNNNNNNNNNNNNNNNNNNNNNNNNNNNNNNNNNNNNNNNNNNNNNNNNNNNNNNNNNNNNNNNNNNNNNNNNNNNNNNNNNNNNNNNNNNNNNNNNNNNNNNNNNNNNNNNNNNNNNNNNNNNNNNNNNNNNNNNNNNNNNNNNNNNNNNNNNNNNNNNNNNNNNNNNNNNNNNNNNNNNNNNNNNNNNNNNNNNNNNNNNNNNNNNNNNNNNNNNNNNNNNNNNNNNNNNNNNNNNNNNNNNNNNNNNNNNNNNNNNNNNNNNNNNNNNNNNNNNNNNNNNNNNNNNNNNNNNNNNNNNNNNNNNNNNNNNNNNNNNNNNNNNNNNNNNNNNNNNNNNNNNNNNNNNNNNNNNNNNNNNNNNNNNNNNNNNNNNNNNNNNNNNNNNNNNNNNNNNNNNNNNNNNNNNNNNNNNNNNNNNNNNNNNNNNNNNNNNNNNNNNNNNNNNNNNNNNNNNNNNNNNNNNNNNNNNNNNNNNNNNNNNNNNNNNNNNNNNNNNNNNNNNNNNNNNNNNNNNNNNNNNNNNNNNNNNNNNNNNNNNNNNNNNNNNNNNNNNNNNNNNNNNNNNNNNNNNNNNNNNNNNNNNNNNNNNNNNNNNNNNNNNNNNNNNNNNNNNNNNNNNNNNNNNNNNNNNNNNNAUAUAGAGCUCAAAUGAUUGAAAAUAAUUACUUUUGCAGCAUUUUUCUCAUGUCGGCCCAACGCUUUGGAUCCGAAUCCAUAGAGUCCAUGAUUAGAACUCUGGAGGUGUGAAGUUCAAUAUUUAGCAGAAUCCAGUGGAACCUGCGGACACGUUACAUGCACAGUCAUGCAUAACUCAUCGAUUAGACAUACCAUGCAUGGAGUAAACAAAAGAGAAUGGGCACAAGAGAGAAACACUCACCCAAAAUGGUAAGGAAAUAGAAUAUGACUUUUGAGUUGAUGCUUUCUAAGAAACUUGUACAAGUCUUUCUCCAUGUCUUCGGGGUGAUUUUGUAACACAUGUCCAUUAACGAUAUGUGGGUCAAUGAACCCAACAUCAUGGAUGUUUCUUAUUUUGCAUUCCCAAAUCUUCAAUCUGCAUAAUAGCGUACGCAACAAUAUAGUUAGGACAAUAUAUAUAUAUAUAUAUAGUGCAGGCAAUGAAGAACGAGAUGAGGUAGAAAUAAAUCACUUACAUAACGUAGCAACUCAGGAUAGAUUUGUCGAGCUCGCGCAGAUUGAACAGCUGGAACAAUUCACUCAUAUGAACUUGUACAAAGUACCGUUUGGUGUGAUGCUCCUCUGUAACAUCCGCAUAAAUAUAUUCUUUGUCGGCCCAUGUUAUGAAUUGCUUGUACCAACGUAGAAGAUUUCGCAUUUGUGGUGGUAGACUCUUUUCCCGUGCAGGCUCGACGAGAGGCCCAUUCCGCACAUAUUGUAAUGCUAUCUCACAUACUGGCGCAUCCUCAAGGCCUAAGAUGGCACGAAGAGUCAAACCCAUCUCGGACGUUUGUUUCAUGGCACUCGCUACAGUCAAUCCAAGUGCUGCCGCAGCUCCUAUGAUCUCGGGGUCCUCUUCCGGACCGGCUUUCACUAUGAGCGGGGGGAUCGAUUGUUUAUUCUGCAUCCCGAGCUGGUCAACUUGUUUCCCGCUUUUUUUACUUUCUUCUUUCUCCUCCUUCAAUAUUUUUGCUUGCCAACGAAGUUCAUGUCAAUAGUCGUCAGGCAUAUUCAGCUCGGCUUGGGACGGUGUCGUCAAAAAAUCCUUAGCCCACUUCUUUUGCUUCUCAGUGAAUACUUGCUUGGGCUCAGGCUCUUUUUUCGAAUUCGUAUCCGCCUUCCAUUUCUCAUAAUGAGCAGACGCGGCCAAUUUGGUUUCAGCUUCACUAAGUUCCCAAGGCCUUGGGAGGAGAGGCUUCAGUGAUGGCUCCGGUACCCUUGUGGUCUUACGUACAUAAGGGUCCGGGUUAAUAGUCCAGGAGAGGGUUUCCUUGCUGUCCGCCUGCUUCUACUUCUUCGCCGGAGGUGGAUUGGGGGGCGUCGUACCCGCCGGAGGAGGAUUGGGGGGCGUCGUACCUGCCGGAGGAGGAUUGGGGGGCGGCGGCUGCUUACCCGCCGGAGGUUGUGGAUCGGGGGACGGCGUCGAAUGGCGUGAAGGAGGUGUAGGUGAACCACCACGACCACCACCACCACCACCACCAUCGGAGGGGGUGGACUUGUUAGCAUUGGCGCCUCGCCUGGAAACACUAUGUACUUCUUUUUCCAUAGAAUGAUCUGGCGCUUGACAUCUCCAAGUCUUCUCUCCCCUUCGGGUGUAGCUUUGUCAAUCUCCAGGUCCUCAAACUAUUGGACUAUGUCUUCCACCGUGACACGAGCAUAGCCAUAUGCAAUGGGGUUGUUGUGGUGGAGUGCUCCAGGUGUACAGGGUAAAGCACUGCCAGUAGCUACCUUCGUGGAAACGUUCCCCACGGGAUAAUGCAGAUCACAUUCUUUCAUCUCCUUUACAUCAUCCACGGGGUAGUGAGGCUCCGGUGCACGAAUCUCGAUCAUCGGUGCAUUAGCACCAGGCGGGGCAUCCGUGGAAGCCACGCUGCUUCUCCGCUGCUGGCUUCCGCGAUCCGCUUCAUGAUCUUCAUGCGGCCCUGCAGCCGAUUUUUCUUUUACUAGUUCAUGCACGGUCUGCUUCAACUCAUGGAGUUCCGAUGCAAACUUCACCAAAAGAUCUGCAUCCCGGUCCGUCUUUCUCUUACGGCUUCUGUAACAGUACGGGUCAUUGUCCUGGGAAAACCCUACUUUCCACGAAAUUCUGCCUUUGCCUCGUACACGUCCUCCGUGUUCAUCAUUCCGAGGGCUGUUGUCAGUGCGUCUUUCUCUCUGUUGAACUUGAUCAAGCCCUCUUGAGCUUGGGUCAUUGCGUCAAUAAGGGCUUGGGUGGGAGCAAACUUUUUCUUCCGGUGAACACACACCCCUGUCUCCGGGUCUAGCGAUCCCCCAUGCCCGUACCACCAGCUUUUGGCCCUUGGGUCCCAUCCCUCUGUACCUAGAGGGAUUCCUCGCACCCUCAGGUCCUCCUCCAUCUUCUGCCACUUAGGCUCCGAAAGGCGGUAUCCUCCUGGCCCCAUAAUAUGAUGGAACUUUUUCUUACUCGCAUUAUCCUUAUUUUUUCCGACAUUUCCUUGAAAUGCUCUGAUUUUUUUUGCCUCACAAAUUCUGGCCAAUCAUCUUUCAGUUUCUCAUGUUGUCCAUUGAAAUCCGGAGUCUUGCCCUUGUUGACAUAGUCACGGGUUAAAUUUUUCUUGAAGUUCCGGAAUGCUUCGCCCAUCUUCUCAAGAGCGAACUCUUUAACUAGCCUCCUCCUCUCACGUCCACCCGGAACCUCGUUACCGAAUUCAUCGACUUUGUUGUAUUCCGGAGGUAGAAUGAAAUGUUCCAUAAGCUUUUUCCAGCAAUCCUUUUUCGUUCUCUUGUCGACAAAACUGAAACCAAGACGUGCCUUCUUUGGCUCCUUCCAUUCCUGGACGGUGAUCGGGACGUUGUCUCUAACAACGACUCCACAUUGGUUGAUAAACUUUGAGGUGUGCUGUAGGGGCUUGCCGGUUUCACUGACAAAAUCAAUGGCAUAUGUUUCUCCUUUUUUCAUCGCCUUGGAUUUGCCACGCUUUGUCGUACUCGAUCCGGCCGAGGGUCGCGCACGUUAAUACAUAUGUAUUCGCAUUUCAGUAAGUUUGUAUCACGAGAGGCUCAAUGUAUAUAUAUACCUCGCCGGAGGUGGUUGCUACUUGCAAUUCGAGAUUGUCGUUUGUUGACGGUUGACCUCCGUUGACAAUGUCCGUUCCUUCACCUUCUUGAUCAUCGACAAUGUCUGUUCCACCGUCAAGGUUCAGAAAAGAAGAGACUACAUCCUCUUCUUGCUCAUAUUCUGAGCCCGGCACAUAAGGAAUCUCGUUGUUUAUGAUGCCCAUUAAAUAACGUUCAGCCUCCGGAUCCCUAAGCGGCUCGGCUCUAUCGUCCGCCAUAUGUCACUCCUGCAUGUAGUCAAAAUUAAUUAAGUAUAAAGGAAUUAAAAAAUAAGAUUAAGGGGACAUAGAGGAGGAGCAGCUACGGUUGAAUGAUUAAGAGCUAUUAAAAAAUAAAAUUGAUGUUUUUCCUUUUCUUUUUCCUUUUCUUUUUCCUCUCUACUCUCUCUUUCCUUUUCUUUUUCCUUUUCUUUUCCUUUUCUUUUUCCUUUAUACAAUUAUUCCCAAAUAAAUUUCCUUUUCUUUUUCCUUUUCUUUUUCCUCUCUGCUCUCUCUUUCCUUUUCUUUUUCCUUUUCUUUUUCCUUUAUACAAUUAUUCCCAAAUAAAUUUCCUUUUCUUUUUCCUUUUCUUUUUCCUCUCUGCUCUCUCUUUCCUUUUCUUUUUCCUUUUCUUUUUCCUUUUCUUUUUCCUCUCUACUCUCUCUUUCCGUUUGUUGACGGCAGGCGGCGGCGGGAGGCAGAGGAGGGCAGGCCNNNNNNNNNNNNNNNNNNNNNNNNNNNNNNNNNNNNNNNNNNNNNNNNNNNNNNNNNNNNNNNNNNNNNNNNNNNNNNNNNNNNNNNNNNNNNNNNNNNNNNNNNNNNNNNNNNNNNNNNNNNNNNNNNNNNNNNNNNNNNNNNNNNNNNNNNNNNNNNNNNNNNNNNNNNNNNNNNNNNNNNNNNNNNNNNNNNNNNNNNNNNNNNNNNNNNNNNNNNNNNNNNNNNNNNNNNNNNNNNNNNNNNNNNNNNNNNNNNNNNNNNNNNNNNNNNNNNNNNNNNNNNNNNNNNNNNNNNNNNNNNNNNNNNNNNNNNNNNNNNNNNNNNNNNNNNNNNNNNNNNNNNNNNNNNNNNNNNNNNGCAGGGCAGGGCAGGGGCGGCGGCGGCAGUGCAGGGCAAGGGCGGCGGCGUAGGGCAGGGGAAGUGGGGGGCGGCGGAGCUCACUGGGGGCAGGGCGCUGGUGUCGGGGCAGGGCGUCGGCGUCGAUCGGCGUCGGGGCAGCAGCCUGGCGGCGUCGGCGUCGAUCGGCGUCGGGGCAGGGCGUCGGCGUCGAGAGGAGAAUGAGAGGUGGGGGAAAAUUUACUAAGUGUUAUAUAUAUAGACAGAGCAUUAGUCCCGGUUGGGGACGCCAACCGCGACUAAAGGUACCUUUAGUCGCGGUUGGUCUCCCCAACCGGGACUAAAGGUUCUUUCGCGCCGCUUUCGUUCCCGCGCGGAAAGAGCCUUUAGUCGCGGUUCGUGUCACGAACCGCGACUAAAGGUCCUUUUUCAUAUACUUUUCAGAAAAUACAAAUAAUAUAUCAAAAAAUUCAGAAAAAUAAAACUAAUUCAUUUUAAAAUCUUAAAAAUAGAAAUAAUAUAUCAAAAAAUUCAGAAAAAUAAAANNNNNNNNNNNNNNNNNNNNNNNNNNNNNNNNNNNNNNNNNNNNNNNNNNNNNNNNNNNNNNNNNNNNNNNNNNNNNNNNNNNNNNNNNNNNNNNNNNNNNNNNNNNNNNNNNNNNNNNNNNNNNNNNNNNNNNNNNNNNNNNNNNNNNNNNNNNNNNNNNNNNNNNNNNNNNNNNNNNNNNNNNNNNNNNNNNNNNNNNNNNNNNNNUUAAAAUCUUAAAAAUAGAAAUAAUAUAUCAAAAAAUUCAAAAAAAUAAAACUAAUUCAUUUGAAAAUCUUAAAAAUACAUAUAAUAUAUCAAAAAAUUCUGAAAAAUAAAACUAAUUCAUUUUAAAAAUUCAGACCGAUUGUUUUGUUCUACAUCCUCGAUCCCUUGAAGGUUUGACAAAAGGUUUGAUACAUCAUUCAGUUCAUCGGCCAAAUACAAAUCAUCCGGAUUCGCCAUCGUACGUUUUAAUUCACAUGAUCCAUUCAACAAAGUUUGGUACAAUAAAUUAUUACACAUCAAUUCUUCCCGUGUGUCCCUGCUUGCUUACGAUUGUGCCGUAUCCAUGGAGCAUCCUCAUCAUUUAACUUAAUGCUUGGGUCAGUGUUCACUUUGAAGGGCGGAAUUUCACCAAACAUAUUAUAAUCUUCUGACAUGUCUGUCUUGUCCUCCACUCCCACAAUGUUUCUUUUCCCUGAAAGAACAAUGUGGCGCUUUGGAUCAUCGCAUGAUGUACUGAUCGUUUUCUUAUCUUUCCGUUUCCUCGGUUUGCUACUCAUGUCCUUCAAAUAAAAAACCUGAGCGACAUCUUUGGCAAGGACGAAUGGUUCGUCAAGGUAACCAAGAUUGUUGAAAUCCACCAUUGUCAUUCCGUAUUGCUCGUCCACCUUUACCCCACCUCCUGUUAGCUUGAACCAUUUGCACCGGAACAAAGGGACCUUAAAGGAGGGUCCAUAGUCAAGUUCCCAUAUCUCCUCUAUGUGACCAUAAUAUGUGACCUUUUGCCCAUUCUCGGUUGCUGCAUCAAAGCGGACACCACUGUUUUGGUUGGUGCUCUUUUUAUCUUGGGCGAUGGUGUAAAAUGUAUUCCCAUUUAUCUCGUACCCUUGGAAAGUCGUUAUAGUCGAAGAUGGUGUCUUGGCCAACAUGUACAGCUGAUCUCCAACAUCAUUGUCAUUCAUUAAAUGUUUUCGCAACCAACUGCCGAAAGUCUCCAUGUGGGCCUUUCUAAUCCAGGAUUCAGGUUUCCCCGGGUUGUCCGAGCGUAAAAUAUUCUUGUGUUGCUCGAACUACGGAGCCACCAAGCUGGAAUUUUGUAGAACUGUGUGGUGUGCUUCAGUCAUAGAAUGACCGUCCAUACAUAUCGUUGAUUUCCUUCCGAUCGUGCCUUUUCCACUUAGUCUCCCCUCGUGCCGCGAUUGAGGAAUACCAAUCGGCUUAAGGUCAGGAACAUAGUCAAUACAGAACUCAAUUACCUCCUCAUUUCCAUAGCCCUUGACGAUGCUUCCUUCUGGCCUAGCACGGUUACGAACAUAUUUCUUUAAUACUCCCGUGAACCUCUCAAAGGGGAACAUAUUGUGUAGAAAUACAGGACCGAGAAUGGAAAUCUCUUCGACUAGGUGGAGCAGGAGGUGCGUCAUAAUAUCGAAGAAGGAUGGUGGGAACACCAACUCAAAACUGACAAGGCAUUGGACCACAUCGUUCUGUAACCGUGGUAGAUCUUCUGGAUUGAUUACCUUCUGAGAGAUUGCAUUGAGGAAUGCACAUAGCUUCACAAUGGCUACUCGAACAUUUUCCGGUAAGAGCCCCCUCAAAGCAAUCGGAAGAAAUUGCGUCAUAAUCACGUGGCAGUCGUGAGACUUCAGGUUUAGGAACUUUUUGUCCGCCAUGUUUAUUAUUCCCUUUAUAUUCGACGAGAAGCCAGACGGGACCUUCAUACUGCUCAGGCAUUCAAAAAAUGACCUUCUCUUCUUUGGUAAGAGCGUAGCUGGCACGACCUUGAAACCAUUCCGGAUGCCGGUCAUCUGGGUCUUUCAAAAGUUGUUGGUCCUGCCGUGCUUCCUUUGUAUCAUUUGUCUUCCCAUACACGCCCAAGAAGCUUAGCAGGUUCACGCAAAUAUUCUUCGUAACAUGCAUCACGUCGAUUGCAGAGCGGACAUCUAGGACUUUCCAAUAUUCUAGCUCCCAAAAUAUAGAUUUCUUCUUCCACAUGGGUGCGUGCCCGUCAACUCCCCGCGGAACUGAUUGUCCGCCAGGACCCUUUCCAAAGAUGACUUUCAAAUCCUUGACCAUAUCAAAUAUCUCAGCACCAGUACGUUCCGCAGGCUUCGGCCGGUGAUCUGCCUUGCCGUUGAAAUGCUUGCCUUUCUUUCUUACGUUAUGAUUUCGGGGAAGAAAUCGACGAUGACCCAGGUACACGUUCUUCUUACAAUUACCCAAACGUACACUUUCAGUCUCAUGUAAGCAGUGCGUGCAUGCAUUGUAUCCCUUAUUUGUCUGUCCCGAAAGGUUACUGAGAGCAGGCCAAUCGUUGAUGGUUACAAAAAGCAACGCUCGUAGGUCAAAUUCCUCUUCUUUGUGCUCAUCCCAGACACGUACACCAGCUCUGCCCCACAACUGUAAAAGUUCAUCAACUAAUGGCCUUAGGUACACAUCGAUGUCGUACCCGGGUUGCUUUGGACCUUGGAUGAGCACUGGCAUCAUAAUGAACUUCCGCUUCAUGCACAACCAAGGAGGAAGGUUGUAGAUGCAUAGAGUCACGGGCCAGGUGCUAUGGCUGGAGCUCUGCUCGCCAAAAGGAUUCAUGCCAUCAGUACUUAGACCAAAUCUUAUGUUCCUUGCGUCAGCUGCAAAAUCUUUGAACACUCUGUCGAUCUUUCUCCAUUGCGUUCCAUCAGCGGUGUGUCCCAACUCCCCGUCGGACUUACGGUCCUCUUUGUGCCAUCGCAACGACUUGGCAUGCUUUUUGUUCCUGAACAGACGUUUCAACCGUGGUAUUAUAGGAGCAUACCACAUCACCUUGGCGGGAACCCUCUUCCUGGGUUUCUCGCCCUCAACAUCGUCACCAGGGUCAUCGCCUCUGAUCUUAUAACGCAAUGCAGUGCAUACAGGGCAUUCAUUCAAAUUCUCGUAUUCACCGCGGUAGAGGAUGCAGUCGUUAAUGCAUGCAUGUAUCUUCAGAACCUCUAAACCUAGAGGGCAGACAACCUUCUUUGCUUCGUACGUACUGGCGGGCAACUCGUUAUUCUUCGGAAACAUAUUCUUCAACAUUUUCAGCAAAUUUUCAAAUGAUGAGUCAGCUACACCUUCCUGUGCCUUCCAUUUUAGCAAAUCCAGUGUGCAACCCAACUUUUUCAGACUAUUAUCGCAUCCUGGGUACAACGACUUUUUGUGAUCCUCUAACAUGCGAUCCAAAUUCUCCCUCUCCUUGUCAGUUUCGCAGCGUCUCCGUGCAUCAGCAAUGGUCCGACCAAGAUCAUCAGCGGGCUCAUCAUGUGCCUCUUCUUCACCUUCACCUAACCCUUCCCCACCUUCAGCAUCAUCCUCCAUGAAAGUAUCACCGAAAUGAUCAUGAUAGUUGUCAUCGAUAUCAUCCCCUUCUUCAUCUUGUUCCAUUCUAACCCCUCUUUCUCCAUGCUUGGUCCAACAAUUAUAGCUUCGCAUGAAACCGUGCCGAAGCAGGUGCAUGUGAACGUCUCUUGAGGAGGAGUAACCCUUCUGAUUCUUACAGACACCACAUGGACAGAUAAUAAAACCUCGCUGCUUGUUCGCAUUUGCCACUACGAGGAAAUCUUUCAAACCCGUAGUGAACCGCCGGAGAGUCGGGGACCGUACAUCCAUUGCCGAUUCAUCUGCAUUAUUAUUAUAUAAAGUAUAUAAUUAACCAUCAUGCAUUUGUUAAACUAACUAGCUAGAAAUAAUACAAAUUAAACAAUGAACUACACACAUCCAUAUUUUAUCAAUGACACAUGAAAGGUUCAAGUUGCUAACCGCGAUCGCGGAGGAAAAAUAAAUGAGAAAGCUCAAGUGUGGCUCGGACACUUCAUAUCAUGUUUGUUUCAUGCUCUCGGGCAUUUCAUCGAACACCUUGUGUGCAUAGGAGGAACCAAAAGCAAACCCACCAGCCCCCUUCUGAAUUGUGGCUAAGUGAAGUGAGCUGAGUCCUAUAUAUAGGGAUGGGCCUUUAGUCCCGGCUGGCCUGGCCAACCGCAACUAAAGGCCUUCGGGCCAGCCUGAGGACCUUUAGUCCCGGUUGGCCAGGCCAACCGGGACUAAAGCCCCUCCCGUCCGCCAGCUGUCGACCGAGCGCGCUGGGCCCAGAUAGUUGGUCGCGGGUCUCCUCCCGAACCGCGACUAAAGACCCCUUUGGUCGCGGUUCGAUUAUUUUAGAGACUAAUGGGGGCGUAUGGAAGCCUCUGUUUCUACUAGUGGAGUGCGACGACCCAGAUGAGGGCGCUCUUGAGCUUCUUCCCGACCGACCUAGAUGCAGGAGCAGACCACGGCGGAUCUAAUCAGCCAACGAAUAAAACUGAGGCAGGUAGAGGAAGUAAGGGAGGAAGAAGACUGACUUGUCCUGGUCGCCCUCGUAGUAGAACCUGUGUUUUGAUUUUCGGCCAAAAAAGUGGAUUUCGGCCAUCUCGGCCUGGGGCAAAAAGUGUAUUUAGGCCGAAAUUGUUCAAAUUUAGCAAAUUUUGGUCAAAUUUAAGUCAAAUUGCAGUCAAAAUUUGGUCAAAUUUCAGCCGAAAUUUUUGAAAAUGGCCGAAAUUCGGCCAUCUCAGCCUAGGGAGAAAAAAAAGCUGAAACCAAAAAUCAAAACACAGAGUAGAACAUGGCGAACAGGAUGACGAGGACAGCGUCGAGGAUGUAGACGACGAGCCAGAGCAUGUUCAUGGGCAGGAUCAAGCAUGGGCAGGAUAAGGGUGCAGGCCCCGUUGUAGGCGGCAUGCUUGCAGGCCUGGCGGUUGGCGACGUCGGCGGGGAGCAUGAGGAUGGAGAGGACGGCGACGGUGAUGCCGAGCACGACGACGAGCUUGAGGAAGUAGGCCUGGUUGGCAUCAUCCGGGUGCUGGUAGUUGACGAGGAGCACCAGGAUGCUGACCACCGCCGCCACGAUCACUAGCGCCACGUUAAAAAAACCAUCUCCUCGGGGCUCCGGUCCCGGUUCCGGCCCGCCGCCUCGCCCCCUUGGUCGGUCAGAUCUCUCUGUCCCUAGAGGCGGGGGGAUACAGGCUAGGGUUUGGGCGUGGGCGGGGAAUAGGCUGCUAUGGUGCCGGCAGCGGGGCGUGUAGGAGAGAAGGAUUAGGAGGAAUAAUUCACCACACUUUGAUUAAGCUCUCGGCUGGUUCUUAUGUACAGAUUACAGGGCCAGCCAGGGAGAUCAUGGGGUGAUCCACUACCUGGGAUCGUGCGCCACGAUCACUACAUGCGUGCGCCACGAUCAUACACACACACGCUACACCUAGUGUCUACGCAACUACGGUAUAGCAGUACAGUACAGCCUAACACCCCCCGGAGUCGUGACGUCGGCGGCGGCGACGCAAAGACUGGACCGGAACUCAGAGAAAACAUCCGAUGGCAGGCCUUUGGUCAUGAUGUCGGUGUGUUGUUGGCGCGUGGGGAUGUGAAGAACACGGAAGUGGCCGAGGGCGACGCGCUCCCGCACGAAAUGGAUGUCCAGCUCCACAUGCUUAGUGCAGCGAUGAUGCACCGGAUUGGCUGACAGGUAGACUGCGGACACAUUGUCACAGUACACAAGUGCCGCCUUGGUCAUUGGAGCGGAGAGCUCGCCGAGAAGCUGGCGGAGCCAGAUGCAUUCAGCGACCGCGUUGGCGACGCCGCGGUAUUCAGCUUCGGCGCUGGAGCGCGAUACGGUCGCCUGGCGCUUGGAGGACCAGGAGACGAGAGCAUCGCCGAGGAAGACGCAGAAGCCCGACGUGGAGCGUCGGGUGUCGGGGCAGCCGGCCCAGUCCGCAUCGGUGAACGCACGGACGUCGAGCAUGGUCGAGGCGUGAAGAUGAAGCCCGAGUGCGCAGGUGCCCUUCACGUACCGGAGCACGCGCUUUACGAGCGCGAGGUGGCAUUCGCGCGGGUCAUGCAUGUGUAAGCAGAUUUGCUGGACGGCGUAGGCGAUCUCUGGACGCGUGAUGGUGAGGUACUGCAGGGCCCCGGCGAUGCUCCGAUAGGCCGAAGGGUCGUCGACGCAUGGCCCAUCGGCUGAGGGGAGUUUGCUCUUCGUGUCGAUGGGUGUCGGGGAAGGGCGGCAGGUGUCCAUGCCGGCGCGUUCCAGGAGCUCGUCGGCAUAUUGUUGUUGCGACAGGAAGAAGCCAGCUCGGGUGCGGGUGACGCGCAUGCCGAGGAAGAAGGCGAGCGAGCGCAGGUCCUUCAUGGCGAAUUCGCCUGUGAGGCGCUGGAUGACAUGGUGAAGCACGCGUGACGAGGACGCGGUGAGCACGAUGUCGUCGACGUAGAGGAGGAGGAACGCCAUGUCGUUGCCGUGCCGGAAGGUGAACAGCAACGAGUCCGAACGCGUAGCUGCGAAGCCAAUGGAGCGGACGAAGCCGGCGAAGUGGAGGAACCAGGCACGGGGCGCCUGCUUGAGCCCGUACAAGGACUUGGAGAGGCGGCAGACGUGCUCUGGUUUGUCGGGGUCGAUGAAUCCGGCGGGCUGGAGGCAGUAGACUUCCUCCUCAAGUUUCCGUGGAGGAAGGCAUUGGAGACGUCGAGGUGGUGCACCGGCCAGCCGCGCGACGCGGCCAUAGUGAGCACCAUGUGGAUCGUCACUGGCUUGACGACGGGGGAGAACGUCUCGCCGUAGUCGACGCCGGCACGCUGAUGAAAGCCCCGCACGACCCAGCAUGCUUUGUAGCGGGCCAGCACGCCGUCGGCGUCGUUUUUGUGCUUGAAGAUCCGCUUCCCUGUGAUCAGGUUGGCGCCGGGGGGGAGCGGGGCACCAGCUCCCACGUGCGAUUGCGCACGAGCGCAUCGUACUCAGCACACAUGGCAGCGAGCCAGUUCGGGUCGCGAACAGCAGCACGAACCGAACGCGGCACCGGCGACACCGAUGAUGAGCUAGAGGCGGUGGCCGCGUCGUAGUAGCGCGGCUUGGGGCGGAAGAUGCCGCGCUGGGCACGCGUGACCAUGGGCACAGGAGGCGCCGGUGCGCGGGGCGCCGCUGGUGGCGCGCUCGGAGACGAGCUGUCGGAGGAGCCACUGGGGAGUUGUCGGAGGAGGCGCUGGCGGAGGCGAAGACAAGCGGACCAGGCGCGGAUGGGCACGUCGAGGACGGAGCCGAGCCGCCAUCGGAAGCGCCCGCAGCGUACCGCGAGCUGACGCGGCGCGCCCCGCUGGUUGGCGAUGAUGAGCGGGGCAAGCCGGUGAUGGAGAUCAGGCGCGCCGGCAGCACGGGUGACAUGCUGCUGUCAGGCACCGGUGGAAGCGCGGGCAGCGCAGGAGGCCGGACGACGAGCGGGAUCUGCAGGUUAGAGGGUACGACGGGUGGCGUAGGCGACGGGGAAGAGGAUGCGAACGGGAAAACGUGUUCGUGGAAGAGAACGUGGCGAGACGUGAGGACGCGGCGAGAGGUGAGGUCAAAGCAGCGAAAACCACGAUGAUCGGGAGGGUACCCGAGGAAGACGCAGGCGAUAGAACGUGGCUCGAGCUUAUGGCGGGUGGUGGCGGUGACGUUCGGAUAGCAGAGGCAUCCAAAGACGCGGAGCUGCGAGUAAUUUGUGCGGGCAUGCGGUGACGUUCGGAUAGAUGCGGAGUAAUUUGUGCGACGCCGAGCAGGAGUUCAUGCGGAGUGCAGGGCGCCGAGGCGCGGCAGGGCCGACGAUUGAGCAGGUAGGUCGAGGUGUUGAGAGCCUCUGCCCAGAAGCGAGCGGGCAUGUGCGCAUGACAGAGAAGCACACGAACACCGUCGUUGAUCGUGCGGAGAACUCGCUCGUCCUUGCCGUUCUGCCGUGGCGAGCAAGCAGAGAGCGCGCGGCUGCACUGUCGAAUUCACGACCGUUGCCCGUUUCCAGUGCAAGUAUGGGUAACUGAAACUGAGUCUGAACAUAGGCAAAGAAAUCAACAAGUAUGGGAAGAACUUCAGACUUGUGUUUCAGAGGGAAAGUCCAGACAUAGUGACUGAAAUCAUCUAGUACAACUAAGUAAAACUGAUAGCCGGAUAUGCUUACAACGGGAGCGGUCCAUACAUCAAGGUGUAAAAGCUGGAAAGGAAAGAAACUAGCAGUGGUGGAUGUCUGAAACGUGUUGGAUCGAUGUCCGUGUAGCCCGCUUCUUUCUCUGUAGGAAGGACGCGGUUACGCUCGCGUUGACAUCGGAUGACUCGAUCACAUGCACGGGAGGGGCGGUACGACAUGGCACCGCCACGCCACCGUGCUCCCUCCCAGUGCCGACCUGGAGCAACUUGCCACUCCUCAGCUCGUGACCGGUGGGCUUGACGGGCCACCUAGCCAUUUUUUAUGCCAGACAACUCUUCUUCCUGCUCAUCAGAUGUCAUGGAUAAAACUGUUUAAGGAGGAAAAUGAUGAGUGGACGUGUGAUGCGGUUCUUGCCCAACAUCUGACAUUGUUUAAAUAGCGAGGGGACACGAGAGGAGCCAACUGGCGUUCUGUUUAAUGCCAACCGGCUCGUGAACGAACAUGUGGCCGGAGUAAUUAUCCUGGCACACACGAGGGUUUAAUGGUGGAAGGCGGGCAGUCUGCAGGAAUGAGGCGAGGAUGUGUGCUUAGCCGGCGUGCAGUAGGCGGCGCCCUCGGCCGGCGUGCUGCUUCCAUUGCGGAGGCAGUGAGAGGUCGCGUCCGCUCUGCAGCGCAUGAAUGCGGGCAGCUGGCGCAGAGCGGGAACGCGUGCGGGCGAGGGAGGAGGGGGUUUGGGCGGGUGGUCAGAAGAGGUCGUGGGUGUUGUCCGAACGCCUGCAAAUCCCCCCUCCAUAUUUGUCUCCAGUUUGCGGGAGAAAGUACGUCCGGACCGUCUCCAAUGGACCAAUACAGGCCCGCAUUAGAUGGCACAACACGUCCGGACCAUGUGGUCCGGAUGGUUGUGGACAGUUUAAUUGAGGGUCGGCGUUGGAGAUGCCUUAGAGUUUAUGAAUCCAUUGUGUUUUUCUAAUCAUAAAAAAGCACUUACAAUAAGUUAUAAGGAAAGACACGUUUAUAUGUUAGGUUCAGACUCCAGGUUUCGUUUUACAUAUGCUUUAUUCAUCCGACUGAUUCCAAUAGAGUGAGCCUAGCGUUGUUUUUCUGGAAACUCGCGGGAUAAGGAGACAUGCAUACACAUUCUUUCAAGCAAAUCACAUCCAUUCUUUUUAACUCAUUUUUCUUCUUUUAAUAAUAUAAUAGAUCAUUUAUAUUUUUUAUCUGAAACAGUUGACGUGUAAUUUAUAUUGUAAUCUGAGGAUAAUGUUUGGAUUUUACUUUCAAAUAUAUUUGAAAUGGCCAUGAUGGAAUCACAUCCAUUUAUUUUAUUAUUAUUUGAAUUUGAUCCAAAAGAUAAAUAAUGAGUUGAGGUCAUGUCAACUUUUCUGAGAACUUUGCUAAUCAAAAUAUAAAUUGUAUUUAAAAAAUCUAUUUUUUAGCACGCAUGAAAAACAUAACACGUAUCUUUUCACACAUAAUGAACGGUUGUCAUAAGAACUCAUGCCAUGCCACAACCUCCCUCCGACCCUGCCAACAUUGUUGCAGCUGCACUCGCAAGCCUUAGCGUAGAUGAUAAUUUAUACAAUUUGCGUAAAACAAAAUAAGAUCUACAAAUUAAUAGAAGCUAGAACGUACAUUGGCAUGCACACACAUUGCAAGCUAUACUAAGCUGAUAAGUGUUAAUAACUUGUACAACAUAUACAACACUUAAGACAAGUAAAAGCAAUUUGAUGAGUCAUGGUCUAUCAAAGCCACAUUACUAGUCUAAUCCAUCUUAACAGGUCACACAUGAUUAAAAUCUUGUUUGUGUGCAAGUCAAGCUUAUCUAGUUUACAUGUAACAACUUGUAGAACAUUAAAAAAUUUAUGUUUGCUAAUAACUUCUAGAACACUACAACACUUGACAUGUAAAAGGAAUUUGAUGAGUCAUGGCCUACUAAAGCAAGUUAUAUUACUAGUCUUAUCUACCUUAACAGGCCACACAAGAUUACAAACCAAGUUCUGUGCCAGCCAUGCUUAUCUAGUUUAUGCGUAACAAUUUGCAGAAAAUUACAAACUUAGUUUCAGAAAAAUAGGCAAUCUAGAUUAGUGUUUGAGCUAUAAAGUGAAUAAAAUGAGUCAUCUGUGUUAUCACACCUUUUUGGUUGUGGAAUGAUAGUGCAACAACAAGGAACUUUAAUGACCAGUUCAAGAAUACACUUGUAAGUAGUGCCACCGAACACAACAUACCAAAUUAUGAUUUUGAGAAGCAUCCAAGCACUUCCACACAAGCAAAUGCCAAUUGUGAAAGAGAUCAUGCCAUGGCAGCUAUAAAUAGGCCCGUAGCAUGACGAUCAUCCUUCCUCAUCCAUCAUUCUCAAAAGUAGAGCGCAUCAUUUAAGCCAAGCAAGCAGUGCUCAAUACAAAUCCACCAUGAAGACCUUUCUCAUCCUUGCCCUCCUUGCUAUUGUAGCAACCACCGCCACAAUUGCAGUUAGAGUUCCAGUGCCACAAUUGCAGCCACAAAAUCCAUCUCAGCAACAACCACAAGAGCAAGUUCCAUUGGUACAACAACAGCAAUUUCCAGGGCAGCAACAACCAUUUCCACCACAACAACCAUAUCCGCAGCCGCAACCAUUUCCAUCACAACAACCAUAUCUGCAGCUGCAACCAUUUCCACAGCCGCAACUACCAUAUCCGCAGCCGCAACUACCAUAUCCGCAGCCGCAACCAUUUCGACCACAACAACCAUAUCCACAACCGCAACCACAGUAUUCGCAACCACAACAACCAAUUUCGCAGCAGCAACAACAACAACAACAACAAAUCCUUCAACAAAUUUUGCAACAACAACUGAUUCCAUGCAGGGAUGUUGUAUUGCAACAACACAACAUAGCGCAUGGAAGGUCACAAGUUUUGCAACAAAGUACUUACCAGCUGGUGCAACAAUUGUGUUGUCAGCAGCUGUGGCAGAUCCCCGAGCAGUCGCGGUGCCAAGCCAUCCACAAUGUUGUUCAUGCUAUUAUUCUGCAUCAUCAUCAACAACAACAACAACAACAACAACCGUUGACCCAGGUCUCCUUCCAACAGCCUCAACAACAAUAUCCAUCAGGCCAGGGCUCCUUCCAGCCAUCUCAGCAAAACCCACAGGCCCAGGGCUCUGUCCAGCCUCAACAACUGCCCCAGUUUGAGGAAAUAAGGAACCUAGCGCUAGAGACGCUACCUGCAAUGUGCAAUGUCUAUAUCCCUCCAUAUUGCACCAUUGCUCAAGUUGGCAUCUUCGGUACUAACUGAGAAGAGAAGAACUCUAGUAGUAGAUAUAUGAUACACCGUUUUCUUAGUCCAUGGUUUGGUCGUUGUAGCGGUGAAAAAAUAAAGUGACAUGCACUAUCAUGCAAGAACCCGAACUAUACUAGUUCAAACAUGGGAAUAAAAGACAAACACAUGUCUUGACUACAUAUGAUUGUUUGUUUGAGUUCCACUCAUGUGCCCACUUACAAGUUCACCCCUAAUUAUAUAUAUUAUGCAUUAAGUAGAUAUUUAUGUUGCAUUAAUCUAAAGAUAACAAAAUGAGUCUGAAAUUUGAAUUAAAUUGAAGUAUUUCCUUGGACUUUCAAAUGGAGUAUUAUUAAAGUAGUAAGGACUAUCCACAUCCUUGGCUUGCCCUUGAUCAAUUAUUUCCAGAGAAGCAUUCAAUUCAUCAAUCAAUUACAUUGAUUUUUGUGGCUGGUACUUCUCCUCAACAUGAGUAUAUUCAUCGCGGCAACUCCAAAUAGGCAUGAAUGAGGUACCGGUGCUCUGGAGCACUGGUACCUAACUGCUUCUCAUGUGAAGGGGUGCGGGCGCGGGAGAGGUGUUUUUGGUGGGCCAGGGGAGUAAGAAGCGGCCGUGGCAGCGGUCCAGACGCCCACAAAGCCCCGUAGUUUGUUUUUGGUUUACAGGAAAAUGCACAUCCAGACCGGCCUGCGGGCCGAUAUAGGACCGUAUUGGAUGGCAAAACAUGUCCGGAUGGUCGCGAGCGGUUUAAGGGUUAGCUUUUGUAACACCCGGUUAGUUAUGCUAUGGUAAUUCCCUGCUAAUGAUGUCACGUCAGCACGAUUACUGUUGUUAACCUCACAAUGAUUCAAUCCCAUUCAAAUUCAAAUUUAAAAUAAAGGCAAACAUCAAAAGUUUCAAACAUUAAAACUAAAAUCUUCGAGAGGUGAAAAAUAAUGCAUAAGUAAUUAUGGUGGAGAAACCACACUUUUAUAAAAUGUUUAAAUACUCUAAAAAUAAUAAAACCGUGGCUUAAACUAUUAUUUAAAUGCUUUUAAAAUAGUAAAAAUGUUCUAACUAAAUUAAUUGGGUACCAAACUUUUAGUGGCAGUGGUAUAUUUAGUAGAACUAAUUUAGAUGCUAAUAAAACAUAAAAGGAAAGACAAAACAAAUAAAAGUAAAAGGGGGCAACCCCUCGCUGGACCUCGGCCAAGCUGGCCACUGGGCUAGCUAGGUUGGCCCAACCGCCUCCCUUAACCCCCCACUCCCCAUUGAACCCUAGACCGAUCGCCCCACUUCCCCCACACCCCCUCGUUAGCCUCCCCACCUCUCGAUCCCAUCUGGAUCGGGGAGGGGAUCGCCCCCAUCGACCCCGUCGCGGUCGCUGGAUCGCCCGCCGGCGUCGCCGGACCUCCUCCCCGUCGCACGUCUCCGGCUCUCCUCCCCUCUCGCUCCUUUUCCUCGACCCGAUCUGGAUCGGACAGGGCCAAUGAGCCCAACGCCCCCCUGCAUCGACGCUGUGCUCCAGCACCGCCGCCCGAAGACCUCGCCAUCGCCGGACCUCGCGUCGCCUCCUCGUAUCCCUCCCCGACUCGCCUCCUCAAGCCACGCCGACCCCCUUCUCGGCAACGCUGUGAGCCGCCCCCGUUUCCCUCCUUCUCUUUCCACCGUGUUCACCGCGCCGCCUGCCGUGCCCCUCGCAGCGCGCACGCCCACCACCGCGCCAGCCCCCGCUCCGCGCCCUCUCCUGCACGCUUGUGCGCGCAUGACCCUAGCCGCGCCCACGCCGUGAUCCCCUUGUCCCGCGCUCGCCGCGGCCCCCAUGCUCCCCUGUGCCCUCUUUUGGGGGUGUCGGCUGCCCCUGUCCCGCAGCUCGCUGGCAUGUGUCCCCGCCCGCGCCUCGCCACCGCUCUACAGCUACGCUACUAUUGCGCUGUGGCCGCCGCCGCUUCCCGCUGCUCUGCCAGCGCCAAAGCUCCCGGUUGGCCCUGCCGCUGCUCGCAUUUAACCGCCGGCCUAAGCGGCCUAACCUCCCCCCCCCCUCGCUAAUGAACCCCCACCAACCCGCUGACACCGGGACCCACAUCCCCUAAUUAACCAUUUAAUAAAUUAAAACUCUUAAAUUAACAUUAGUGUAUGACAUGUGGGUCCCCUAUUAAUUAAACUGAUUUAAUUAAAAUCUAUUAACUUUGAGUCUAUGACAUAUGGGCCCCACUAAACAUUUGACCAGUCAACGGUCCAGUCAAAUGCUGACCGGACAGUUGACCAGAGGGCCCCGCCAGUCAGCCAAUGUGUUGUUCUGCUGGGUACCUUUCUAAGUACACCUAGCAUUUUGCAUUUACAAUAUUUGUUUUAAAAUAAAUUAGAAUAAUUUCAAAAAAAUAUUAAAACUUUUAAAAUUAAAAUAAAUAAUCCGUAACUCGGAUGAAAUUACUUUAUACAUGGAACUUGCUCAAAAAACGAGACGAAUCCGAAUACACAGUCCGUUCGUCUGCCACGCGUCCCUAGCAUAGCGAACAUGCAACCAUCCCCCUCCGGUUCGACUGUCCGAAAAAUUAUUAUUGCACAUGCCCGCUAAGAGGUUGGCUGUAUAUGACAUGACAACUUCUUAUAGCCGACCCUUGGCUGUAUUAUUAACCAUGCUCUUAGUGAGGUAGCUAGUAUAUCAUAGACGACUAGCUAGUAUCAGACUGGCCAAAGUGGGAGUAACUUCAGCAGUAACAUCGACUCCAACUCAGCAAACUUGCUUAUGUGGGAGUAAACCUUGUCCAAUGCAAAAUAGAAUCCCAGUCGUAAUUUUUUCAGGAAACGUGUGGGAUCCCAAACGAAAAGCACACAUCACUCUUGCGGCAACCGUCGGUGACACCCAAUAAAUCACAAACGGUCUGCAGCACUUGUAUGUGUGCAAAGGGGCUCCUGAACCGUUUGUGAUAGAACAUUAUCGCAGACGGUAAUUGUUGGCAAACGUGUGCGAUGGAGUCUAGCAUGGCAGACGGGUUACGCAGAAAACUCGUGUGCGAUGGGGCACAAAUCGCACACAGUUCAUAUGUUGGCCCAUGUGCCUUACAUACUAUUUCCCAAAUGGUUUGUUACGACAGACCGUAUCGUUUCAGUGCGUCAUUAGAAACGCUUAAUCACUGAUACCACACGUGCGAUAGAAUUUAGUGCGUGCUGCAUCGCACACGAUUACAUUUUGGAAGGCCUCUGGAUCACUGCUCCAUAUCCCCGACGGUUUCUGGGCCGUGUGGGAAGGACACCCUAUCGCACACACUCACUUGGCGACGGUUCCAAAUGCUGUUGCGGAAAGGGGUUAAAAACAGUUUGUUUAGGACCGACGCAUACCAGUGUCUAUCUAUCUAUCUAUCUAUCUAUCUAUCCAUCUAUCUAUCUAUCUAUCCAUCUAUCUAUCUCAAUCCACCUAUCUAUCUAUCCAUCUAUCCAUCUAUCUAUCUCUCCAUCUAUCCAUCUAUCUAUCCAUCUAUCCAUCCAUCUACUAUCCAUCUAUCUAUCCAUCCAUCUAUCUAUCUCUCUCUCUCUAUCUAUCUAUCUAUCUAUCUAUCUAUCUAUCUAUCUAUCUAUCUAUCUAUCUAUCUAUCUGUCUGUCUAACUAUCUAUCUGUCUAUCUAUCUAUCCAUCUAUUCAUCUAUCUAUCUAUGUAUCCAUUUAUCCAUUGAUCCAUCUAUCGAUCCAUCCAUCUAUCCAUCCAUCUAUCCAUCCAUCUAUCUAUCCAUGUAUCCAUGUAUCCAUCUAUCCAUCUAUCCAUCUAUUGAUCUAUCCAUCUAUCUAUCUAUCUAUCCAUCUAUCCAUCUAUCGAUCUAUCCAUCUAUCUAUCUAUCCAUCCAUCUAUCCAUCUAUCGAUCUAUCGGUCUAUCCAUCUAUCGAUCUAUCCAUCUCUCCAUCUACCCAUCUACCCAUCUAUCCAUCUAUCCAUCUAUUCAUCUACCGAUCUAUCUAUCCAUCUAUCUAUCUAGCUAUCUAGCUAUCUAUCAAUCUAUCUAGCUAUCUAGCUAUCUAUCUAUCUAGUUAUCUAGCUAUCUAUCAAUCUACCUACCUACCUACCUACCUAUCUAUCUAUCUAUCUAUCUAUCUAAAGGAAAUAUGCCCUAGAUGCAAUAAUAAAGUUGUCAUUUACAUUUCCUUAUAUCAUGAUAAACUAGCGGAGUCACCCGCGCAUUUGCGCGGCUAGAUUGACUACAUAUAUUGUUAUAUUUGGGAUUAUUUUUCUAUGCCAAUUUUAUGGCCUCUUACUCAGAUAUUAUCUAAUUGAAUUUACCACCACCAUAUGUUAUAUCCAUAGAUUAUAAUUAAAAGGCAACUUCCGACGAAACAUAGACAGAUUAUUGAGUGCUCAGUAGACGGACGCAAUAUCAUAUAUAGACUUCUAUACCAAUCUUCAUGGUUCCCAUCUUUGAUCCUCUCCUCGUCCCUUGGUAUCUAUCUUUGCACCCAAUAUGUCUUUGGAGUUCCAAGAAUUGAAUCUUAGCAUGAAUGGCUUCAAUGUGUACCAAAUGUUCUCUUGUUCCUCCCAAAUUAAUUACUGGUUGCAUUCUUAGUUGCUUUGACAUUCUUGGUUAAUGCAAUGUCUUGCCUACCAAUAUAUGCAUCCACACACGAUCAUAUUUAUAUGACCACUUACCUCUGUAUUCUGGUAUUUGUGCUUCAGAAUUUUUCUCUCAUUCAGUUUAUUCAUAGAUUAAAAACGUCGAUCGUUUCUUUAUUGGUUUGCAUUAUCUUGUUUGCCGAACGUAAGCAUCCACACAUGCUCGUCAUGAUAUGAUUGGUCAUCAUUGUAUAUUUGUAUUUGUGUGUUGAUAGCUUAAGGAUUUUCUCGGAUUCACUUCAUAGUUUAAGGAUUUUCUCGCGUUCAAUUUAUUCUACCUUAUUCAUUUUCAUGUUUCUUUAUUGCAUUUAUAUCAAUUCUUACAAUAUAUUUUCCAAGAUAUGAACUCAACUGCUAAUUACGUAGUUUUUCAUCAAAAAUUACAUGUAAAAAUGUUACAAAUGCAUAAACAUGAUAAAAAUAUAUAUCAUAUUCCAUUGAGAGAUCGCCCAUUUAAAAAAAACACGUUGACUUACAAAAAGGACAAUUCAAGCUGCAUGUACGUCCGACUCAUGUUUACCUGACAAUGUCGAUGUUGAUUUCAGCAGUAAAUGAGCUGUGUGUGACCUUUGCGCUUUCCGGUAUUCUUCUAACCUGUGUGCUUUAUGAUCAGUUUGUUGUGCUUAGUACUGGACACUGGAGUAUACUAUCAUAUUUGGUACAAAUAAAUCUGAACUACUAUAGUUAUGAUCCACUCUAUAGUUAAUGGUGGUGGUAAUUAAUAUAUGUGGUUAAAUACUUGCGCUCCUUAGGUGGGGAGUUGGAUUUGUAUUUCCCUAAAAUAAAUUUCAGAUUUCGUAAUAGUGGUGAAGCCAGCCGGAAGAACCUCUGCGUCAUUAUUAAUUUUGGUGAUAUUUUUCUUCAUAGUGUAGAAUAAUUUUAGUGCUUAUUCCGCAAAAAAUAUGGCCUCAACUAACCCCAUAGCUUGUAUGUUGCGCCACCACUGUUUCCUAUAUCUUAUUACAUCCGUUGUUUUUAGAUCUUGAUGCAUAACUUUGACAAUUUUUAAUAGAUAUGUGUCUGCAUAAAAAAUUAUAAAUGCUAUGAUAAUUUGAUUAAUUAUGAUGAAUAAAAUGUUAUUGCUCUGACUUGAUCCCUCUAGAAUUUUCCAAAAUUUCACAUUACUGUUGUAGUAGUGCAUGCUACCUCUUCAGCACUGCGUUAGUUUUCCCUUGAAGAGGAAAGGGUGAUGCAGUAAAUCAGCGUCAGUAUUUCCCUCAGUUUUUGAGAACCAAGGUAUCAAUCCAGUAGGAGGCAACACACGAGUCCCUCGCACCUACACAAACAAAUAAAAUCCUCGCAACCAACGCAAUAAAGGGGUUGUCAAUCCCUUCACGGUCACUUACGAAAGUGAGAUCUGAUAGAUUUGAUAAGAUAAUAUUUUUGGUAUUUUUAUGAUAAAGAUGCAACGUAAAGAAAGCAAAAUAAAAACAACGCCAGAAAUAGCUUGUUGACGGGAGAUUAAAUAUGAUGGAAAAUAGACCGGGGGCCAUAGGUUUCACUAGUGGCUUCUCUCGAGAGCAUAAGUAUUUCGGUGGGUAGACAAAUUACUGUUGAGCAAUUGACAGAAUUGAGCAUAGUUAUGAGAAUAUCAAGGUAUGAUCAUGUAUAUAGGCAUCACGUCCGAGGCAAGUAGCCCGACUCCUGCCUGCAUCUACUACUAUUACUCCACACAUCAACCGCUAUCCAGCAUGCAUCUAGAGUAUUAAGUUCAAAAGAACAGAGUAACGCUUUAAGUAAGAUGACAUGAUGUAGAGGGAUAAACUCAUGCAAUAUGAUAUAAACCCCAUCUUGUUAUCCUCGAUGGCAACAAUACAAUACGUGCCUUGCUGCCCCUACUGUCACUGGGAAAGGACACCGCAAGAUUGAACCCAAAGCUAAGCACUUCUCCCAUCGCAAGAAAGAUCAAUCUAGUAGGCCAAACCAAAUUGAUAAUUCGAAGAGACUUGCAAAGAUAACCAAUCAUACAUAAAAGAAUUUAGACAAGAUUCAAAUAUUGUUCAUAGAUAAACUUGAUCAUAAACCCAUAAUUCGUCGGUCUCAACAAACACACCGCAAAAGAAGAUUACAUCGAAUAGAUCUCCACAAGAGGGGGGGAGAACAUUGUAUUGAGAUCCAAAAAGAGAGAAGAAGCCAUCUAGCUAAUAACUAUGGACCCGAAGGUCUGAGGUAAAGUACUCACACAUCAUCGGAGAGGCUAUGGUGUUGAUGUAGAAGUCCUCCGUGAUCGAUGCCCCCUUCGGCGGAGCUCCGGAAAAGGCCCCAAGAUGGGAUCUCACGGGUACAGAAGGUUGCGGCGAUGGAAUUAGGUUUCAUUCCGUUUGGACUCGGUUUGAUAUUCUUUUUCUGUGAAACUCUGAACUAGGCAAAAAACAGCAAUUCUGGGGUGGGCCUCCGGUUAAUAGGUUAGUCCCAAAAAUAAUAUAAAAGUGUAUAAUAAAGCCCAUUAAUGUCUAAAACAGAAUAUAAUAUAGCAUGGAACAGUUAAAAAUUAUAUAUACGUUGGAGACGUAUCAAGCAUCCCCAAGCUUAAUUCCUGCUCGUCCUCGAGUAGGUAAAUGAUAAAAACAGAAUUUUUAAUGUGGAAUGCUACUUCGAAUAAUUUCAAUGUAAUUCUCUUAAUUGUGGUAUGAAUAUUCAGACCCGAAAGAUUCAAGACAAAAGUUUAAUAUUGACAUCAAAAUAAUAAUACUUCAAGCAUACUAACUAAGCAAUUAUGUCUUCUCAAAAUCAUAUAGUCUAGCUAUGCUCUAUCUUCACCACACAAAGUAUUUAAAUUAUGCACAACCCCGAUGACAAGCCAAGCAAUUGUUUCAUACUUUUGAUGUUCUCAAACUUUUUCAAUCUUCACAGAAUACAUGAGCAUGAGCCAUGGACAUAGCACUAUAUGUGGAAUAGAAUGGUGGUUGUGGAGAAGACAAAAAAGGAGAAGAUAGUCUCACAUCAACUAGGCGUAUCAACGGGCUAUGGAGAUGCCCAUUAAUAGAUAUCAAUGUGAGUGAGUAGGAAUUGCCAUGCAACGGAUGCACUAGAGCUAUAAGUAUAUGAAAGCUCAACAAAAGGAACUAAGUGGGUGUCCAUCCAACUCGCUUGCUCAUGAAGACCUAGGGCAUUUUGAGGAAACCCAUCAUUGGAAUAUACAAGCCAAGUUCUAUAAUGAAAAUUUCCCACUAGUACAUGAAAGUGAUAUCAUAGGAGACUCUCUAUCAUGAAGAUCACGGUGCUACUUUGAAGAACAAGUGUGGUAAAAGGAUAGUAACAUUGUCCCUUCUCUCUUUUUCUCUCAUUUUUUAUUUGGGUCUUUUAUCCUUUUUUUAUGGCCUCUUUUUUUAGUCCGAAGUCUCAUCCCGACUUGUGGGGGAAUCAUAGUCUCCAUCAUCCUUUCCUCACUUGGGACAAUGCUCUAAAAAAAUGAUGAUCAUCACACUUUUAUUUACUUACAACUCAAUACUUAGAACAAAAUAUGACUCUAUGUGAAUGCCUCUGGCGGUAUACCGUGAUAUGCAAUGAAUCAAGAGUGACAUGUAUGAAAGAAUUAUGAACGGUGGCUUUGCCACAAAUACAAUGUCAACUACAUGAUCAUGGAAAGCAAUAUGACAAUGAUGGAGUGUGUCAUAAUAAACUGAACGGUGGUAAGUUGCAUGGCAAUAUAUCUCGCAAUGGCUAUGGAAAUGCCAUGACAGGUAGGUAUGGUGGCUGUUUUGAGGAAGGUAUAUGGUGGGUGUAUGAUACCGGCGAAAAGUGCGCGGUAUUAGAGAGGCUAGCAAUGGUGGAAGGAAGAAAGUGCGUAUAAUCCAUGGACUCAACAUUAGCCAUAAAGAACUCAUAUACUUAUUGCAAAAAUCUACAAGUUAUCGAAGCAAAGUAUUACCCGCAUCAUCCUAGGGGGAUAGAUUGGUAGGAAAAGACCAUCGCUCGUCCCCGACCGCCACUCAUAAGGAAGACAAUCAAUAAAUAAAUCAUGCUCCAACUUCAUCACAUCACGGUUCACCAUACGUGCAUGCUAAGGGAAUCACAAACUUUAACACAAGUAUUUCGCAAAUUCAAAACUACUCAACUAGCAUGACUCUAAUAUCACCAUCUCCAUAUCUCAAAACAAUUAUCAAGUAUCAAACUUCUCAUAGUAUUCAACACACUCAUAAGAUUUUUUUACUAAUCUUGAGUGCCUAUCAUAAUUAAAGCAAAUUACCACACUGUUUUGUAGGACUAUCAAAAUAAUCUAAGUGAAUCAUGAGAGAACAAUAGUUUCUAUAAAACAAAACCACCACCGUGCUGUAAAAGAUAUACGUGAAGCACUAGAGCAAAAACUAUAUAGCUCAAAAGAUAUAAGUGAAGCACAUAGAGUAUUCUAACAAUUUCCGAAUCAUGUGUGUCUCUCUCAAAAGGUGUGUACUGCAAGGAUUAGUGUGGCAAACUAACAAAUAAAGACUUCAAAUAAUACAAGACGCUCCAAGCAAAACACAUAUCAUGUGGUGAACAAAAAUAUAGCUCCAAGUAAAGUUACCGAUGGAAGUAGACGAAAGAGGGGAUGCCUUCCGGGGCAUCCCCAAGCUUUGGCUUUUAGUUGUCCUUAGAUUAUCUUGGGGUGCCAUGGGCAUCCCCAAGCUUAGGCUCUUGCCACUCCUUGUUUCAUAAUCCAUCAAAUCUUUCAUCCAAAACUUGAAAACUUCACAACACAAAACUGAGCAGAAAAUCUCGUGAGCUCCGUUAGCAAAAGAAAAGAAAACACCACUUCAAGGUACUGUAAUGAACUCAUUCUUUAUUUAUAUUGGUGUUAAACCUACUGUAUUCCAACUUGUCUAUGGUUUAUAUACUAUUUUACUAGCCAUAGAUUCAUCAAAAUAAGCAAACAACACACGAAAAACAUAAUCUGUCAAAAACAGAACAGUCUGUAGUAAUCUAUAACUAACGCAAUUUUCUGCGACUCCAAAAAUUGACCCAAAAUAGGAAGACCUAGCCAAUUUUUUUAUUUAUCAGCAGCAAUUGGAAUCAAUAUUUUAUCACGUCCUGGUGAUUUUUAACAAUUAUUUUCGUGAACAGAAAGUUUCUGGAAUUUUCAGCAAGAUCAAAUAACUAUCAUCCAAGAAGAUCCUAUAGGUUAACCUUGGCACAAACACUAAUUAAAACAUAAAAACACAUGUAACCAGAGGCUAGAUCAAAUAUUUAUUCCUAAACAAAAGAAAAAAGCAAAAAAACUAAAAAUAAAAUUGGGUUGCCUCCCAACAAGCGCUAUCGUUUAACGCCCCUAGCUUGGCAUAAUAGCAAGGAUAGAUCUAGGUAUUGCCAUCUUUGGUAGGCAAUCCAUAAGUGGCUCUCAUAAUAGAUUCAUAAGGUAAUUUUAUUUUAUUUCUAGGGAAGUUUUCCAUGCCUUUCCUUAAUGGAAAUUGGAAUCUAAUAUUCCCUUGCUUCGUAUCAAUAAUUGCACCAAUCGUUCUAAGGAAAGGUCUACCAAGAAUAAUAGGACAUGAAGGAUUGCAAUCUAUAUCAAGAACAAUAAAAUCUACAGGCACAUAAUUCCUAUUUGCAACAAUAAGAACAUCAUCAAUUCUUCCCAUAGGUUUCUUAAUGGUGGAAUCCGCAAGGUGCAAGUUUAAAGAGCAAUCAUCAAAAUCACGGAAACCUAGCAAAUCGCACAAAGUCUUUGGAAUCGUGGAAACAGUAGCACCCAAAUCACACAAAGCAUAGCAUUCAUGAUCUUUAAUUUUUAUUUUAAUAGUAGGUUCCCACUCAUCAUAAAGUUUUCUAGGGAUAGAAACUUCCAACUCAAGUUUUUCUUCAUAAGAUUGCAUCAAAGCAUCAACGAUAUGUUUAGUAAGGCUUUAUUUUGACUAUAAGCGUGUGGAGCAUUUAGCACGGAUUGCAACAAGGAAAUACAAUCUAUCAAAGAGAAAUUAUCAUAAUUAAAUUCCUUUAAAUCCAAAAUAGUGGGUUCAUUAAUAUCUAGAGUUUUGAUUUCUUCAAUCCCACUUUUACCAAUUUUUGCAUCAAGAUCUAAAAACUCAGAAUUUUUGGAAUGCCUUCUAGGUAGAGGUGGAUCAUAUUCAGUCCCAUCAUUAUCAAGAUUCAUAUUGCAAAACAAAGAUUUAAUAGGGGACACAUCAAUAACUUUUAGAUCUUCAUCUUUAUUUUCAUAGAAACUAGAAGAACACGCUUUCACAAAACAAUCUUUCUUAGCACGCAUCCUAGCGGUUCUUUCUGUGCACUCAUCAAUGGAAAUUCUCAUGGCCUUGAGAGACUCAUUGAUAUCAUGCUUAGGAGAAAUUCUAUCAGCGUUCCUAGCCAAUUCAUCAACUUUAAGCAAUUUUUCUUCAAGCAAAGCAUUGAAAUUGUUUUGCGAAUUCAUAAAUUCUUUAACACUAGUCUCAAAUUCAGAAGGCAUCUUAUUAAAAUUUCCAUAAUAAUUGUUGUAGGAAUUACCAUAAUUAUUAGAGGAAUUACUAGGAUACGGCCUUGGAUUAAAGUUUCCUCUAUACGCGUUGUUACCAAAAUUAUUCCGACCAACAAAAUUCACAUCCAUAGAUUCAUUAUUAUUCUCAAUAAAAGUAGACAAAGGCAUAUCAUUAGGAUCAGAAGAAACACUUUUAUUAGCAAAUAAUUUCAUAAGUUCAUCCAUCUUUCCACUCAAAACAUUAAUUUCUUCUAUCGCAUGCACUUUUUUAUUAGUGGAUUUUUCGGUGUGCCAUUGAGAAUAAUUAACCAUAAUAUUAUCUAGGAGUUUAGUAGCUUCUCCUAAAGUGAUUUCCAUAAAAGUGCCUCCCGCGGCCGAAUCUAAAAGAUUUCUAGAAGAAAAAUUCAAUCCGGCAUAAAAUUUUUGUAUAAUCAUCCACAAAUUCAAACCAUGAGUAGGGCAAUUACGUAUCAUUAAUUUCAUCCUCUCGCAAGCUUGUGCAACAUGUUCAUGAUCAAGUUGCUUAAAAUUCAUAAUAUCAUUUCUAAGAGAGAUGAUCUUAGCGGGGGGGAAAUACUUAGAGAUAAAAGCAUCUUUGCACUUAUUUCAAGAAUCACUACUAUUUUUAGGCAAAGACGAAAACCAAGCUUUAGCACGAUCUCUAAGUGAAAAAGGAAAUAGCUUCAAUUUAACAAUAUCAUUGUCCACAUCUUUCUUCUUUUGCAUAUCACACAAAUCAACGAAGUUGCCAUGUCUAGGAAUGCUUGAAGCUUCAAAGAUUUCCUAUAAUACAACAUGCCUCUAACUAUUCACAAAAAGAAAAACAUGUAAAUGCGGAAUCAACCAAAUGAUGGUAAAUUGUAGUUGAUUUUGGCCAAGCAAACGUCAGAUGAAAGAAACAUACAUGAGUGAACAUCACGAUUGGAUGUUUUAUUCAAAUUUAACAGGUUAAACUCACCAAAUCCAUCUGGAUAUUUAGUAUUAAACUUCAACAGAUGGUCAGUUGUAGCUAGAUUCACACCACUGCAGCAAAAUUCCAUCUGCCACGGUUACAUCACACCAUCUUUUCAUCGUUACUAUUUAAAUUCCAAAUGCCUGCAACUCAUUUUUUUUGUUACGAUGUAUGCAUGAUUUUUAACUCAAGAGGAAGAGGGGAAACUAAAUCCAAGAAAAGAACACCAAGGAAGCAUCCAAAAUAGAGAAAGGAAAAAUCCAAAAUAGAGGCAGAAUCGAAGGGAAGAAACCCCAUAAAAAAUAGGAGAUCAAACGGUGAAAAAAAUCUAAGAGUCAAACAAUUCCAGGUAAGACCAAAUCGACGGCAAAAUAGCACAAGAGGGACUCACAUUAACAGGUAUACCAGGUAUACCAAUUCAGAAAGAAGUGUAAAGCGAACAGUGCAAUGGACCACUAGUAUAAAUUGGAUGUACACAAACAUGGGACUUAAACAGGAACUGCGAGAUGCAGGGUUCAUGUGCAAACCCAAAAAACGGAAAACUGAAACCCACAACAAGAUUUUAUCUUCAUAUAUAUAUAUAUAUAUAUAUAUAUAUAUAUAUAUAUAUAUAUAUUCAAGGCUCGCCCUAUCUAUUAGUUGCUUCUUGCGAAUCCCCACCUAUCAAGCGUUUUCUCUGAAUAAACAAACACAAUAGUAUUCUCUGAAUUAUACUGUACAACGGUAAUUAACCAAGCGACUGGAAUUAACAAUAUUAUGAGCUACUGGCUUUUUAGUCAGGUAAAUAUCAUUCUUAAGACUACGGAAAACAGCAGGCGGCGAAGAAAACAUCUAUUGAUGAGAACUAUGCACAUACUUAAGAAGGAAGUGACAUCUAUGGUAGCAGAACAUAUAUCAAGCUGUUGCAGCUACAUUAGCAGUUUAGCACAGUUCCUCCAUAAUACACAGGCUAGUGUAAUUUCACAAAUACAAUAAGCUAACAAUAUAUAUUUGGUAGAUGGAAAUGGCUGGAUCAUGACCAAUAUACCAUUACACAUCCGAUGAUGCAAAUAAAGAAACGAGGCCCAACAAUAGUGGAAAAUAAACCACAAUAGAACAUGUAUUUGGCGAAACCUCCGUACUGCAAUAUCAAACAUGAAUUGAAAUUAACAAUCUAGCAAAAAAACAUGACAGAUGCAGUCUUGGUCAUUUUUCCUUUUGUGACAUCCCCUAAAAAAAGUAAAAACAAUGUUGUUCGUAUUUUACCAGAGAUACACUGAGCUGGGACAAAUCGGUCUGAAAUAAAAUAUGAUGGCUUCGGAGGAUUCGAAAGGCAAGAAAUUUGCUUUCUUCCAACUUAUAUGGUCUGCUGAACUAAACUUCGUUUCAGCGGGCUUUGGCAAAAAUCUGUAACUGCAUACAUCAACUUGUGUGCCCUUCCUACGUCAAACUUUAAACCUGAUGGAUUAAAUAUUUUAGGUUAGGCUGAGAUCAGUGUACUUUAUGAGUGUUAAGUGUACUUUCUAAAUAGCAGAGAAACCAUAACAUCUAAGCACAACCCAGCAACUUGUACAAGCUAACAUCAAAUCUGAAAGAGGAAAUGUCGAGAACAGGUGAAGGUACCAUGAUCCACGACUGAGCAAAGUUAUCUAUAAUGCUCGGUGAAUAUCAUAAAUUAGGAUCAACUACGCUGAAGAACAAACGGGAAAGGAACCUAGAAAGAUCUUCUGCCGGUAGAAUAUAACUGAUACACUAUCCUCAUUCUCGAGAUCAAGGUCGUUUCUUGAAUUGCAGUUUCCUCACUGUAGUAUGGGGUCAUUACACUGCGAAGAACAAAGUGUCAUAUGAAUCAUUUAGAGCCCAAUAUUUUUCACUGAAACUCUUAUGAUCACAUAACGAAUUUAAACAUAAGGUUUAUUAGAUAUUUGUUGUUGUGAACAGAUAAUAUAUUUCUGGUGUUGACAAUGUUUUGAUUAUGGAUGCACUUCAAGAUGGGUGGCAAAGAUUCUGUUGUACAGGCCUCCACCUGGAAUUUCAUCACUUGUUAUUUUUGUUUUAGAAUGUCUAGGUGCAUUUUUCCUUUAAGGUGGAAACAGAUGUACUUGUAUAAGCAACAAGAAUACAAAGCGCCACUGCCAUACAUUGUGGAAGUUCAGUGCUUCUGUUUACAAAAUCUGCUUCAAAAAACAGAAGGAUUUAUAAUUUUUCAUUACAAUCAAGCGGACAUGAGCUGAUGAGUACAGAUGUAGACAUGUACUGAGAGCAGCACCCUUUCAAAAGUGGAUCAUUUACAUGUUGGAUAGUUUGAUGGUCUGAAAUUAGUGGUCGUGUUUCAGAAUUGUUAUCGAAUAGUAGGGGAUAUAUAUUAACUUCUGAAAUUAGUGGCUGUUUGUCAGAACUGUUAUCGAAUAACAGAGCACAUAUAUUAACUUCAAUAAGUGGAGUAAUAUCUUUGGAUUCGCUGUGAGGAAAGAUUACCAAAACAAAACAGAAGUGAGUGCGACGAACCAGAUGAGGGCGCUCUUGAGCCUCUUCCCGACCGACCUAGAUGCAGGAGCAGAACAGGGCGGAUCUAAUCAGCCAACGAAUAAAGCCGAGGCAGGUAGAGGAAGUAAGGGGGGAAGAAGACUGACUUGUCCUGGUCGCCCUCGUAGUAGAACCUGUGUUUUGAUUUUCGGCCGAAAAAAGAGGAUUUCGGCUGAAUUUCGGCCAUCUCGGCCUGGGGCGAAAAGUGUAUUUAGGCCGAAAUUGUUCAAAUUUAGCAAAUUUUGGUCAAAUUUAAGUCAAAUUGCAGUCAAAAUUUGGUCAAAUUUCAGCCGAAAUUUUUGAAAAUGGCUGAAAUUCGGCCAUCUCAGCCUAGGGAGGAAAAAAAGCUCAAACCGAAAAUCAAAACACAUAGUAGAACAUGGCGAACAGGAUGACGAGGAAGACGAGGACAGCGUCGAGGAUGUAGACGACGAGCCAGAGCGUGUUCAUGGGCAGGAUCAAGCAUGGGCAGGAUAAGGGCGCAGGCCCCGUUGUAGGCGGCGUGCUUGCAGGCCUGGCAGUUGGCGACGUCGGCGGGGAGCAUGAGGAUGGAGAGGACGGCGACGGUGAUGCCGAGCACGACGACGAGCUUGAGGAAGUAGGCCUGGUUGGCAUCAUCCGGGUGCUGGUAGUUGACGAGCAGGUAGACGCUGACGAGGAGCACCAGGAUGCUGACCACCGCCGCCACGAUCACUAGCGCCACGUUAAAAACCCCAUCUCCUCGGGGCUCCGGUCCCGGUUCCGGCCCGCCGCCUCGCCCCCGUUGGUCGGUCAGAUCUCUCUGUCCCUAGAGGCGGGGGGAUACAGGCUAGGGUUUGGGCGUGGGCGGGGAAUAGGCUGCUAUGGUGCCUGCAGCGGGGCGUGUAGGAGAGAAGGAUUAGGAGGAAUAAUUCACCACACUUUGAUUAAGCUCUGGGAUGGGUCUUAUGUACAGAUUACAGGGCCAGCCAGGGAGAUCAUGGGGUGAUCCACUACCUGGGAUCGUGCGCCACGAUCACUACAUGCGUGCGCCACGAUCAUAUACACACACGCUACACCUAGUGUCUACGCAACUACGGUAUAGCAGUACAGUACAGCCUAACACCCCCCUCCCCCGGAGUCGUGACGUCGGCGGCGGCGACGCAAAGACUGGACCGGAACUCAGAGAAAACAUCCGAUGGCAGGCCUUUGGUCAUGAUGUCGGCGAGUUGUUGGCGCGUGGGGAUGUGAAGAACACGGAAGUGGCCGAGGGCGACGUGCUCCCGCACGAAAUGGAUGUCCAGCUCCACAUGCUUAGUGCAGCGAUGAUGCACCGGAUUGGCUGACAGGUAGACUACGGACACAUUGUCACAGUACACCAGUGCCGCCUUGGUCACUGGAGCGGAGAGCUCGCCGAGAAGCUGGCGGAGCCAGAUGCAUUCAGCGACCGCGUUGGCGACGCCGCGGUAUUCAGCUUCGGCGCUGGAGCGCGAUACGGUCGCCUGGCGCUUGGAGGACCAGGAGACGAGAGCACCGCCGAGGAAGACGCAGAAGCCCGACGUGGAGCGUCGGGUGUCGGGGCAGCCGGCCCAGUCCGCAUCGGUGAACGCACGGACGUCGAGCGUGGUCGAGGCGCGAAGAUGAAGCCCGAGUGCGCAGGUGCCCUUCACGUACCGGAGCACGCGCUUUACGAGCGCGAGGUGGCAUUAGCGCGGGUCAUGCAUGUGCAAGCAGAUUUGCUGGACAGCGUAGGCGAUCUCUGGACGCGUGAUGGUGAGGUACUGCAGGGCCCCGGCGAUGCUCCGAUAGGCCGAGGGGUCGUCGACGCAGGGCCCAUCGGCUGAGGGGAGUUUGCUCUUCGUGUCGGUGGGUGUCGGGGAAGGGCGGCAGGUGUCCAUGCCGGCGCGUUCCAGGAGCUCGUCGGCAUAUUGUUGUUGCGACAGGAAGAAGCCAGCUCGGGUGCGGGUGACGCGGAUGCCGAGGAAGAAGGCGAGCGAGCGCAGGUCCUUCAUGGCGAAUUCGCCUGUGAGGCGCUGGAUGACAUGGUGAAGCACGCGUGACGAGGACGCGGUGAGCACGAUGUCGUCGACGUAGAGGAGGAGGAACGCCAUGUCGUUGCCGUGCCGGAAGGUGAACAGCGAUGAGUCCGAACGCGUAGCUGCGAAGCCAAUGGAGCGGACGAAGCCGGCGAAGUGGAGGAACCAGGCACGGGGCGCCUGCUUGAGCCCGUACAAGGACUUGGAGAGGCGGCAGACGUGCUCUGGUUUGUCGGGGUCGACGAAUCCGGCGGGCUGGAGGCACUAGACUUCCUCCUCCAAGUUGCCGUCGAGGAAGGCGUUGGAGACGUCGAGGUGGUGCACCGGCCAGCCGCGCGACGCGGCCAGAGUGAGCACCGUGUGGAUCGUCGCUGGCUUGAUGACGGGGGAGAACGUCUCGCCGUAGUCGACGCCAGCACACUGAUGAAAGCCCCGCACGACCCAGCGUGCUUUGUUGCGGGCCAGCGCGCCGUCGGCGUCGUUUUUGUGCUUGAAGAUCCACUUCCCUGUGAUCAGGUUGGCGCCGGGCGGGCGGGGCACCAGCUCCCACGUGCGAUUGCGCACUAGCGCAUCGUACUCAGCACGCAUGGCACCGAGCCAGUUCGGGUCGCGAACAGCAGCGCGAACCGAACGCGGCACCGGCGACACCGAUGAUGAGGUAGAGGCGGUGACCGCGUCGUAGUAGCGCGGGUUGGGGCGGAAGAUGCCGCGCUGGGCACGCGUGACCAUGGGCACAGGAGGCGCCGGUGCGCGGGGCGCCGCUGGUGGCGCGCUCGGAGACGAGCUGUCGGAGGAGCCGCUGGCGGAGUUGUCGGAGGAGCCGCUGGCGGACACGAAGACAGGCGGACCAGGCGCGGAUGGGCACGUCGAGGACGGAGCCGAGCCGCCAUCGGAAGCGCCCGCAGCGUACCGCGAGCUGACGCGGCGCGCCCCGCUGGUUGGCGAGGAUGAGCGGGGCAGGCCGGUGAUGGAGAUCGGGCGCGCCGGCAGCACGGGUGACAUGCUGCUGUCAGGCACCGGUGGAAGCGCGGGCAGCGCAGGAGGCCGGACGACGAGCGGGAUCUGCAGGGUAGAGGGUACGACGGGUGGCGUAGGCGACGGGGAAGAGGAUGCGAACGGGAAAACGUGUUCGUGGAAGAGAACGUGGCGAGACGUGAGGACGCGGCGAGAGGUGAGGUCAAAGCAGCGAAAACCACGAUGAUCGGGAGGGUACCCGAGGAAGACGCAGGCGAUAGAACGUGGCUCGAGCUUAUGAUGGGUGGUGGCGGUGACGUUCGGAUAGCAGAGGCAUCCAAAGACGCGGAGCUGCGAGUAAUCUGGGGCGACGCCGAGCAGGAGUUCGUGCGGAGUGCAGGGCGCCGAGGCAGGGCCGACGAUUGAGCAGGUAGGUCGAGGUGUUGAGAGCCUCGGCCCAGAAGCGAGCGGGCAUGUGCGCAUGACAGAGAAGCACACGAACGCCAUCGUUGAUCGUGCGGAGAACUCGCUCGUCCUUGCCGUUCUGCUGACUGGCGUAUGGGCAGGUGAGACGGAAGUUUGUGCCGUGGCGAGCAAGCAGAGAGCGCAUGGCUGCGCUGUCGAAUUCACGACCAUUGCCCGUUUGCAGUGCAAGUACGGGUAACUGAAACUGAGUCUGAACAUAGGCAAAGAAAUCAACAAGUAUGGGAGGAACUUCAGACUUGUGUUUCAGAGGGAAAGUCCAGACAUAGUGACUGAAAUCAUCUAGUACAACUAAGUAAAACUGAUAGCCGGAUAUGCUUACAACGGGAGGGGUCCAUACAUCAAGGUUUAAAAGUUGGAAAGGAAAGAAACUAGCAGUGGUGGAUGUCUGAAACGGGAGCCAGGUGUGUUUGCCAACACGACAGGCAUGACAGACAGGCGGAUCACGGCAGAACUCCAGGGACUGAUCGGCAGCAACGGUGUGGAGUGCGGCAGCCCCUGGGUGGCCGAGACGUUGAUGCCACAGGUCGGUCGUGGCGGAGCCGGCGAAGAUGCCCGGGGAAUGGACGGAUGGCCGCACCACGGGAUAGAGAUCGCCGUCGGAGUCAGAUCGGAGAAUCACCACCCUGGUUCGUAGGUCCUUGACAGAGAAACCACGAGCGUCAAAUUCAACAGAAACGGGGUAGGAACGACAAAGCUGCCGAACUGAAAGUAGGUUUUUGACGAUAGAUGGAGAGACGAGAACGUUGCGGAGAGGAAUGGGGGAAGUGCUGGUGAUCAGUGCGCCCGUGCCAACGUGGGUGAUGGGCAGGCGCUCACCACUGCCCACGAUGAUAGAUGCAGCAGUAGAGGACGGGCGAGUGGAGAGGAGAUUACCAGGGGAGGACGUCAUGUGCGCCGCGGCGCCGGAGUCGAGGUACCACUCCGGUGCGCUGCCAGAGGAGGAAGGGCUGGCCGAGGCGCUGUGGAGGGCGGCCUGGAGCGAGGCCAUGUCCCAUGGCUGGUGGGUUGCAGUCGACGAGCUGGCGCCGGGGUGCCCGUAGCCUGACAGGACGCCGGAGACGGGUGGAGUGACGCCGUAGCCGGGGAGGGUAGCGCCGUAGCCGUAUGGUGCAGCCAGCGACGGGGCGGCGAACAUGGCCUGCUGGUGCGGCGUACCAGGGCGGGGGCCGAGCACUCCAGCUCCAGGCGCGCGCCAAGGCAUCGGCCAAGCCUGGACCAUGCCGGUCCAUGCGUUGGUGCCAGGUGCAGGCGUGGGGUACGCCGGGGGAGGGCGGGGAGCCUGGGAGGACGGCGUGGGCGGGCCACCACUGCCGUUGCCACGUCCGCGGCGGCAUCCGCGCCCACGCCCUUGGUUGGUGUUGCUGGGCGGGGGUGUGGGUGGUGUAGGAGAGCCGCCACGCCCGGCGACGAGAGCGUGCGCAGACUGCUGGCGAGCGGUCGACUGCUCUGCUCGGUGUUCCUCAAGCAGGAGGAAGGAGCGCACCUGCAGGAACGACGGGAGCGGGACCUGCGAGGUGAGGGAUGGCGGAGUGGAACUGCCGGUUCAGACCGCGGAGCAGGUUGAAGACCUGCCGCGAGUCGGUUACCGGCUGCCCGAGGUCGCAGAGUUGAUCCGUGAACGACUUCAUCUUGGUGCAGUACGCCAUGAUCGACAUGUCGCCCUGAACGACAGCGUGGUACUCGGCGUCGAGGUAGACAGCGCGAGCGAGGUGGUUGUCGCGGAAGAUUCCAUCGACCGCAGUCCAGACGGCCAGAGCAGUGUCGUCCGGCUGCAUGACGGCGUCGAGCAGGUCCGGCGAUAUGGUGGUGUAGAACCAAUGGACGACGACGUGAUCAGCCAUGCCCCACUUGGGAUCAUCGUGGCGGUGCAUGGCCGUGGUGUCGACGUGAGUGCGGAGGCCGAACAUGCCGAUGACGGUGUCGAAGUGGCGGCGCCACUGCGUGUAGUUGCCGGCGAGAAGGUCGAGGGUGACCGGGACAUGACGACGGAUGUCCACGGUCUGCAGGAUCGCGGAGGCGACAGGUGCUGUAGGAGGAGGAAGAGGGAUGACGGGCACUGCGGGCGCGACAGGUGCUAGAGCCGGCGGUGCGUUGGCCAGGGGGACAGCGUUGAGGACGCCGUCGGCGCCGUGCUGCGAGGAGCGAGGGAACACGACGGGGUUUUCAUCCAUGGCGGCGGAAGCGGGACUGGCGACCUGCGCGAAGGGAUUGAGCAGGUCGGGGGAGUCUGAUACCAUAUAGGAAAGAAGGAUUAGGAGGAAUAAUUCACCACACUUUGAUUGAGCUCUCGGUUGGGUCUUAUGUACAGAUUACAGGGCCAGGGAGAUCAUGGGGUGAUCCACUACCUGGGAUCGUGCGCCACGAUCACUAUAUGCGUGCGCCACGAUUAUAUACACACAUGCUACAACUAGUGUCUACGCAACUACGGUAUAGCAGUACAGUACAGUCUAACAGGGCGGCCACCGGCGGGGAGGGCGGGAUCCGCGCGGGGUGGCGGGAUUUGGGCAGGCGGUGGGCUCGGGGGAGGGCGGUGGCAGCGAAGCAGCAAGGAGGGGCUGGAGGAGAUGAAACGAAAGAGGUCGCGUGACACAGCGACAGCGUCGUCCAAUCCCCUCGCUGCCGAUUUAAAAAAAGGUAAUGAUAACUCCCGAACGUUCAGGAGUUAAGCAUGGCAACCCGAACGGGUUUAGAUGGCAAGUUUAGUUUGCGUGAGAUUAGGGAAACAUGGUAAUUUUCUGACAAAAGAAAUGAAAAAGGACGAAGUUGCCAUCCCCUAUCAACUAAAGUUGCCAUCCCCUAUGAACUAAAGUUGCCAUGUAAAAACGUUCGGGACGAAAUGCUCAAAAUCCGAACGUUCGGAAGUUAUUGGAUUCAAAAAAAAUCCCCUUGCUGCCAAUCGCUGGCCCGUUUCUUUUUUCGCCCAAUCGCUAGGUGAUGACGUGGCUAUCACGGGAAGGCGCCCUUGAUGCGUAGUCGAAUGGUUUUAAUUAAUAGGAAGCGAGUGCUUACUCUAGUUACUGAAUUAUGUACACCAAAUAAAGCCAUUUACACGUAGUUAAUGACAAAAAAAGUUGAUGUUUGCUGCGCAAACGUGUAGUACAAAUUAAGAAGUGCAAGAUAAAAAAAAUGCUGGUCCUUGAUUCGUUGUUGAUCGUCAGCAUGCCAUCAUCAAUUUGUAGUUAAUUAUCAUACAAAUUGGCUCUUUCAUAGAGUUGGAGGCUAGCUCCUUUGAUCAGCACGCGCUUAAACAUAAACAGCACGUAUAUGUUUUGUCUCCGGAGUUCAAUUCUUCAUCGGCCAGCAAAAAUGGCCCGACCGGGUAGAGGAAAAGGCAUGUUUGUUAGUACGCCUGGAGGAAAUGCCUUUGAUUAGGGCAUCUUCAACAGCGACCAGUAAAUUUCCUCCCGCGUUCGUCCACGGAUAGGGGAUCAGUCCGCGGAUACGGAUACAGGAAUCAUCCAUCCAACGCUGUCCGCGUAUAUUUCAAACACAUGUUUUUUUGAAAAUAGGAUGAAAUUCAUGCAAACACAAUGGAUUUCAUACAAACCGGACAAAAAUGUUUACAUUUUGGACAUAUUUUUUUUACUAAAAACUCUACAGCCGGUGCCGGCGAAUAUCCACUCCGGCGACAUGGAUACCCUUGACUAGUCUACUGCCGGCCGCAGCGGAUCUCCAAUGUCGUCCCCAUGUCCGGCAGCUAUGAGCCCUAGAGGUAUAUGCUUCAGCGCAAAGAGCGGCUCGCCUCCCUACCGCUCAUCGGAGUGGAACAACCAGCUGAUGCUUCUGCCGAUGGAAAGGGUCCCUACGCUACACAGAUUAGAGUUGGUUUUGGGCUGGGAACGGCGGUGGCCUGCCAGAGCGCAAGAUACCGACUGUGUAUGCUGGUGUCACCUGGUGUGGCAUUCGUGGGACCCAAGCGGCAGCGCCUCCUCGAUGAUGGCGGCGAGCGCGGACGUGUUGGACACCACCUCGUCGAUGUCCGUGCAGCCCGCUUCUUUCUCUGUAGGAAGGACGCGGUUACGCUCGCGUUGACAUCGGAUGACUUGGUCACAUGCACGGGAGGGGCGGUAUGACAUGGCACCGCCAAUGGCAGCCAUGAUGCCCGCGCCACCGUGCUCCCUCCCAGUGCCGACCUGGAGCAACUUGCCACUCCUCGGCUCGUGACCGGUGGGCUUGACAAGCCACCUAGCCAUUUUUUAUGCCAGACAACUCUUCUUCCUGCUCGUCAGAUGUCAUGGAUAAAACUGUUUAAGGAGGAAAAUGAUGAGUGGACGUGUGAUGCGGUUCUUGCCCAACAUCUGACAUUGUUUAAAUAGCGAGGGGACACGAGAGGAGCCAACCGGCGUUCUGUUUAAUGCUAACCGGCUCGCGAAUGAACAUGUGGCCGGAGUAAUUAUCCUGGCACACACGAGGGUUUAAUGGUGGAAGGCGGGCAGUCUGCAGGAAUGAGGCGAGGAUGUGUGCUUAGCCGGCGUGCAGCAGGCGGCGCCCUCGGCCGGCGUGCUGCUUCCAUUGCGGAGGCAGUGAGAGGUCGCGUCCGCUCUGCAGCGCAUGAAUGCGGGCCACUGGCGCAGAGCGGGAACGCGUGCGGGCGAGGGAGGAGGGGGUUUGGGCGGGUGGUUAGAAGAGGUCGUGGGUGUUGUCCGAACGCCUGCAAAUCCCCCCUCCAUGUUUAUCUCCAGUUUGCGGGAGAAAGUACGUCCGGACCGUCUCCAAUGGACCAAUACAGGCACGCAUUGGAUGGCACAACACGUCCGGACCAUGUGGUCCGGAUGGUUGUGAACAGUUUAAUUGAGGGUCGGCGUUGGAGAUGCCUUAGAGUUUAUGAAUCCAUUGUGUUUUUCUAAUCAUAAAAAAGCACUUACAAUAAGUUAUAAGGAAAGACACGUUUAUAUGUUAGGUUCAGACUCCAGCUUUCGUUUUACAUAUGCUUUAUUCAUCCGACUGAUUCCAAUAGAGUGAGCCUAGCGUUGUUUUUCUGGAAACUCGCGCGAUGAGGAGACAUGCAUACACAUUCUUUCAAGCAAAUCACAUCCAUUCUUUUUAACUCAUUUUUCUUCUUUUAAUAAUAUAAUAGAUCAUUUAUAUUUUUUAUCUGAAACAGUUGACGUGUAAUUUAUAUUGUAAUCUGAGAAUAAUGUUUGGAUUUUACUUUCAAAUAUAUUUGAAAUGGCCAUGAUGGAAUCACAUCCAUUUAUUUUGUUAUUAUUUGAAUUUGAUCCAAAAGAUUAAUAAUGAGUAGAGGUCAUGUCAACUUUUCUGAGAACUUUGCUAAUCAAAAUAUAAAUUUUAUUUAAAAACAUCUAUUUUUUAGCACGCAUGAAAAACAUAACACGUAUCUUUUCACACAUAAUGAACGGUUGUCAUAAGAACUCAUGCCAUGCCACAACCUCCCUCCGACCCUGCCAACAUUGUUGCAGCUGCACUCGCAAGCUUUAGCGUAGAUGAUAAUUUAUACAAUUUGCGUAAAACAAAAUAAGAUCUACAAAUGAAUAGAAGCUAGAACGUACAUUGGCAUGCACACACAUUGCAAGCCAUACUAACCUGAUAAGUGUUAAUAACUUGUACAACAUAUACAGCACUUAAGACAAGUAAAAGCAAUUUGAUGAGUCAUGGUCUAUCAAAGCCACAUUACUAGUCUAAUCCAUCUUAACAGGUCACACAUGAUUAAAAUCUUGUUUGUGUGCAAGUCAAGCUUAUCUAGUUUACAUGUAACAACUUGUAGAACAUUACAAAAUUUAUGUUUGCUAAUAACUUCUAGAACACUACAACACUUGACAUGUAAAAGGAAUUUGAUGAGUCAUGGCCUACUAAAGCAAGUUAUAUUACUAGUCUUAUCUACCUUAACAGGCCACACAAGAUUACAAACCAAGUUCUGUGCCAGCCAUGCUUAUCUAGUUUAUGCGUAACAAUUUGCAGAAAAUUACAAACUUAGUUUCAGAAAAAUAGGCAAUCUAGAUUAGUGUUUGAGCUGUAAAGUGAAUAAAAUGAGUCAUGCGUGUUAUCACACCUUUUUGGUUGUGGAAUGAUAGUGCAACAACAAGGAACUUUAAUGACCAGUUCAAGAAUACACUUGUAAGUAGAGCCACCGAACACAACAUACCAAAUUAUGAUUUUGAGAAGCAUCCAAGCACUUCCACACAAGCAAAUGCCAACUGUGAAAGAGAUCAUGCCAUGGCAGCUAUAAAUAGGCCCGUAGCAUGACGAUCAUCCUUCCUCAUCCAUCAUUCUCAUAAGUAGAGCGCAUCAUUUAAGCCAAGCAAGCAGUGCUCAAUACAAAUCCACCAUGAAGACCUUUCUCAUCCUUGCCCUCCUUGCUAUUGUAGCAACCACCGCCACAAUUGCAGUUAGAGUUCCAGUGCCACAAUUGCAGCCACAAAAUCCAUCUCAGCAACAACCACAAGAGCAAGUUCCAUUGGUACAACAACAGCAAUUUCCAGGGCAGCAACAACCAUUUCCACCACAACAGCCAUAUCCGCAGCCGCAACCAUUUCCAUCACAACAACCAUAUCUGCAGCUGCAACCAUUUCCGCAGCCGCAACUACCAUAUCCGCAGCCGCAACCAUUUCGACCACAACAACCAUAUCCACAACCGCAACCACAGUAUUCGCAACCACAACAACCAAUUUCGCAGCAGCAGCAACAACAACAACAACAACAACAACAACAACAACAAAUCCUUCAACAAAUUUUGCAACAACAACUGAUUCCAUGCAGGGAUGUUGUAUUGCAACAACACAACAUAGCGCAUGGAAGCUCACAAGUUUUGCAACAAAGUACUUACCAGCUGGUGCAACAAUUGUGUUGUCAGCAGCUGCGGUAGAUCCCCAAGCAGUCGCGGUGCCAAGCCAUCCACAAUGUUGUUCAUGCUAUUAUUCUGCAUCAACAACAACAACAACAACAACCGUUGAGCCAGGUCUCCUUCCAACAGCCUCAACAACAAUAUCCAUCAGGCCAGGGCUCCUUCCAGCCAUCUCAGCAAAACCCACAGGCCCAGGGCUCUGUCCAGCCUCAACAACUGCCCCAGUUUGAGGAAAUAAGGAACCUAGCGCUAGAGACGCUACCUGCAAUGUGCAAUGUCUAUAUCCCUCCAUAUUGCACCAUUGCUCAAGUUGGCAUCUUUGGUACUAACUGAGAAGAGAAGAACUCUAGUAGUAGAUAUAUGAUACACCGUUUUCUUAGUCCAUGGUUUGGUCGUUGUAGCGGUGAAAAAAUAAAGUGACAUGCACUAUCAUGUAAGAACCCGAACUAUACUAGUUCAAACAUGGGAAUAAAAGACAAACACAUGUCUUGUCUACAUAUGAUUGUUUGUUUGAGUUCCACUCAUGUGCCCACUCACAAGUUCACCCCUAAUUAUAUAUAUUAUGCAUUAAGUAGAUAUUUAUGUUGCAUUAAUCUAAAGAUAACAAAAUGAGUCUGAAAUUUGAAUUAAAUUGAAGUAUUUCCUUGGACUUUCAAAUGGAGUAUUAUUAAAGUAGUAAGGACUACCCACAUCCUUGGCUUGCCCUUGAUCAAUUAUUUCCAGAGAAGCGUUCAAUUCGUCAAUCAAUUACAUUGAUUUUUGUGGCUGGUACUUCUCCUCAACAUGAGUAUAUUCAUCGCGGCUACUCCAAAUAGGCAUGAAUGAGGUACUGGUGCUCUGGAGCACUGGUACCUAACUGCUUCUCAUGUGAAGGGGUGCGGGCGCGGGAGAGGUGUUUUUGGUGGGCCAGGGGAGUAAGAAUCGGCCGUGGCAGCGGUCCAGACGCCCACAAAGCCCCG